rnacentral:lncRNA from 1 species
UCAACAUGUUCAGGUUUUUUUCCAGAUUCAAUGGAACCCACAAAAGACUGAAGAGGAGCAGUGGUGGCGUAGUAAUCGUCAUCAUCUUCGUCAUCAACAUCUGCCCAAGAUUUCACCGUCAACGGCGCCGGAGCCCACAAAACUUCCGGCUCCUGUUCUUUUUUCGAUGACCCUUUACUCUUCUCCUUAUCAGAUUUCUUCUUCUUCCUCAAAGUAUCAAGCGCCGCAAAUACAUUGGAAUUUUUCACCAUCACAGACCCUUCUUCCCUUCUGUUACUCCCCAUCAUUUCAACCAAGUAAACCCAAUAAAUCCUCUUCAAUUUUCGUUCGUUCUACUCAAGUAAACAAAGAAAAAUAAACUAGAAGAAAUUGGAGAACAGUCGUAGGAAUGGAUUUGUUCAAAUAAUUUUUUUAGGGUUUGGGGAAGUUCUUGAUAGAUAAAUGGGGAGAUAACACGAGUGAGAGAGAAGAAAUAGAGGGUUAUAUAGUUCUGGCCUAUUGUGAUUUGCUCCACUAAUUAUAUUUUAUAAACAUACACGAAUUUUAUGUACAAAUUCUCAUAAUUGACUAUGGUCUAUGGCUUAGAUAUCUACCUCUAUAGUUUAAAUAAUUACAAGGAUUUUUGUAUCACUUAUAUUCAAUAUUUAUAUGGACAAUAGUGUAUCGAAAGAAAGAAGAUAGAUGACUGAGAAUUACGGAAAUUUAAAAAUAUUAUUUCUAGUCUUUCAGCUUUUUUAAAGAGAUGACAAAUACAAAGCGAUUACCAUUUGUAGGCUCAUUCACCAAUUAGGUUAAGCCAUGACUUUACACGAACAGAGACAGAGAUAGAGAUGGAAUUGCCCCUUCUUUCGGUCAUGCCUACCCAGAUUCUCUCGAUCCAGCUAAACUUACUUUGAUGUAAGAUGGGGUUGAAGUCUUAGGAUAAUUAAGCAGCUCCAUACGCCAUUUGAAUAUCAACAGUUUUUGUCCCAAGGCAAGCUCCUGCAUCUCUAGGGUUUGUGCUAAGGCAAGCUCUUGCAUCUCUAGGGAUAGAUGCAUCUUUUCUUUUUGUGUCUUCUCCUUUCGCUCAAGCGCUUCCUCUUAUUGUUUGACUAAAGGAAAUAAAUAGAAUCGAUUGUAAUAAAUGAAGUGGAUUUAUUUCGUUUUCUUAUUUAUUUGCAUAAUUUCACUUGUAUUCUUUCUCUUUACUAUAUCAAUUGUUACCGUUCUGUAUCGCUUAAAUUUAUUCGCUAUAAUGGAUGUAUUAAUACAUAUUAAUUAUUAUCAUUUUGUAUCACUUAUAUUUAUUCGCUCUAAUGGAAGUAUUAAGAGAAAAUGGUCAAAUGACUCCCCAAUCUAUUAGUCGAUUCUCAACUACACACUUAUAUUUUAGGAGGGUCCUAUUAUCCCCUGAACUAUUUUAUAGUAGAAUUAUUUUCUCCCUCCUAAUGCUGAGUUGGCAAAGAAAGUGUAAUUCACCUUCUUAAAGAGAGUGAGAGGCAAAUUUUCUUACUUUUCUUUUUCAUAUUAAUUUUCUGAUCUUUUAUGUUUUUCAUUUUACUUUCUUUUAUCUUUUUCAUUUUACUUUCUCUAUUUCUUCAGUACUCCACCAGAUUUAAGUUCCCUGAAGAAGAAAAAAAGAGUAUGAAAUUAUCUCACUAUUAAUAAUUGUUACUAGUGACGCUAUCUCCUUAUUCUUUUUCUCAAAAGAAAUUGACUUCACUUGCAAAAAUUAGAAAAACACAGGAUCAAAUUAAAAAUAAACACUUUCCCAUAGCCAAGUGUUCAUAAGUUCAAGCACAACAUGAAAUUGAACAAUAUAGAGAAAACUCAGUUGAGUAAAUAAAACUAACAAAGCAUCAAGGUCAAAAUUAGUAUCUUUUACAAUUAAUUUUUUACUACUUCAACUACAACAACACACAAAAUUGAAGAAAUCCAUAUCCGAAUCAGAUCCAAAAGUUGAUUACUAUAUUACUAUAUAUAAUAAGUGGGAAUAUCUACUACUUAGCACGUGACAAGUGUUGGAUGAUAUGUGCUUGAUAGUGUUGUACAUUCUUCUUUUAUGGUUGUACCUUUAAAAUUUAUAUUAUUAGACAAUUUAACACCAUUAAUUACCUACUACUUUAUUAGCCAAAAAGUUUGACCUCAUUUGGGCCCAUUUAUUAUUUAUAUGUUUUCAAUUUUCAAUAUAUGUUGUCUAUCUAAUUCUUUUUUUCAACCUUUUAUUUUAAACUUCUUGAAAUUUAAUUACCUAUUUAUUACUCUCUCUAUGCACUUUUAAUUGUUAUGAUUUCCUUUUUAGAGUCAAACUAUAAGAAUUUUAACUAAUAUUUUACAAUGUGUUUUUUCAUCAUAUUCAUAGGCAAAAAAUNNNNNNNNNNNNNNNNNNNNNNNNNNNNNNNNNNNNNNNNNNNNNNNNNNNNNNNNNNNNNNNNNNNNNNNNNNNNNNNNNNNNNNNNNNNNNNNNNNNNNNNNNNNNNNNNNNNNNNNNNNNNNNNNNNNNNNNNNNNNNNNNNNNNNNNNNNNNNNNNNNNNNNNNNNNNNNNNNNNNNNNNNNNNNNNNNNNNNNNNNNNNNNNNNNNNNNNNNNNNNNNNNNNNNNNNNNNNNNNNNNNNNNNNNNNNNNNNNNNNNNNNNNNNNNNNNNNNNNNNNNNNNNNNNNNNNNNNNNNNNNNNNNNNNNNNNNNNNNNNNNNNNNNNNNNNNNNNNNNNNNNNNNNNNNNNNNNNNNNNNNNNNNNNNNNNNNNNNNNNNNNNNNNNNNNNNNNNNNNNNNNNNNNNNNNNNNNNNNNNNNNNNNNNNNNNNNNNNNNNNNNNNNNNNNNNNNNNNNNNNNNNNNNNNNNNNNNNNNNNNNNNNNNNNNNNNNNNNNNNNNNNNNNNNNNNNNNNNNNNNNNNNNNNNNNNNNNNNNNNNNNNNNNNNNNNNNNNNNNNNNNNNNNNNNNNNNCUUCAAACAUUUUAAAAAAAGAAUAUGAAAAUUUGGAUGACUCUCCAAAUUUCAUUUGUGUCACAUAAAUUGAGAUAACAAAAAUAACAUAUAUUGGGUCCAUUUUAAUUUAUUUGUCUUGUUUUUUUUGUUUUUUUUUUAUAUUUAAAAAUUGCGUAAAAAUACUAUAAAUCAUGAUAAUUGACAAUAUAAAAUAUGUUUUGAAAAAAAUACAAAAAAUUCCACUGAUUCUUGAAGUGAAUCUAUCGUAAAAAUACUAUAAAUCAUGAUAAUUGACAAUAUAAAAUAUGUUUUGAAAAAAAUACAAAAAAUUCCACUGAUUCUUGAAGUGAAUCUAUCGUAAAAAUACUAUAAAUCAUGAUAAUUGACAAUAUAAAAUAUGUUUUGAAAAAAAUACAAAAAAUUCCACUGAUUCUUGAAGUGAAUCUAUCGUAAAAAUACUAUAAAUCAUGAUAAUUGACAACAUAAAAUAUUUCAAAAAUGUUGUAUGUGGGUAGUCUUAUUAUGCCUUAAAUAGCGUCAAAGGAAGUACAGGUUUGUGAUAAAAUAAACUUAUUCCUUUAUCCACGCAAACAAUCGCUUCAAAAACUCGGUUAUUAGCCCCAAAACAUACCAUUUAUAUUAUUGGGUCCGUGCAUAGCACGGGCCACAUUAUCUAGUAAGUAUAUGAACAUCAAAUUUUUUAACAUGAACAACCCAAAUAAAAUUUCUCCUUUUAGAUUAUUGUAAGCCAAAUCAAUAUGCUCAAGACUUCGAUAGUUGGUAAACUUUUAAGGAUUUCACCAAUUAAAUUCAUAUUUCAUUCUUUUUUUUUAAUCUUUUCAAACUCCAACAAUAUUCUCAUCAGAAAAAACCAUUAAAUACCGAACCUAGGUAUUCAAGAUUGGCUAUGUUAUUGUGUUUUACCGAAAAAAUAAAGUUCAUAUGCAUAUAUAAGAUCUAUAGCUCCGUCAAAUUUUCGGUUGGCGACGGAUAUCUCUGAAAAAAUUGUUCCCCAAAAUCAAGAUAUUGAAGUUUUUGAAGCCGAUGAAUAUCCAAUGGUAUGAGACCCACAAAUUAAUUUUGAAAAAGGUCCAAAUAUUGCAUGUUGAAAUAGUUGUAUAAGAAAAUUGGGAACUUAGAUUAAGAAACUAAAUUUUUUUGAGGUUACAGAUGGAACUUGGAGUUUCCACUUCAAUGGCAGAAAAUUUUUAGUCAAAGAAAAGGAUAGAAAAGGAAAAGAAAAGAAGAAAUCGGCUGAAAAAGAAAAGAAAAACAUAGAAGGGAAAUAGAAUAAAGAAAAGAAUAAUUAUAUUUUAUAUAAAAAAGUACCAUAUAUGUUACGUGGCACCACACGUGCAACACACUGCUUACCAUAAAUCUGGGUGUGACCUUUUAAGGGGCAAUAUAUUCUACUUUUAAAAUGUUUAGGGUGGGUAAUAGGACCCCCGUAAAAUAUAAGUGUGUAGUUGAGAAUUGACUAAUAGAUUGGGGGUUCAUUUGACCAUUUUCUCGAAGUAUUAAUAUAUACAAUCUUGAUGGAUACAAGCAUAAUUAUAAAUCAUGUGAAUUUACUUAAUUUCGUUGCAUCAACGCAUACAAUCAUAUGAUAGGUUGUAUGCAGUCACUCAACAAACUAUAUUUUAUUUCUCAUAUAACGAAAUACAGUGAAUUUAAUCACUCUAAUGGUUGUACCAACAAAUACAAUUUUGGAUACAAUCAACAAUAGAUCAUAUGAAUUUACUUAAUUUCGUUGUAUAUAAUCAUAAUAGAUUGUAUACGUUCACUCAAUAGAUUAUAUUCACAAUGGAGAUACAAACCGAAAAAGAAGAAGACGACUUGUUGAAGAUAACAUACAAUAUACAUCAAUCAUCACCAUAAUUUGGACAUUAUCAUGAGCCCACUCCCAACACCAUUGUAGCUUCAGCUUUCUUCCACCGUCCUCCACCACAAAUCAAUCCCGUCUUCUUUGGCGAGGACGAAGUUGUCUGUGCAAGGAGAGGGAGCAUGACCAAAUCUGAAAAUCGUUGGUCGUCUCUAGCGAUCCAUCGAGACAGACAAAUCAUUAAAAAUAAAGCUAAGUCAAUUUACAAGAAGCAGAGAGUGGUACCGAGGCUAGCGGCUGUAGUGGCAAAAGAAGAGGGAAAUGAGGCAAAGAUGGUAAAGGAACAAUUUGUGCACGUCUCAACUAAUUCAGUAGGCUAUGUUACUCGAACUCUUCAAAAAUAUCAACGAGUGCUUGUCGUAUUCUCCAAAAACUAUUUUUGGAGAAUCCGACAUAAAUGCUGCACAGAAAGUGAAGAGUCUGUGCAACUUAGGUUACAUGCUGAAUAGUAUAUUCACCUCACAUCCUUCUCUAAUUUCUGGUAUAAGCCGGGGACAUACGGAGUCCACACAAUCGCCUCAACAAAGAAAAUGAACUAACAGGCGAGAUCAUGCCUCACAUAACCAAUAAAAAAACAAUUCUACUUGUAUUUCAUUCACCAAACCUUAGUUCAAUAGGCACUAGCAUCAAUGUGCUACUUUUACACAUAAACUUAACUCUCUAGAUCUCCAAAUACCAUUCACAUACAGCAAAAUUGUCCAGCCAGACACAUUAUUUUUUUUGUAAAACUUUUCUCAUUUCUCUUUACCUUUUAAUCUAAGCUCCAAGAACUAGUCCAUAGUCUUGUGCCCUAAAGACCAAAACUUAGAGCCCAAAUCUUUUUCUACAUCAGCAAAACAACGAUUUGGUGUACCAAACUGUUUGGAACUCGGACCAUUGACGCUAAUCAUUCCAAGCUGGGUAGAAUUUACCGCAUUGGCUGCUGGUUAUAAUGGCUCUUCUCUUUCUUCUUUGCUGCAGCAAGCCUGGCACUCCUUGCAGCAGCCUCUGUUGCGGCAGCUCUUGCAGCACCAUCUGUCUCUUUGCCGGAUUUCUUUUUCUUUGCCGAUGCCACCCUUUUCAGCCUCUCCUUCAUAUCCACCGUAGAUGCAUCUUCUACUUGCUCAGCUCCUCCAGUUUCCUCUGGUAGAACAGUUGCACCUACGCUGUUUGGCUGAUCCUCUGAUUCCUUCACCUCCUUGGAUGCUUUAUCCUUCUUUUUCUUCUUCUUAGCACUUUUAGGCUCUAUAGCCCCACCAUUUUUCUUUUCCACAUCUUCUGCUGGCUGACCCUCUUUCUUCUCAUUGGCAACAUCUGUAAUUAUAAGAGAAACAUUUAGGAAAAUUCACCUUCAGAUACCCAUAGAAUGAAGCUAGCCAUCUUAACCACAUGAUGACCAACAAGUGCUAACAAAAGAAAAGAAAGUAGACAUGUUUAAAAGAGUCUAUAAAAUGCAAAGGAAUAUGAUAUCAAUCCUAAGGAGGUAGGACAUCAAUUUCAUCACCCAACUUCGAUCACUAUUUACUAAGGGAGGAGAUAGAAGGAUAACACUGUAAUCAGUAAAUGAGAAGAAGAAUUACCAGGUAAGUCGUCUGGACCUUUCUCCUUCUGUUCAACCCCAAAAUCAGCUAAAAGCGAGUCCAAUUCAGCAAGCUCCUUCUUCCUUCUCUCUUUCUUGAUAGCUGUCUCUCAGUUUCUUUAGGAGCUGGUGAAGCUUCUAUCUUUUGGACUACUGGAUCAGCAUGCUCUGGAACCUCAGAUUCGUGGUCAUUGUCCUCCACAUCUUCAUCUUCAUCAAGAAGGUCGUCUUCGCUUUCGGUUUCCUGCAAGUCCAAUUACAACUUCAGUAUAUGCACAAUACUAACUCAAAAAAAGGUUCAAUUUUUUAUGGCUACCAAAUAUAGAUUGUGUGUUAUCUCUCCUUCAUUUUCUUCUCUUCAAACUUUAUAUCUCCUUAUAAAAGAAGAUUUAUCCUUCCAAUUAGGAGAACAAAUAGACGCAGAAACAGACAUGAGAGUGAGUCAACAACAACAUACCCAGUAAAAUCCCACAGUGGGGUCUGGGAAGGUUGGAAUGUACGCAAACCUUACCUCUAUGUUGUUUCCGAAAGACCAUCGGCACAAGUGCAACAAAUCAAAGUAUUCACAAAAAAAGGAAAUCCCAGAAUGAAGAACAACAUGUCAAAUAACAAGGAAAGCAGUACAGAGCAUCCAAGGAAAAUAAAAAAUAACAGCAACAAAUAAUAUUGUUAGUAAAAGAAAUUAUAUGCACAAGGCUAAUACUACGACAGACACAGCACUCCCACGAAGCCUAAACCCACCGUAAAGCAAGUCAUAGCUCAACUACCUACUAACCUUAUAUCCUAAUUUGUUACCUCCAUACCCUCCUAUCUAAGGACAUGUCCACGAUAAGUUGAAACUGCAUCAUAUACGGUGUAAUCACCUCACUUUUUGACUUACUUCUACCUCUCUUCAUACUCAAUAUAUCCCCAACCUCCCACACCUCCUUAUUGGAGCAUCUUCGCAUAUCUUCUUCACAUGUCCAAACCAUCUAUCUCGUCUCCCUCAUCUUGUCUACCACAUAAAUCAUCCCCACUCUAUCCUAAAUAUUAUCAUUCUUAAUGUUAUAUCUCUUAGUAUAACUACACAUCCAUCUCAACAUCCUCAUUUCCGCAGCUUGCAUUUUCUAAACAUGUGAGUUGUCGACUGGCUAAAACUUAGCUCCAUAUAACAAAGUUGGUUUAAUCAUCACUCUAUAGAAUUUACCCUUAAGAUUUGGUGGAAUCUUUUUAUCACAUGACUCGGGGACGAGCCUCCAUUUCAUCCAUCGCGCACCAAUAUAAUGUGUGGCAUCAUCAUCAUCUCCCAAUUUCCUUGGAUUAAAGACCCAAGAUACUUGAAACUUGCUUUCUUGGGGAUGGCCUAUGAAUAAAAACUUACUUCUACACCUACCUCACCAAAUGCAUCACUGAACUUGCACUAAGUAUUUUGUUUUGGUCCUACUCAACCUGAACCCUAUAGACUUCAUGGUUUGUCUCCAAACCUUUAACGUAGCAUUAACUCCACCGUAAAUCUUAUCAAUCAGUACUAUAUCAUCUGCAAAUAACAGACCAUGGCACCUCACCUUGGAUAUGGUGCAUCAAUUCAUCAUCACCAAGGCAAAAUAACAUGGUCAAGUGUUAAUUCCUAGUGCAACCCCAUCUUGACCGAGAAGUGUUUUGCGUCUCCUCCCACUAUGCUUACUUGGGUCUUGGCUCCAUCAUGUCUUUCCUCACCCUGAUGUAAGCUUUUAGCAUACCUCUAGCCUGAAGACAUCCCCAUAGGACCUCUCUUGGGACUGUCGUGAGUCUACUCUACAUCACUAAACACCAUAUGCAGGUCUUUCUUCCCCUCCCUUUACUUCUCCACUGGUCUCUCCUCACAAGAUGGAUAGCUUCUAUAGUAGAAAAAGAAUGUAAAACAUGCAUGGAAUAAACUAUUAACUUGUGAAACUCCUAGCGUCUAAAACAGAAAGGAAAAGCCUAGCUACACUUGCAGCCACAGGCCCCAUUUUCCAAUUUCAACAGGAGAAUACUUUUAGAACCAAAAAUCACACAAGGAAGUUGUCCUAAAAGAUCAACAUUCUCCCAUAAUAUGGUUUUAAGUAAUAACAUAACACAAUGGAAACAAUCAUCCUAUCUGUCGUAUUAACUAUUGGAACUUGAAAUUCACACUUAACAAUUAAUGUUUCACUUACAUUAGUCUAGCCGUCGCCAAGAGUUCUCUUAGCUUGGUUAGAAACCUGUAUGUUAGGGACUAAAAGAAAUCGCAGAUGUUCUGAUGGUAGAAAAAAAUCUACUGCAAAAUAACCAUGAAGACCGUGGAUUCAAUUUCAAGUAAUUUAAAAAAAAAAAAAUUGGAACAUUGAUAAAAAGAAGUAGUUGUGAAUUAAAAUUUAAUUAUAGAAUUUUAAAUUAUAGAUAUGCAGUUGAAACAACUGCUCCAUGUACGAUGAAGUCUUCUUGAAUCAUGUUAGCUAAUGUUGAUUUCAUUCCAUCAUUUUCAGGCUACUUAAAAGGAAAUUUUAUUUGUUAAAUAAUUUUAUAUAUAUUGGGAUUUGAUAAAUCUUUUAUAUCUCUUAGAGAUAUAAUCAAUUAAAAAAGAUCCAUACACACACAAUGGAGUCCUAGGUCCCAAAGUGGACGUCAUUCCUUCUUUAUAGGGCAACUUAAAGGGCAUUUAAUUAUGUCACAUAACUGAACUUGUUCCAGUGAUGAUGCUAUUAUUGUGGCCUCGACAAGAAGAAAUGACAAAUCACUUUAAUCUCAAUGACGGCGGUAGUAGAGCUGUUGCUGAUUUAAGUGCUAUCACUGUGUCUCUACACCGUGACGAUGGUCAUGCAGAUGACAUGGUACUGAGAUUCAUUUUUAUCUUAUUUAAUUUCUCUAGAAGAUUUCUUAAAUCAGUGUGCACUACUGACUUUUAGGAUUUCUCACAGCAAAGGUUAUAGUACUCUAGAUUAAGCCUUUUGUAGUUUAUUUGAAGCGAAAUGUCUACAUAGUUAUGAUGAAUUGAGAGAAAAAUAGACUUUAAAAUUGAUUAUGCACUAACCCCAAUGCCAUGAUGGGAAAAAGUAGAGCAAUAUAUAUUAGCACUGAAAUGGAAAGCUGGAAUGGUGGCUAAUCAAGGUAUAUCACAAGUACAUGGAUGCAAGAAUAAAAGCUUGAACAAAGGUUGUUGUCUGUUUGACAGGUUAUGUGGCUCAAUCUUUUAAAGUUUGGUUCCUUUUGUUCCAUAGAGGGUAGAAAAUUUUACACACGAAAAGAAGUCCUUUGCAAAUAUUAUGAGAAAUGGAUGAAACUUGCGAGAAUAUGAAAUCAGGAACUGGCUAAAUACUCCUCAACUAGCUUAGUACGGUCGUUCAUGACUCAUAAUCACUUUUCAAUUUAUAAGAUCAUGUUGUACUAUUACUAUAAUAUUAUGACACAUCACACAAGUAAGCUAUAACCUGUUAUUGUCCUUUUAUUUAAUUGAGUGUUAGUAAAUAAGAUUUUGGAACAUAAUGAGUCCUCUCAUAUCUGAAAAACAGUUUUAGUCUUGUCAUAGUCAAACUUCCGUUUAUUGUGAUUAUGUGUAGUCUUAGUUUUAAGGCUGACAGAAUUUAAAAUCAAAUUCUUUUGCACAAGGUAGUUUUUAUAUUGAAUGGUCUUUAGCAAUGUGGUCAAGUAAUACAAUAACAGGAAUGGUCUGAUGGCUUCACCAAAAGUUUAUCUUCUUUAGCAUUAAUUGUAAGAAAAUAUACCCCCCACAAUUUUGGCAUAAUUGACGGAAGUACCAUCAUAUUUUCUUGCAUAUUAGUUAUUUUUAAGACCAGAACAUAUAGAUAUAUCUAAUGGGGUAUAUAAGAUAGAAGUUGAAAUUAUUGAAUCACCUAUGAAUGAAAAUUUCUGUUGAAUACUUCUAUUGAGCAAGGGUUACCUACUUAGUACUCUACGAGUCUACAUUAAGCGGCCCUUUUUUUAAGCCAAAAUAUUUGUGUACGUAGUGAUGAUAAAUUUAGAGAAAAAAUAGGCUUUAAAAUUGGUUAUGCACUCCUAAUGACGGGAUGGGCAAGAGCCAAGAGUAGAGCAAUAUCUAUUAACAUUGAAAUUGGAUACUAGAUUGGUGGCAAUUCAUGUAGAUCAAACAAUGUGGACAUAAUAAUAAAAGCUAGAAGAGAUUAUCGCCAGCUUGAUUAUGGCUCAAUGAAUAUGAGAAAUGGACAAUUUGAGUUAUUUCAUUCUUAGAAAAGGAAGAAGGCACCAUAAUAUAUGUACAAUAGUUUAAAAAGGACAUAUGAUAGAACUAUAAAAAUGCUCUCAGGCACGGCUAUCAAGGUAAGUCAACUUAAAACCUAAAGCCAAUUUCACUCUGUCUGUGGGCCUACUCUGGCAACUUAUGACCGAAACUUUUUCAAUUGGGGGAAAAGUAUAUUCUACAAUUCAGGAUUCAAAUCUUAUGAAAUCAUUAGGUGUAAAUACGGUGCGGAGAAACCUAGUAUGAAUAGAUCAAGCGAAGUCAGAAUUUAAUGAGGGUGAAGAUUAGCAUUAAAGUCUUGAAGUGCUUAGUUUCAGUAUUUAUUGAAGCAUUAAAGUAACAGGGAAAAGUAGUUCGGAAAUGGAAAUUAAAGGACCACUUCUCAGAAUUUUGUUGCACUCUUAAAUACCACGAGAAUGGUAGUUAUGUCAGCUUUAUUUCCAUUCGAGAUCUGAGCAAAUCUGUCAUUAUUACUCCGGAAUCUUCAUACAAAGGAGGUUGGGGGAACAUUGCACACAAAAUAGCAAAGUUUAUCCACGUGGCACCAGGAAAACAAAAAGCACAGAAUAACAGUGAAAGACAACUUGGAACCUCUUUCAAAGAAGCCUUCAACAACAACAGAUGAACGACGGAGAGGACGAAGAAGGCACAAAUACAAGUUGUAGGUGAUAGUAUAUAAAUCCUGGGUGGAAGGUCGGCAUCGGAGAAGGAUCUGCUCAAUAGAUGUAUUGUCGGAAAAUUUAAGAACCCAUUACAGGAGACUCCAAUCUUGAAUGGUGUAAGGAGAUGGGUACGCAAUACCUAGAAGUCAGCCACAGGUGUUAGUGUUUUCACUAUGAACGAAGGACAGUUCUUGUUUGAACUUCCUUCAAGAUUUUCGAUAGAGCACGUGAUGUUGACAGUGUGGAUCUAGAAGAAGAUGAAGCUUAAUAUCGACUGGUGGAAGUCAACUACGAAAGUGUUGGCCAGCAGAAGUAAGGAGAGGAGAGACUGGGUCUGGAUAAGACUUCUAGUGCUACCUUUGAGCAUGUGGUACCAGAAAAUAUUUAAGCAGCUUGGAGAUCAGUGUGGAGGAUUUAAUGAGACAGAAGAGGAGACAUCUCUCAAAAAUAACCUAUACUAGAUUCAUAUCAAGGUGAAGGGCAACAGAAACAUGGUACCGAAGUCGAUAGAGGUGACCAGUGAAGGUUUGUGAAUAUUAUUCCGAUCUGGUGUGAAGCUCUGCUGCCAAUGAAAAUAGAGGGGGAAAGUGAAGGUGCAGGUUAUGGUUCAGAGGGUAAUGAAGGGAGAACCCUUUUUAGUGAAGGAUCUAACAGUCCUCAAAUCAAACCACGUGCACGUGGGCACCUCGAAAAUGAGGAGUUUUCAAAUUGGAAGGCACGUGAGCAGAAUUCAAAAUGGAAAGGGCGACUAUGUGUUGUAGUGGGCCAAGUCCUAAAAGGGGGUUAAUUUGGGCCUUAGAACCUUGGAAGCAAAAGAGAAGACAGAAAGUUAUUCUAAUUCUGAAGCCCAGGAGAUGGACAUAGGAAACAUCGAGAUAAUUGCAAACUUAUCAACCCAGUACACACAAUAAGCUUUGAGAAAUUGGGAACUCAGGAUAAGGAAGAACAACAAAUUUUCCAGUUCGAACAAACCAAGGAGAGCUUGGUGGCUGUAGAGUCAACAGUUGUCGAGAGAGGGGAACUGAAGAGUAUACAAUUGAAGCUGCAAGGAGAGAACACCAACAUCGUAGCAGAAGAUGCAACUCCAUUGAAGAUUCAAUUACCAACAGAACAAAAUGCUUAAACACUAAGCACGCUUAUUUGGAUUCAACUAGACAUCAUCGUGUUGAUACCGAAUUUGGAGUUGAUUUCAAAGGGUACGAGGAGAAGCCAAAAGGCAAAAGAACUUCUUAUGAAGAUAGAUAAUAACAAGCAAAAAAAUAAAGAACAACAAGGGAGCAGUCAGUCAUUAAAAAGAAAGAAGUAAAUGAACUGAAAAGAAUAAUGAAGUUAUAUAGAGUCUUGGAGCACAAGGAAACUGAAUUGUGCUAGGAAAAAGGGAAUGAUCAAAAAAUAUAUUACAUACCUGGUAAGCUGAUGAGGUUUGCUUCCAGGUGGUGAAGGUGGAGGGGGAAAUCACAGAUAUAAGUGAGUCAAUUAUGUUCAGUUGGAGGAAAGUUGGACUAGAGGAGGUACAGUCAGUAUGUGGGACAAAAGCGUACGGGAAGGAGUGCUCAGCAGUGUGGAAAUAUAUUCAGUGACUUGUAGUUUUUCUGGGAAGUGUCAUGAUUUCAAUUGGCACCUUACAGGGGUUUAUUCCCCAAAUAAUAGAAAGGAGAGUAAAGAGACUUGUUGGGAGAUUGGGGCAGCUAGAGGCUAGUUUCAGGACCUUGUGAUUGUGUAAUCUGCUAAGGCUUCCAACACAGACAGACAUGAUCCAGAAAAGAAAAAUUGCAACAGAAUUAGUAAAGGAAUGAUAAACUUGUCUGAUUUUAUUGAGGAUAUGGAGCCAGUGGAUUUAGCAUUGUUAGGGGGAGUAGUUCGCUUGGAAGAAAGGUGACAGACACACAACAGCUAGACUACAUAGAUUCUUAUUUUCAGAAGAAUGGGAUACAAACUUCAGGAACAUCAGACAGAAUAUCCUACACAGAGUGACUUUUGACCACUCACCUAUAAUGUUAAUUGGAUAGUAGAAAGUCAUACUUCAAGUUUGAAAAUUGACGGUUGGAAACAGAGGGUUUCAAUGAAAGAGCGCAAGUGUGGUGGGACUCUUUCACCUUUAGUGGAAAGGCAGACUACAUUCUGGGGUGGCGAAACUAAGAGCUCUACAAGGGAAAUAGAAGAAGUGGAGUAAGACUUCUCAAGGUAACUUGGGUAUUCAGAAGCACAAUGUUUUGAGACAGCUAACUCAACUAGAGGAGAUUCAGGAACACAGAGCACUAAAGGAAGAAGAGAUAGCUUCUAUACUAGCACUCAAUAUGGAAUUUGGAGACAUAGCUAAAAGGGAAGAGACUACAUGGAGAAAGAAAUCCAUGAUAAUAUGGUUAAAGCAAGGGGAUAGACACACUAGGUUUUUCACAGAACUGCAAAUACUCACAAAAGAAUUAACACAAUUGACAAGCUAAAAGUUAGAGGGAAAAUCUUGACUAAACCAGAAGAGUGCAGGAGGAGAUUGUUGCCUACUAUGAGAAGUUAUACUCUAAGUGAGAAGAUUAAAGACCACAGCUAGAUAUGAGGAAUUGCCCCAUGAUAGGAGAAGAUGAAAACAAUUUGAUGAUGGCACCAUUUGAACAACAAGAGAUCCUCGAGAACAUAAAAGCAUGUGCAGGUGACAAAACACCAGGGCUAGAUGGGUUCUCCCUGGCAUCCUUUAGUCAUUGAUAGGGAAUUAUCAGUCUAGAGUUGGUUGCAACAGUGCAAAACUUACAUAAGGUAGGAAUUUUUUAAAGGAGACUCAAUGCCACCUUUGUGGCUCUAAUUCCUAAGAAGAUAGGAGCUUUGGAGUUCAAGACUUCAGACCUAGAAUAUGAUAGGAGGGGUUUACAAGGUCAUUGCCAAGCUACUGGCAGAAAAAUUGAAAAAAAGGCAUACACCGACUAGUGGACAAACAGCAGACGACAUUUAUAAAAGGCAGAUAAAUCAUGGAUGCACUGCUGAUAGAAAAUGAGUGUGUGGCUGGAGUCCAGGCAAAGAAGUUAGUAGCCUGCUAUUUUACGUAAGCUAGACAAACAGAAGGCAUAUGAUCACCUGAAUUGGAAUUUUCUGAUUCCCAUGAUGCAGAGGAUGGGAUUUGGAGCUACAUGGAUCAAUUGGGUAAAAUAUUGCAUUAGUACAGUUAAUUCUCUUAUUAUUAAUUAAGAGAACCCCAAGUAGUUUCUUUUCCUGCCAGAGGAGCUUGAGACACGGUGACCCUCCAUCCUAUUUUCUCUUUAUCCUAGCAAGGGAAGGAACGACCAACAUUAUUCAAACAAAACCAAGGAAGAAAGGUUGGGUCAGAGGAUUUCAGGUGGGCAACAGGGCAGCGAACAAUGUGGAGAUAACUCAUCUGUAAUAUGCAGAUGAUACUUUAGUUUUUUGUGAAGAAGUGAGAGGACACAUGUUGAUCAUGAGGGUAAUAUUCAUCAUAUUUGAAGCAAUUUCUGGGCUACACAUCAAUUGGGGGAAGAGCUUGAUAUAUCCCAUCAAUUAUAUGUAGCGGAGGUGGAGAACUGGCAACAAUUCUGGGAGGCAAAAUGGGUGAGCUUCCAACAAUAUCUUUAGAAAUGCUUUUGGGUGCCAAAAGUAAAUCUAGGAGAAGUUGGAAUGGAGUGGUAAAAAAGCAUGAGAAGAAGUUAACUAACUGGAAAAGUCAAUAUCUUUCCUUGGGAGGAAGAUUGACUUAGGUUAAUAAUGUUUUACAUGCAUUACCUUCUAGCAUGAUGUCUGUUUUCCCAGCCUCAGACAGUGUGAUAGAAGAGGAUAGAUGCAUUAAGAAGGAAUUCUUCUGACAGGAAAUGAAGAUAAGAAAAAAAGAUAAGAAAAAUGGAGUUCAAGACUUCAGACCUAGAAUAUGAUAGGAGGGGUUUACAAGGUCAUUGCCAAGCUACUGGCAGAAAAAUUGAAAAAAAGGCAUACACCGACUAGUGGACAAACAGAAGACGACAUUUAUAAAAGGCAGAUAAAUCAUGGAUGCNNNNNNNNNNNNNNNNNNNNNNNNNNNNNNNNNNNNNNNNNNNNNNNNNNNNNNNNNNNNNNNNNNNNNNNNNNNNNNNNNNNNNNNNNNNNNNNNNNNNAGAUAUAACUUUUGAUAAAAUCCAAGUUGCAGAAAUACUACAUAUCUAAUGAUGGCUACUUCCAAAAGAAACGUGUACUAUAAAAAAUAUUUAUGAUUUCGUACAGAUGACAAAAAGAGAUGGGUUUACGAUUUAAUGAUGACAUAAAUAAAUGACAAAUGAAGUUAGAAACAUGUAAAAGAAUUAUUAUUAUUUUUCAAUUUGAUUUGAGAAAUUAGCGGAAAAAUAGUUAAUUAAAAUAUAUUCUUCUCUAUAUAGAAUCAUUGUUUCUUUUUAGGUUAUUUUACCACACAAUGUAUGAUUAUGAUAUUUGAUUUCUUUCAAAAGUUAUUCAAUGACUGUGAUUCAUUUCCUUAGUUUGAUAAAGUUUCUUUUGUUAUAUAUAUUGCACCGAAAACCAUAAUAAUAACCGUGGUGUCCAAGUCAACUUUCACGCAACUCGAAUAAUUCCACGGGAUAUCUGUCACCAUCCACCAACAACAGAUUUCCAGCAACAACAGAAAUGGGAAGAAUCACCUAGUGUUUUUGCCACUAACUUACUCGGAAAGCAAACUACUUCCUAAUGGAAUUCUUCAGGUCCUAAAACAGCAGGCCCCAACCAAUUCGAGGUUGAAACACAGUAGAGUGAUUAACACUAUCUUUGUUUGUUUAGUUGGCUUCUUCAACCACUUUUCAGAUGCAUCGUUCGUUCAAUUUUUCAAGGGAAUAGAUUUUCGAUUAUCAAAAAGGUGAAAAAUACAAUCUAACACGCAUAAAAAGCAGAAAUUUUUCAUACCCAAAGAACAGAACAUAAAAAGCAGGCAAAAGUGCAAUACCUCAACAGGUUCAGGUUUUUUUUCAGAUUCAUUGGAACCCACAAAAGACUGAAGAGGAGCAGUGGUUGCAUAGUAAUCGUCAUCAUCUUCAUCAUCAACAUCUGCCCAAGAUUUCACCGUCAACGGCGCCGGAGCCCACAAAACUUCCGGCUCCUGUUCCUUCUUCGACGUCCCUUUACUCUUCUCCUUAUCAGAUUUCUUCUCCUUCCUCAGAGUAUCAAGCGCCGCAAAUACAUUGGAAUUCUUCACCAUCACAGACCCUUCUUUACUCCCCAUCAUUUCAACCAAGUAAACCCAAUAUUUCUUCUUCAAUUUAGGGUUUGGAGAAGUUGUUGGAUCAGCAGAUAACAGAGACUGAGAAAGAAGAUGGAGGUUUUAUAUAUAUAUCAAUAUAUUUUAUAAUUUUUAUCAAAGAGACACCAAUUUUAUGUAUAAUUGCGCAAUUAUGCAACAUGCUUUCUUAAUUACCAAAAAAAAAAAUGUAGCAUAACCUUUCCACAAACUAUACAAUUUAUGCGGAUUCAGAAUUUGAAUUAGUUCAUUAUCAAAAAUUUAUAAUUAUUUAGUAGAUUCGUUCGAAAAGUAUGAAUAAAAAUGAAUGAACUUUAUAUAUUUAUAAAUUAAAAAAAAAAAUUGUCACUCUAAACAAAGUGUAAUAUUUUCUAUGUAUUUGAUUUCAAAAAUGGGCGUAGAACUCAACUCAAAUGGUUCUUUAAAUACAAUAUUAUCAUUUUUUGGAAUUAUGCAUGUGUGCUAAAAAUAACUUCAUUUAAUAAUAUUUGUUUAUGAUCGUUACUAGCAGUUAUUUAUUUCUCUUUCUUGUCGUUUUCGAUGCGGUCAUUGUCCGUUGUCCCUCAAUUAACAUCUCAAAUUCAGAAUCUACCCUUUUAGAUUCUCCUAUCUCUUCAAGUUUCCAAGCAGGUAGGUCUUCGUAUGUUACCAUUCUAUUGUACCCUCCAAAUUCAGCUAAUUGAAGUAGACAAAUUCUGAUAGUAGCUAGAAGAGUCGUUUAUAAUGAGAUGUCGGCUAUGAUUUUCAAGACAUAAAACUACUAUGAAGGCAUGGUCAAUUUGUGUAGAGACAACAAUUAUUGAUCGAUUUCUAAAAUUAAGGCUCCAAAUUAACAAUGGUUAGGUCAAUAUUUGUAAAAAAAUUAUCUUACUACAACGAUCAGUUAAAAGUUAAAAGUCUAGAGUAUGUGAUAAUUUCAACAUUUUAUUAACCUUUAAUAACAAUAAAGAUUUCAAUGUGAUGUCAUAGAAGAGGGUGAUUGAUAUUGAAGAUUAUCGAAUUUGGCUACAAAAAUAUACUCUGAAUUUCAAGUUAUGGGAGAAAAUUAUAAUUGUUCAAUAAUGUCCUUACUAAGUUUGUCCUUUCACAUGCACACAUAGAAUUAUGCUAAUAAAUGAGAAAAAUACAUAAUCAUCCCAUGAAAUUUUAUAUUUUUUUUGAAGUAGACACUUUAAGUUUGUAAAAGUCAUAUUACCCCACGAAAUUAUUUCGAAUCACAAUAAAUACACCAUUUUAACAGCAUUUGCAAUCUCAUUACCAGUGAGUGUGUCUCGCCCCAAAUGAAACAAUGUAACUUUAUUUUUUCCUAGCCUUUUAAUAAAGGGUUGGGUAAAACCCAGACCCGUUCAAAAUCUUGACAAAUUUCUUUUUUAUCUUAAACAUUUUGUACACAAAUCAUGAUGAAGAAGAACAUUGUGAUGGAGAAUUUUAGAAACUCCAUUGCAGAUGUUUGUAGAACUUUAACAGUGACUGAUAGAAGAAGCUCCAUUAUUGGAGAGUUUCAUAGUGACAACGCAAAUGACAUCUUCUUUGUUUAUGGGUACACAAGAAUGUGAUCAAGUUAAGUAAGCAAUACGGGCUCAAUGUGAUCAAAACCCUUUUCGAAGAAACAGGGAAAGAACGACGGAUGCAUCAUAUGACCUUCAUCGAUCUAUCAGUUAUCAAACACUAAAUGGUACAAACAUGCAUUCGUCGUUGCAGUCCAAGGUGUAUUCUUCAACUCAUUCCUAUUUGGCGUCACCAAAAUUGGCUAAUCAGAUUGUUGGGUGCUUAGAGGAUGAAGCAGUGAAUUUGCAAAUAGAGUUUUUUGAUUGAUAUAGAGAAGAGACUUUUUGAGAACUCUGCCAACUCCAGAAGUUCAUAUGGCAUCUCACAACGUUUAUAGAUUGAAUUAUUGGAUUGACAGAAGAUAAAAAAAAAAGAAUGUACAUGGAGAGCUCUUCAAUGGCCAUCAAUGGGGGUUUGUGGAAGAUAUAAAUUGGUCUAUUUAAUAAAGUAAAAAAAAUUAAAUUGGUCACACCACAUGGCACUAAAACACUGGUAUAGGGGUUAAUUCUUAGUACUGACGCGCCUCUCAAACGUGAAAUUGCACAUACUCUGAAAAUGAGUUAAAAGGGUGUAUUUUUCAUAGUUAAAAGUAGAUUCGUGAGAUAAUAGAUCUCUCGCAAACUUUAGGUGUCUACUUUAAAAAAAGGUAUAAAUUCCAUGGCGUAAUUAUGUAUUUUCUCGCUAAUAAAUAACUGAUGCAGUGAAAUUUUUCACUGAACUUGAUAUAGCCACAAAAAUUAAAUAGGUCAAAUAUGACUAACAUGCAAGAUAGAUUUGUUGAAACCUUUGGAUCAUAGUGUGUGUUUGUACAAAAGAAAAUAAUCCACUAACAUAUAUAUGUAUAUAUAUAUAUAUAAUCAUUUAUAUUGGACUAAUUCUUUUGUUAGAAAAAGAAAAUUUGAAUUUUUAUAAAUUGAGGAUCCAACAAAUCACAAUGUAGUUCGUUAGGAGAUUUGAAGAGGGCUUGUUUAGGGGAGAAUUAUAUAUAUAUAUAUAUAUAUAUAUAAUCAUUUAUAUUGGACUAAUUCUUUUGUUAGAAAAAGAAAAUUUGAAUUUUUAUAAAUUGAGGAUCCAACAAAUCACAAUGUAGUUCGUUAGGAGAUUUGAAGAGGGCUUGUUUAGGGGAGAAUUAGUUCUCUCAAUACUUUUAUAUUAGUAGAUUGUUUAUUUCGUUUCAUAUGUAUGUAGAUCAAUAAGAAAACUAUGUUAAAUUAUUCUCUCUUUUCUCCUUUUCUCGAUUUUUCAUCGCUUAAGAUUUACGUUUUAACUUUUGCAUGACAUUUAACUAUUCCGAUCCUAGCAAAAUCCGUCUAUUUCACAAGAGACACCUAUUUGUAAGGGGAUAGAAUUGUGUUCACUCAUAUCCUCUUAAAUCAGUAUAACUUUGUGCUGUUUCUAGAAAUGCAUGCGCAUGACAAUUGUCUGCUUCUACGUUACGUAGCACAAUUUCCUCGAAGAAACAUUAUCAACUACCUCUAUUUUGUUCUACAUACAUACAUGACAACAUUUUACAUUACUUAAGAAAAACAAUAAACUUAAAACAACAUUCUUUAUUAGUAAUUAAUUCAUUAUGAAAAAAUACAAGAAAGGAAGAGGUUAGUGUUAGUUGACUCCUACUAAUUCAAUGAUUAAGGCUGUGUUUAUGAAUUAUUUCAAGAAAAUAUUUUCAAAAACAUAUGACAGUUCUCAGUUUUGGCAUGACUUUUUUAAAAUGUAGAAUGCAGUCAAGCUGAGCUUCCACAUUCAAUUAAACAAUUCAAUGAAUUGUAUAAAAUACGGUGUUUUUUCCACAGUCAAGUUGGUACCAAUGUUGACACCCAAUUUUGGCCUAACAUUUUCAAAAAUUCGCAAAUUUUAAGUUUUAUUUAUCUAAUGGUUCAAUUUUUUUUUUUAUAAUUUUAAAUAAGUUUAUCGAUAACUAUCUUUAUUUGUCAAAAUGUAGGGUUUUUUAUCAGUUAAUUUUAAAAUUACAUUUUUUACAUGUCAUUAGUAUAGGGGUGUGCACUAUUCGGAUUAAAUCGAAUAACCAAACCAAAUCAAACCGAAUUUUUAUUUGGAUUGGUUUUUUGGUUUUUCGGAUUGGUUUUGGAUUAAUAAAUUACUUUGUUUGUUUUUUUGGUUUGGUUUUGAAUUUUAAAAAUAAAAACCAAAAAACCGAAAAAAACCAAAUAUAUAUAAUGUUUAGGCUUAGAAUUAAGUUGGAGUUAACCACUUUUGUCCCUUUUUGGUUUAUUGCCUUUCAUGAUGAUUACGUUUAUAUUUUAUGUUUGAAUUACAUCUAUAAUAGGUAUACUUAUAAGUAUUGUGUUUUAAAUUUUACUUAUGAUUUAUAUUAGAAAGUAUAUUUAAGGGAUUAAAUAUUAUUACUUUGGUUAUAUAUGUUAUUAAUUAUUGACAUAAUCGAAUAACCAAACCGAAAAAAGCCGAACCGAAUAGAGGAAAACCAAACCAAACCAAAUUUUAUUUUGGAUCGGAUUGGGUUACAUUUUUACAAAACCAAAAACCGAAAAUCCAAACCGAAUAGUGUAAAACCAAACCGAAAAACCGAAUGCACACCCCUACAUUAGUACGUGCAUUAUAUUUAUUUUAAUUCAUUUUAUUUGUUACAUUUGUUAAUAUUGAUAUUUUGCAUAAUCUAAAAAAUUCAUUCAAAUACAGAUAUUUUACUUGAUCGAUAAUUUUGGGCUACAAUCAGAAGCCCAAAAAUUGAGCCCAUUUAACAAUUAUUUUCUAUAUAGAUUUUGGUUAGGUUAAAAAAUAGGGGUGGUGAAUUUAUUUUUUAGAAUAGGGUUGUAAAAUUUACAGAUUUGAAUUCAAAAUGGGCUCUACUAUUCAUUAACUUUUCGGUCAUCACCAUCCCGGAUUCCGGCUAAGCUCCGGCAACUCUAAAACCCUCUUCUUUUUCCCCUUUUUCCGGUGAAAUGGUCACCGGAAACAACCCCAUUUCCCCUUUCCUCGUUUCCAGCAACUACCACCCAAAAACCCCACUCCAAAACAACCAUUUUUCCUUACCAGACCCACACAGCAGCAAACAACACACCAACAGACCCAAAACCAGCCAAACGAUCCCCACACUACCUAUUUUAUUCCUUUUCCAGAUCCACUGGCGAGCUCGAAGCUCGCCACCUCCAAACCACCCCGUUUCCCUCUCCCACCAGACCAAAACCCCCUUUAAGUCAAUCGCCACAGCCUCAUAAACCAGCAACCAAAGCUCCGAGCGGCCAUCCAAAACCCCGACCCAGACCAUCCCUUUUCAAUAAACUACAACAACCCAGUCGCUGCCAGUUCCCUUCCACGUCCCCUUUUACAUUUUCUUCUUUUUACAGGUAUUUUGGCUCAAAGUCGGUGAGCUCCGAUGAAAAAAUGAGUUCCCACCACUGCGAGCUUCAAGCUCCGCGAACAACCAGACACAACCAGCAAAACGCCAACCUCCGUAGCUCCGGCAAACAAGUAAUCCUCUAUGUUUUAUUUUUGUUGUAACUAUUUUACUUCGUUCAUUGCUUUUCCAGAUCUGGCCGGAGUUUGAUAAAGUUUGUCUUUUUCGAUUUGUUGUGUUGAUAUUAUACUGUGUUAUUUUGAUUUGAUUGUUUAUUCACAGCUUUUGUAUUGAUUUGCUGUUUGUUUACUCUUACAGUGGCUAUGCUUUGAAUUUUUUUUUAUUUAAAUUAAAUGUUUAAUGGUUAAAGAAUAUUUUCAAUUGUGAUUUCAUUCUCAACUUAUGGAUCUUUUAUUAGGAUAGUUACUUUCUCAUUAUUUUAUAUUGUUAAUUCGUUUUGACUUUAUUCAUUUGUUGACAUCGAGUUAUUUGUUUUAGUGUUAAUUUUGUUUUUAUUAUGAUUAUUUUAUUGAUUGUUCUUUUGUUCCGUAUGCUUAUCUUAUUUUUAAUUGUUGUCUAAUCUAUUAAUUUAAUAGUUUAAAUUAUAUUUGCUAUAUUUUGUUGGAUUUAAUAUUGUUAUUAAUAAUGGUGUUGCCUUCGGUAAAUUUUAUACUUUUCAUGUUACUGUUACUUUUUGUUAAUGUUAAGAUAAUAUUUUGUCAUUUUUUGUUAUUGUUAAUUGAUAUUGAAUAUAUUUUGUUUGUUCAAAAUGGCUAAUGAGAAAAUCUCUCUGUCGAGUUUGGAGGCCUUUACAUUGUAAAAGACGAAAAUUUAAUUUAAUUUCAUAUAUUUUGUUUGUUCAAAAUGGCCAAUGAGAAAAUCUCUCUGUCGAUUUUGGAGGCCUUUACAUUGUAAAAAACGAAAAUUUAGUUUAAUUUCAUAUAUUUUGUUUGUUCAAAAUGGCCAAUGAGAAAAUCUCUCUGUCGAUUUUGGAGGCCUUUACAUUGUAAAAAACGAAAAUUUAGUUUAAUUUCAUAUAUUUUGUUUGUUCAAAAUGGCCAAUGAGAAAAUCUCUCUGUCGAUUUUGGAGGCCUUUACAUUGUAAAAAACGAAAAUUUAGUUUAAUUUCAUAUAUUUUGUUUGUUCAAAAUGGCUGAUAAAGAAAUUACCGUCGAUUUCUAAGGUUUCCCAUGUUAAUAAGACGGUUUUUUAUUUUUAAAUUAAUUUUUGAUUCAUUUAUUUUUAUUCAUAACUAACACUUUUACUAAGUGUCUUUACAGGUACCCGGAGGUGCUUCCUAUUGAAGUUAUUCGAAUUAGGUUCGAAUUAUAUUCCUAUUUAUAUUGUAUAUUAUUGACGAUAGACAAAUUUAGGUCGAUUCCUAUAUUAUUGUUUUAUCAUAUUACUUGUGUAUAUUGCAUGUUUAUUAUAUUUGUACAUUAUUUUAUUUUCAUCCUCAAUUUGAAAAAAAUGAAUUCAGUCGAAACCCACAUUUGUGGAUUUCAAAGGAUGCCUAAUCCCUUCCCUUCGAAAUUACUUGAAUCCCUUAUCUAGAAUAUCUUGGUUUCGUAGAUUGAUUAAUUGGUUUCCUAAUUUUCCUAAAAUUAGACAGCAAUUCCUUUAAAAUUCUUAUUUUCUUAAAAUUCUUUUAAAAUUGAAUCAAUUGUUUAUUUUUUAGUCACCAUGACGUUUCGCCUUAUUUGAAUAGAGUAGGGAUGUAAACAGCCAAAUUCGAACUUUUGAAACAUUACAGUAGCGUUACCAGGGGUCGGAGCAACUUAUCUAAAAUACACGAUUAUUUGUCUUUCUACAUCACACUUUGUCCAAUGUCCAUUGUUCACUAUGCCACAAAAAAUAGGAAAAUCAUAAGGUAGAAAAUCAACACAGAGUAUAUCUUAAUCAUUAGCCACCGAUUUGACGAGAUGCUAUUGAGGUAUUUGAGCAGAGCCCCUUGUGCCCCUUCCACAUUUGUUAGUGCGUCAUCCACGUUCUCAUCAAUCCUGUGACAGAAACCAAGAUAUUACUUUACUGCUAAAAGAAUUUGCUACCCAUCCCCACCCUCACCCCAUUGUAUCUUGAUCAGAAGUCGUAACUAAGGACUAUAUUGUGACUUGUGAGUAUCAGUUUAAUAUCAACAAUCAGGUAGUACAAGGUUUUACACCUUACAGACAACAGGAGAAGCACCAAACUUUAAGUGGAAGGCACCAUUUUACAAGAUUCUAAAUACAGAUAGCUCAAAGUACAAAAAACUUCCAUCAACUGUCAGAUUUUUCUCUAACCAAUAUGGGGAUAAAGCAGUAAACCUUACUUGUUGAUUGCACAAACAUCAUAUAUGAAGAACAUUUAUAACAUCUCACGCAAAUUUGACUUCAAAUAUUAUCAAUUAUGUACAAAAGAUUUACUUGUAAAUGAAAAGAAGUGUGCCAAGGCCAAGAAUUAAACUACAUGUCACAAUAGAAAGAGGCGUUAAAUAAAAUGUGAUGGUGGGGUUCAUUGAGAGUACACACAUCACAUUUUAUGUUAACCACAAGUAGAUAUGCAUAUCAUGUUAAUGACCCUUGAGGAACUUCAAAAGCUCAAUUUAACAAAGAACUUACCAAUUAUUAUUUUUAAGAACUGAGAAGAAUUAGCCCGUUUCUUCCAACAUAAAUAUGAAUGAAAUAAUAUAAAAGACACUAGGUCUUCUAAUCCCUCUAACUAGCAGAUGGUGGAUGCAUGAUCCGAUCCCAUAUUGGAACGUUAAUGUUUCUCAGUCCAAAAGUUCAUGCAAAGGUUAAAAAAUUAACUUUUACCAUGCAAAAUAGGAUAUCAACAAGAGAAGACAUCAAAGUAUUGAUCAGAGUGAUCAUCCAAAACUAGUGAUUAGUUGAUAGAAAUUAACAAACAAAAUAUUCAUUACUUGCCAUCUCACAUAUUUAACUUUACGUCUUUACAACUAGGAGACUACAUUGGUGCCAACUGGUUGUACAAAGAUAACUAUGAAAAUACGAUGCAUUGAAAUCUCCUAAAUCCUUCUAUUAUCAUCACCAUUAUUAUUAUAAUUAUUAUAAUAAGAAUUAUUAUUAUUAUUAUUAUUAUCUUCAUCAUCAUCAUCGUCUCCUACAUCUGUUUAUUUUCUGAGUGCAAAAACAAUUGUUAUACAAACCUGACUGCAACCUCCCCUUGCUCAGAAACCAAGGUAGCAAGCUGAUUAAAAAUGCUGCCCAGCUCAUGGAUAGUAGACUCGGCAUUUUGAAAAGCUUCAGCUCUACUCUGCAUGUAGCUGUCUUGCAAUGGAACUAUCUGCUGCUGCUGCUGUUGUUGAUCCUGCAACAAUGGCUGUGUGUUUCCAUCCCCUUGCUUCCUACAAGAGGGGAAAAACUUAGUGAUACUUAAAAAACCCAAAGCGAGCACGAAAAACAGAUGUAGAACAGGGUCUGGUUUACCUUAGUUAGUUUUCCAGAUAAUCAUUACAGUUUGGACAAAGAAAAGUACCAAAGGAUGUUAUUUUUGGGACAAGUAGAAGUAGACAAGGAUGCUAAUAUAUAAAUUGUUUUGUACAUCUGAAGAGAAGCUUCUCAUGUCUGUUUUCUUUUUAGUGCACCCAUGAAAUUCAUAUUUGUAUAGAUGGUUGGGUGUUUUCUUUUGUAGAAAAUCAUAUUUUGCUGCAGAUUUUUUACUUAUUGGUAUACUGCUUGGUUGCUAGCAUAUGAGAGUUCUUCCAACCAUUAAUAAACAUUAUUUAACUUAUUAAAAAAGUGAAUGACCAUGUGCCUUACAGCUACACCUAAAUCCAAAGCUAGUUGGGGUCAGACAAGACAUAUGAAUCCCCAUUGUCCAUUUAGACUCAUCUCAUGCCAAUAUUCUAUAAAUUUAGGUUUUCUAACCCUAAAAAUACACUACAUUCUCAACUUGCACACAAACCCCCAACAAAAUAAGAAAAACUCUUAGCAAAUGUUGGACUAAUUUGACUGUACCAACAAGAUUUAGCCUUAAGCUCAACUAGUUGAGGAUCUUUUUCUUCUAUUAUAUUCUAUUUUUUGCCAAGUCUGCAUGGAUUUUAAGAGAUUGUAGAUCUCUCAAAAUGACUUCCUUUCUAUGAUUUUAGGUCUAACUUGUUUUGUAACAUCUUCAACACCACCAAAACUAGCCUUUGUAGGCUCACCUAGGCCCUUUGACUAAGCAGGAACCAGAAUAGAACAAGGCAAUAAAAACCCCCACCAGUGACAUGCAUUUAUUUCAAUUGCCUACAAUAAGAUGGCUCCAAUGAUGAUAACUCAUCUUUACCCUCCCGUCCCUCAGCUACUUCGUUUGGACCUUAUAGGGCACCAUCUGUCGUGGUGGGGUCAUCUUUAUUGACCAUAGCACAAACACUACCACCGCUGCCUCUAUUUUACUUAACUUUAUACUACAUUGUUAUUUGUACUCCGUAAACUUAAUAACCAUCACUGAGUAUUGUCAUAUUCAAGUGUUCUAACAUAUAUAAUACUUUUUGAUCAAUUUGUGCCAUUUGACAAAAAAUGUGGCUAAAACUAUAAAAUUUAUUGAAAUAACACAAAUUUGGCUAGAAUUAAAAGAGGGAGAGAGAUAUUAAGAUAUGAUCAAAUAGAUAACCAACAAAUAUAGCAACACGAGAAGAAUGCACAAAGUUCCAACACAGGCAAUUAGAGUAACUAGGUAAUAAGUCAAAAGAGUGUAAACAAUACAAUCUUAGUAUACUGAUAGAAGAUAAAUAAUGAAAUGAUAAAAGAAGGCCCAUGGGAGGAAACAGACAAGGGAAGAAUAGUGUGUGUUAAAGGGGAGAGGCAUGGGGAAAUGUGGGUAAGGGGUAAGAGUGUACCAUUUAAAUUUCUCAUGAUUUUUAAAGCAAAAGAUCAUGUGAAACCAAACUUCCAGGAGAUCAGCCCCCAAUCAUUUUAACCAGAUAGAGAUCAAAACUUCCGACCACUUGAACUGUUACCAAACAGCAUUCAUCCAAACAAGGUGUGUGUCUUAUUCAAUUUCACCAAGUCAAGAAUAUAAGUUUCAUGGAAGAAAGGGGUUAAGAAAAAUUUGGAUCUAGUAACAGAUUAGACAAAUAGGAUAAAAUAAAGGUACUUAGUAUUAUCGUAGAUCAUGUUUGGAGAAGCUAUUAUACGGACUGUCCAGUAGUUAACUCAGGGAGACAGAUUAGGCCAUAGACUGAAAAGGUUAUUCCCACGAGAGGAAUAGCUAUCUCCUCUCUUUCAACCUUUAACAAAUGAAUCAUUUGUAAUUUCUUUUUGGCAUCAACAUGGGUAGAUCAGUAAUCAUGUCAAGAUUACCAAAAGCAAAGGUUGGAAAGAAGAACAGACUCCUAGGGUUUCAUCUAUUCUUUUGAAUUAGUUAAAAUCAUUGUAAUAAAAAUAUAGCAAGCAAGACAUUCCCAUAAUUACAAAAGAAACUCAUGGCCACUAAUAUGUUCAGUGAUAGCAGGCCUGUAAGGCAUGAACUGCUAAGACGGUGUAUUUCCUCACCUUGGAAAUAACUGAGAAGAAGAAGCUGAAUCAUUAGCCCAAGGAGGGGGACUGGCUGAUGUAAUAGCAGUAUUCCUUGAAGCUAGUGGACAACAACAACAUACCCAGUGAAAUCCCGCUAGUGGACGCUGGCGCAUAAAUGGAUUCGAAGCUUCUUUGGUAGUCGAUGAAGAAAUCAUCUGUCUUCUGUUCUCAUGAACCUUCAUAUUCUGAAAACAGAAAUUCAAGAAAAUGUAAAUGACCAUGAUGAAGUGUAUUUUUUCUACUGUUAACGACCAAAAAGUUGAAGGAUACAUGUAGCCACAAAAAAAAUAGUAAAUAGAAGCCUUCGCUAAAUUGAGACUCACAAAAGAUCUAUUUGAGUAAGAAAAAAGGAUAACAAAGAAGAUAUAACCAGCAUCUGGCUAGUCUCACCUCUGUCCGCAUGGUGAGUACUUCUUUGAACUCCUUUGUGGCAGUCAUCAGCCUGUUCUUCAAGCCAUCUACAACAGUUGUCGAGUGACUAGUGGUAUCACUAUUACCACUUUCAUUACGAGAAUUAGAGUGAAGCUGGAGAUCUACUACAGCAGAGUUAAGUGCUGUAAUAUCUUGAUUGAUGACUGCAGUCAGCUCCUGGAUUUCUGUAGUCGGAUCAUCAAAAUCGGAAGUCCUUUUUGCCACUGGAAUGAAACAUAAACCACUAUUAGAUAAAGAUCAGAAACCUUGGCCCUGAUUAUAAUCACAACAUAAAUAAGUGUCAAAGAGCCAAGGCCCUGGUAUAAACCAAUAAUAUGUUUAAAAAAUAAAAUAAGGAUCAACAUCUCUCUUUUACAGUUUGAGAAGAAACCAAAGCAUAAAUGGUCAGGUUAGUAGGAACAUGAAAUCUAGGGAGGGACUGCAGUAUUAAAGAUAAACUUGAACAAGAAAAUCCAUUAUGGUCCUUGAGGACUUGAGAAGAUUAGAUUUAGCCCAAGUUGCAUAGACUUUUCACUUUCGAUGCCGCACCCGUGUCGGAUUCUCCAAAAAUACACUACUUUAGGAGAAGCCGACACGCACCCAUAGACAUUUUUGAAGAGUCCAAGCAACAUCGGAUUUAGCAACUCAUUACCCAAAUUUCCUUAGCAUCCAUAAGAAAGAUCAGUUGCCCAAGUUUGCACCUAUAUUUCCUUUUACAUGAUUUCCUUAGCAUCCAUAAGAAAGAUCAAUUGCCCAAGUUUGCACGUAUAUUUCCUUUUACAUAAAUUUCUAACACCGUGCUUAAAUCAUUAUACACAACAAACUGAACUGCCCCACGAACCCAUGAUGAGAAAAUAUAAAGGGAGGUCAUAACUGGGGCCUGUAAGGGAACUGUGUAAUCUAGUACGCCAAAAUUGAUGACUUUGUCACUUCAAUAGGCAAAAGGAAUGUCUUAAAGCAUAGAAAUUCUGAAUAAAACUAGGCGUGAAUGUUGUUUCUGAAUAAGAAGGAAAAUGCAUAAGAUUUGACCAAAUAGUCAAAACAUACUGAAAUGGCUAAAAAGAAAAUCCAAGGAGUAAAAGAAAGAUAGCAAAGUCAAACCACUAAGGUAAAAGUCAACCCCAGAAACAGAACAAAAAAGAUUAACUUCAAAGCACCAUAGAAUAAAGUAUUCCAUUCUUCACAGAAUACUAUUAAAUGGGAUUUGGAUAAGAAAAAUGAAAGGUCAUAUUAGAAGAAACAACUAACUUCAAAAUCCAGAAAGUAACAGGACUGAAGUUGGAAGAAAGCUUUUCAUCUGUGAAAGCUCUUAGCUGCUUUUUCCACAACUCUAAUGCUUAGCAAAUCCAUAAAAUGGAAGAUUCCAAGUUAAACACUGUCAUUUACCAGAUUAUCACUUUACACAUGUUUUUUAUAAUAAUGGUGGCAUCAGGACAGCUUAGCCAGCUUAUGUGCAACUCAAUUACUCCAUCAGGUUCUGCUACCUUCCACCAUCAUACGUAUCAUUGUACCAGAUAACCUAUCUACCAAGACUUAACCAGAAAAGAAGAAAAUUAGCUAGAGUGCGACUGAUAUUGGUCCUCUGAAAUGGUAAAAUAAUCUACCAGACAUAUACAUGGGUCACUGCAAUAUAAAAAGAAUUUUGAACAGAGACCAGAAAAAUUUGAUCCGAACUCCGAUAUUUCAGCUAACGUUCAUUACUGAUCCAAAAUUUGCAGAAAAAUGAGAAGAAACCUCAAUUUUAGAAGAAGAUUUCUAAUCAGAGAAAUCCGACCCAAACUUCAAUGAAGAAACUCCGAACUGAGAACUUCGAGUAGAACCUUUAAACCCUGGGACUGAAGCUAUAAAAAUGAAACUUUUUCAAAGAAAAUCACCCCACUUAGAAUAUCCCACCAAGUGAGUGUUUCAGAAUCUCUUUUCUAAAGAACAUCAAGCGCUCUGUAUUGGAGAAGAAUUAUAUGUGCUACCAUCAAGUUCAUUGGAUGAACAUUAUGACCCAACACUCAAAGGCUAAAACCUAGCUCACAUCAGCUAAAUUAAGCUUAUAUUAGAAUGAAACCUUUUCAAAGAAAAUCACCCCACUUAGAAUAUCCCACCAAGUGAGUGUUUCAGAAUCUCUUUUCUAAAGAACAUCAAGCGCUCUGUAUUGGAGAAGAAUUAUAUGUGCUACAACUAAAAGCCAUCAACCUUAUCAAAAAAAAAAAAAACUAAAAGCCAUCAAGUUCAUUGGAUGCACAUUAUGACACUAACACUCAGAGGCUAAAGCCCAGCUCACAUCAGCUAAAUUAAGCUUAUAUUAGAAUGAAACCUUUUCAAAGAAAAUCACCCCACUUAGAAUAUCCCACCAAGUGAGUGUUUCAGAAUCUCUUUUCUAAAGAACAUCAAGCGCUCUGUAUUGGAGAAGAAUUAUAUGUGCUACCAUCAAGUUCAUUGGAUGCACAUUAUGACACUAACACUCAGAGGCUAAAGCCCAGCUCACAUCAGCUAAAUUAAGCUUAUAUUAGCAACAAAAUUGUAAAUCCUUCAUAUCACAAUUCAAAACUUAAUAACUUUCAAGAGCGACAAAUGCAACCACAACCUCCAUAAUUAUACAUUUCUUAGCAGUGUGGUUUAGUGUGACUUCAUAUUUCCUCCCAAUAGUGGGAUGACUCGCAUGAUUGCUAAAAUGAAAAAGUUAAUAAUCUCGGUAUUCCUACUUGUAUAAAGGAUUGAGAGGCUGCUGUAGAGAAUCGUGUUUUGACGUAGGUUCUCUACUUCUGAUAUACCUCUUGUAAUCAGGAAUUUUUCUUCCCACUGUUAAUUAUACUAUUUAACUUGUGAAAAGAAAUCCCAGUGUCCCAACUACGGUGUUGAAGCACCAUAUGUGAAAUCUCUAAUCUACAGACUGAUCCCAAAUACAAGUAAUUUCGUUUUUUUUAAAAUACAAUUUGAGACAUCCGAAAUUUAAUCAGAAUUACUAUACUAACUAGUAACUACUAUGAAAGAUAUAAAAUGUUCAAGAAAUUGUAAGGUUAUCCAAUUAUUGAAAGAGUUGUAUAAUGGGACAAAUGGAGUACAGAAAUACUCCUCCAUUCCAAAUUGUUUGCUUGUUUGCUACUAUUUAAUAGGGCCAAGAACUAAAUGGGACAUAGAACAACUAGAAACUCCAAAACUAUGCCUCAACAUCAAGCUAGUUGGAGUGGGCUAAUGAUAUAUUUUGAUUAGUUUUAGUUUGGUUGCCGACAUACAGCUACCCUUCCUCUUUUAGCCGGGCUUGGUACAAUCUCACAAACAAAUAGGAUAUAGAGUGAAUCCUUAAUACAAAAUGAAGUAUCUGAGAGACUAAGAGAUGUCCUAAUAUUGGCUUACGUUUUGCUAGCUUUGCAAGCUUCUGAGAAGUUUGAUGUAUUCCAAAACCAAUUUUGGAGGCUCGCCGAUUGAACUCCGAUUGCAUAGCAAUAGUGGUCCUCUGUUCCUCCGAUCUAGAACCACUGCUGGUGCUGCUGCUAAUCGGCCCAUUCUGAAAAGACGAAAAUGACUUCUUUAACCUCUCCGCUAUACUCUGAAACUCCUGAGUCCGAUCCCGAAAUGACGCACUCGCUACUUUCACAGGCAUUUUCAAUAAUAAUCUCCGAAAAUUAUAACUUUCAAUACACUAACAAAUCGAUCUAUGCUCCUCAAUUAUAAAAAAAAAAAAACAUAGAGAAUUUCACAUGCGCAUUCAAAAACCGAUUGGAUCUGAAGAACCCUAGAAUUGCGAGAUCCAGAAAUCUUCUCCGACGAAGGUGAGAAUGACGAAUACGGGAUGAAAACCCUAGACCUUGCGCAGAGAGAUUUAGUGAUUGUUCGAUCUGUAGGGGAUUGAAGGAUUUGCAGAUCAGAUGCGGAACAUUGAGAGGAGGAGGGAGCCCAUUUGAUCCGAAAAACGAUUCAGAAGCUGGCGGUGCUAGGAUUUAGGAACGAGGUGAGUUUUGGAAGAAAAAUUGAAUGGUUUAAUUGAACCCAAUACCACGUGAGUUAGAGCCUGUUUGGAUGGGCUUUUAAGCUGGUCAAACUGGCUUAAAAGUCAGUUUUUGACUUAUUAGAGUGUUUGGUAAUUAUCAAAGUGACUUAUUUUAAGCCAAAAGCUAAAAAGCUCGGUGAGGGGAGUUUCUUUUUUUUUAACUUAAAAGCCCUUUUAUGUUGACCAAGUAUAUUACCUUUUGUCCUUAAUUCUUUUAUACAAUUCUCAAAUUGCCCAUAUUGAAUUAACCUUAACAUGUUAUUAUUAUAUUAUUAUUAUUAUUAUUAUUGUUAUUAUUAUUUUAUUUUUUUUAUUAUUAUUAUUAUUAUUAUUAUUCCUCUUAUAAAUAAUUUGUGGUGGUAAAGAAAUAUGUGAAUGAUAGGAAAAUAUUAUUACUUAUGGAUGUAAAAUAUAAAUUUAUUUUUAAGUAUAAAAACCUUAAAUUAAUCAACUUUUUAUCAUGUUAACAUCUUAAAGGGUAUUUCAGACAUUUUAAUUAAAAAAAAAUGUUUACCAGCACCUAUUUGCCAAACACAUCAACAACUUUUUUUUCAACUGCAGCACUUUUAUCCAAACACAUAACUACUUAUUUUUAAAAUAAGUUCCAGCACUUUAAAAAGUUACUUUUUUUAAGUCAAUCCAAACGGGCUCUUAAAAAUGACUACUUUCGAUUUUAUUUAGGGCCUGUUUGGAAGAACAUUCUAGUAAUUGAAUUUGAUGUAAUUACACUGUCUUGUCCUGUUUAGAAGCACAGGUAAUUACUUGGUCAGCAGGUAAUUAGUGUAGUUGACAUGGGGUAAUUACACUCUACAAUUCACAGGCAGAUGCUGUGAAUUGCUGGUAAUUACAUGGUGUAAUUACCAUGUAAUUACCACUUGAUUAUUUUUCAUUUUUUUUAAUUUCUAUUUUUAUUUUUUUUGUUUUAAUUUUUUUACUUCUAUUAUUUUAAUUUCUUUUUAUUUUUAUUUUUCUAAAAAAAUUGUAAAAGUCUAUUUUUUAUUUUAUAUUAUUAUAUUUCAUUUUAUUCUUUUCCUCAACCUUACUUUACGUGAUUCUAUGUAAUUUUCUCGUAUUAUCUAUUUCUUUAUGCCAUGUUUAUUUUUUCAUUAGCAUAAUUUUAAUAGUAUUCUAAUUUUUAAAUUAAAAUAGAAUUUAUUGUUAAGUAAGGUUAUAGUACGUGUUUUCUUUAUUAUGAAGAAAUAAAAAUAAAAUAUAUUUAUUGCUAUGUUGAAAUUUGUUAUAAGAGUAUGAUGUUAAAUUUUUUGUUUUUAAUUUAUUACUUAUGUUAUAUUUUCGGUUUCAUUUGUUUUAGUAAUAUUGAAUUUACAUUGCACGUCAUUUUUUAAUUAGACUUGAUAGAUUAUAUUUUUGUCAAACAUUUAAUAAUUUAUGAUAUUUUAUUUAUAUAUUACUAUUCUUUUUAUCAAACAUGCAUUUCACAAUGUUCGUAGAAACUUCAUACUUUUAGUUGUUACGAUCAAUUCAAUUGAAAUAUAUUAAUUUGAAAAAAUAUAAAUCAAUUAUUUUUCAUAAUAUUAGUUACAGUAAAUAUGUUUAUUAAUUAAUAUAUUUUCAAAAAAGAAUAUAUAUCUUAAAUAUUUAAUUUAAUGUCAUUUAUAAAAUUUCUUAUUUGUCUAGUAUAAAUUUAAAAUGAUUAAUUUUUAUUUUUAAAAUUUAUUAUAAUUUUAUGAUUGCAAUUGUGCAUCCAAACAGAACAUGUGUAAUGACACUGUGGCAUCCAAACAGGACAUGUGUAAUUACAGUGUAAUUACACUGUGGCAACCAAACAGGUCAGUGUAGUUAUUAGACUGUGUAAUUAUUAGGCUGGUAAUUACUACCCUAGUAAUUACACCAAUUCCAAUUACAUGGUGACUUUCCAAAAAGACCCUUAUUGUCCAGUCUAUUAUUCAGUAGUUAUAUUGAAGUUUGAUUGAAUUAUUCGUAUCGAACAGAGCCUAUUUGAUUAUGUACAUAUUCAAAUCUCUGAUUAAAGAAAGAUUAGUUUCAUCUACUGCACCACAUUCCGACUACUUAUGAGUUGAAUACGGGGGACUCUCCGUCUAAGUGGUUAAUCCAACGAGUCAAUUCUCAAUGCGAUGCAUCCGUGAAAUGGGACGGAGAUCUGCCCGAACUUAGUCCAGUCCUAUUAAAGAUGGGGUGAAUCAAGCAACUCUUAUAGAUAGAUGGGAUAGGAAGGUAAGAACCACUGAUAGCAUUUGCAGCUGCUUCUUUCCGAUCGAUAUACAAGCAGUUGGGCGUGAAGCUUUCUUCGUGAAAAAGCUCGUCCUUGUCAAUAUAGGAAAUGAAGAAAAUGAUUUUUUAAAAUAAAUUAUUUAUGCAUAAAAAUAAAUUUGUAAAAAAUGACUCGAAAUGACUACUUUCGAUUUUAUUUUUUUUCCAAUCUAUUGUUCAGUAUUUACAUUGAAGUUUGAUUAAAUUAUUCGUAUCGAACAGAGCCUAUUUGAUGUUACUUAUUUUGUCGUAAUUUAUAUGGCAAAAAUGAAAUUUGGAAAGUCACCCAAUUUUUUACAUAUUAAGUUGUCAAUUAUUGUGAUUUAUAAUAUUUAUAUAAUUUUUAAAUAAUAUGUUACUCUUUUGGUCCUAAUUUAUGUGGCAUGGAUGAAAUUUAGAGAGUCACUCAAUUUUCUUAUAUAAUUUUUAAUUAUUUUAAGUCAUAACUUAUAGUAUUUUACGUUUAAAAAAAUGUAAAAAUUUGUUCAUAUUUAUUAAUGAAAUGAUUUAUAGCAGCAUAACUAUUUAUGAUUUCUUUUGAGACACAAGUAUAGAAAUAAUUUUAUUUAUUCAAUUUGAGAAAUUAAAAAAUAAUUUAUUACUUAUAACUUAAUUUAUGUUUGUUAUUAACUAUAAUUAUUCUCAUUCUAUUUUUCAAAAUAUUGAAUUUAUUAUAUAAAAAGAUAAUAUAAUAAAGUUAAUGUUUUAUUUACUAUUCCUUAAAUUAUGUUAAAUCAAUAACAAACAAUUAAAAAUCGGCGGAGGAAAUACUACAAUAAUGUCACAUUUAUAAGUUAGACUAGAUUAGGCCUACCUGUGCUAAUGCACUAGCCCAACACAUGAACACUCGAGACUUUUUUGGAGUGCUUUGCGGUAAUCAUUUAGUCACUCGAGAAUUUAAUGUUGACUUUGCUAUGGACAUUUAAAUUUCUUCCAUUUUCAUAGUUCAUACAAACGUUAUAAGAAAUAACCACUCUAAAUACUAUUUUUACAAAGAUUGUCUAUAUAUAUUUCUCUCUACAUUAAUGAAUAUUAAAAUCUCUCCAACUCAUCUGGCAAGGACAAAACAAACAUCUUGUUGAUCUUCAAUGCAACUGUUGUUUGUGUGUACCCUUCUCAUCUCUUACAAUCAAUCAACACAAGAAAAUCUAUUAAUAUAAUAAAUCACAACCACUAUUUGAAUAGUUCAUUUUAGUGACGUGAUCAUAUACAUUUUAAGUGAGAUAAAUAAUGUACAUGCUCCUGAAUAACACGGGGAAUCGAAUCAAGAGAAAGAAGAUUCUAUAAAAAUGAGAGUCCGGAGCCGAAAGGACAAAAAAAAUUGUCAAAAAUUUCAAAAGGGCCCAUCAAUUUUUUUUAAAACCAAAAGGGCAAAAUCGCUCCUGACGGAGCGAUUUCCCUCUGACACAAUGACAAUAAAUUGUUGCCCUAACAACGAUUUUGUCUAAAAACUUUUUUUUUUUUUUAAUUAAAAAUCACUGCCACGGUAGCGAUUUUAAGUCAGAAUUUUUUUUCCCUUACAUCGCUUCAGGGGCAGCGUUUUUCAUGCCUAGUGCUAUUAUUUUCAUGCCUAUUCAUGUCUAUUGUUAAUUAUUAAUAUUAAUAAUAUAAAAAUGUUAAACAAGACGGACAGUAUACUCAUUAAAAUUAUUGAAGCAUGAGGGAAAUUGAAUUAUAUAUCAUAAAUAAUAAUAAAAGAAUAUUGAAUUAAAUUUUUUUUUUUUUUUAAAUUCUUAAUAUAGCAGCGAUUUUGAAGAAAAGAAGAUUUUUUUUUUGAGAAAAUCGCUGCUAAGGCAGCUAUUUUUAUUUUUUUUAACGUACGACAACUAUAGCAGCGAUUUUGUUCAAAUUCGUACAAAAUGAAGUAGAUUUUGUAGGUAUGACUUUUAACACAAUAACCAAAAUGCACGUUCUAGCUAAUUAAAAUCCAAAUUAAAGUCAUUAUUAUUAGUUUCUAUACUUUCAAGUUUUUUUUCCCCCUUUUGCUUUUCCUCUCCUCUAAUAUAAUUUACCUUUUCAACAAUUUCUUUUAACUCUAUGUCGGAGAUUUUCAUGCUAAAAUCUCGCUAGGGAUACUAUAUCACUAUAAUAAAUUAAGUGCCUUAACAGAGAUUUUCUUUUAACUACCUUAGCAGCGAUUUUCUCAAAAAAAAAAAUCUUUUUUUCUUCAAAAUCGCUGUUGGUUAAGAAUUUUUUUUUUAAUUCAAUAUUCUUUUAUUAUUAUUUAUGAUAUAUAAUUCAAUUUUUCUCAUGCUUCAAUAAUUUUAUUGAGUAUACUGUCUGUCUUGUUUAUCAUUUUUAUAUUAUUAAUAAUUAACAAUAGACAUGAAAAUAAUAGCACUAGGCAUGAAAAACGCUGCCCCUGCAGCGAUAUAAGGAAAAAAAAAUUCUUACUUAAAAUCGCUGUUGUGGCAACGAUUUUUAAUUAAAAAAAAGAUUUUUUUUUGCAAAGGCAGCGAUUUUUAAUUUAAAAAAAAAAGAAAAUUUUUUUUUAGACAAAAUCGUUGCCCUGGCAGCGAUUUUUCGUCAUUGUGUCAGAGGGAAAUCGCACCGUCAGGAGCGAUUUUGCCCUUUUGGUUUUAAAAAAAUUUGAUGUGUUCUUUUGAAAUUUUUGACAAUUUUUUUUGCCCUUUUGGCUCCGGACUCAUAAAAAUGAACUCAUCUUCCCUAAGUUAACUUUGAUGAGGCAAAAUUUUAAGGGCCUGUUUGGAAGGACACCCUGGUAAUUGGAUUUGGUGUAAUUGGUGUAAUUAUAUUGUCUUGUCCUGUUUUACAGGACAAGUAAUUACUUGGUCAGCAGGUAAUUGGUGUAAUUGACAGGGGGUAAUUAUACUCUACAAUUGACAGGCAGAGACUGUGAAUUGCUGGUAAUUACAUGGUGUAAUUACCACAUGAUUACUUUUUAAUUUUUUUAUUUCUAUUUUAAUUUUUUUUACUUCUAUUAUUUUAAGUUAUUUUUUAAAUUUUAUUAUUCUAAAAAUUUGUAAAAGUUUAUUUUUUAUUUUUUAUUAUUAUAUUUCAUAUUCUUCUUAUUAUCAACCUUACUUUACAUGAUUCUAUGUAAUUUUUUCGUAUUAUCUAUUUCUUUAUGCCAUGCUUAUUUCUCAUUAGCAUAGUUUUAUUAUAUUCUAAUUUUUAAAUUAAAAUAGAAUUUAUUGUUAAGUAAGGUUAUAAUAGACUUACGUUUUCUUUAUUAAGAAAAACUAAAAAUAAAUCAUAUUUAUUGCUAUGUUGAAAUUUGUUAUAAGAGUAUUAUGUUAAAAUUUUGUUUUGAAUUUAUAACUUAUGUUAUAUUUUCAGUUUCAUUUGUUUUAGUAAUAUUGAACCUUCAUUGCACGUCAUAUUUUGAUUAGAGUUGAUAGAUUAUAUUUUUGUCAAACAUUUAAUAAUUUAUGACAUUUUAUUUAUUUAUUAUUAUUUUUAUCAAACAUGCAUUUUACGAUGUUCGUAGAAACUUCAUACUUUUAGUUGUUACGAUCAAUUCAAUUGGAAUAUAUUAAUUUGAAAAAAUAUAAAUCAAUUAUUUUUUCAUAAUAUUAGCUACAGAAAAUAUGUUUAUUAAUUAAUAUAUUUUCAAAAAAGAAUAUAUAUCUUAAAUAUUUAAUUUAAUGUCAUUUAUAAAGUUUCUUAUUUGUCUAGUAUAAAUUUUAAAUAAUUAAAUUUAUUUUUAAAAUUUAUUAUAAUUUUAUGAUUGCAAUUGUGCAUCCAAACAGAAUAUGUGUAAUUACAGUGUAAUUACACUGUGGCAACUAAACAGGUCAGUGUAAUUACCAGACAGUGUAAUUACUAGGUUGAUAAUUACUACCCUAGUAAUUACACCAAUUUCAAUUACCAAAUGUCUUUCCAAACAGACCCUAAAAAUGAAUUGGGGAAGAUCUCAAGAAAAGAUAAGCUUUGUAAAUAUUUAGACAAGAAAUUUAUCCGUACUUCCAAUAGUAGUCAACAGUAGUUACCUCAUUCAGUUAGCAAAUCGUUGGGCACUCACAUAAAUGAAAUUAGUUUUCUGAACCUUUUAAGCACUUUUGGGUUUGACCAUGCAAGAAAAACAAGAAAUGUCAAUACUUUUGAUUAUGUUCGUUGAUCUAUCGUAACAUUUGUGUCUAUCAAUUUCCCACCACUUGUUUGCCUUCACCAACAGUGUGUACACCUUUUCAGAUACAUAUAUGAUAGCGGGGGAAAUAGCUUAGUAAGAUAAGAGUUGAAGAGAAAUAAUCACCAAAAAUAAAUGAAAAUUAAACAUAGUCUGAGUAUGUGUUAGGGGAAGCAAGAUGGUCUCACACACGUGCACUUCCCUCAAGUAUUCAACUACUAUUGUGAAUAGGUUAUAUAGAAGGCUAGGUUGGUUAUAUACUAUUUUUCACCAUCAUAUUGAUUCAAACUUCUAAUUUAUACGGAACUUACCGCUUAUACUUAAAGUAUUGUAUAUCAUUCUCCACCUCAAGUAUAUUGGACUUGUAAAAUUUUGUGAAUUCAAAUUGUGCGAUUAUUAUAUUAUAACUCAAUAAAGAACGAUUGUGCAAUCUUAACAUUUAAUUGUUUUUAAAAAAGGAAACAGAUUUAUAAAUAUGUAGUAUAAUUAUUUUGCAUUAUAACUAAGAAUACAGAAUAAAAAAGUGUAGAACUUACCUCUCAAACUACUUUGGACUCUGUUUCAAUCCAUAUGAUGUCCCGUAGAGCAUUAUAUUCCAUCCAAAUAAGUCAUACAACCACGUCAAAUGAAAAAAAGUAGAAGUAAAUAAAAAAAAUCAUACUUUUAUUAUAUUACCACCAAACUCUUAACUCAAUGAGUAUAAAGAAGAGAAUUCGAUUUUCAAUCAGUUAGAAGCACAACAAUUCAAAAAUAUAAGAAUAAAGCAAUGAGGAAUUACAAUAAUUUUAUAAAGUACUUAAGACUGCCACUAAUUAAUUUCUAUUAAAAUGUCAAUAUAAUGAAGGCUCAAUGUUAGGGAACAAAUGUGAAAAGAGACGAGAAUUAUUUUUCAUUUGGGUCAAACAUAUCAUCAAACAUCUUGAGUGCAGUGUCACUCUAGUAGUAAUAGAAACAGUUACUACUGCAUAUGAAAUAUUGAAAAUUAUUCAAUAUUAAUUUUUAAAAUAAAGAAGCAUAGAAAAAGGGUCUAAAAUGCUCCUCAACUAUUCGAAUUGGUACAAAACUAUCGUUCAUCCACCUUUUGGCCCCCAAAUAUCCCUGGCAUCCACCUUUUGAUUCAGAAAUACCCUCGAUAUCAACUUUCCGUCCAUAAUUAAAUUGAGUUUAAUAAAUUAAAGUACCAAUUAAAAAACCAUUAAUUAAAAUUUAUAGAGUAAUUUUAAGGCAAUUAAGUAACUUUCCAUUUUGAUGAAAAAUAGAAUAUAAUUGUCUAUCUUAUAAUUUGGACAUGUCUAUAUCUAAUAAAGUGAUUUAAAAAUUAUGAUAUGCAUAAGCAUGAUUAAUUGGCAUGACACAUAUCACGUUGCAUGACUCAUGUCAUACAUAAGGGACAUGUAUCGCAUAUGUAGAGUUUUGGGCUAAAUUCAUCCCUUAACUAUGACUAAGACUUAAGUUACAUCCUUGUACUAUAAUAGUUAACAAGAAACAUCAUUUUAGUAUUUAAAAUAUAACAAUUUUUUUUUAUUUUGUCUAUUUCAAUUAAAAAACUAACGUUUCUUUUCCUAAAAGUUAUUUCUCUCUCCCAUCUCCCUAUUUUGCCCCUUUCAAAUCUGUCCCAUCGUCUUCCAUAUUCAGCAAAAUAAAGAAGGAAAUUCAAUUUUUUCUGAACUUCACAAAAUAAUCAAGAUAAAAAACAAACUUCUCUCUUCAACAAGAGUUGAAAACAGGGCAGAGGGCUGGCUAUACACAAACAAGGUAAAUAAUAAAGAAAGAUUUGACACUUGACGUUUUUUAAUUCGUUUUUGGAAGUAAAAGUUUCCAUUCACGCGCUUCAUUUGCGUGAAAACAAACAUAAGGAGAAAAAGGACCAGAAUAGUCUAUUUAUAAAGGUAUUUAAAAGUUUUGUGGGGUAAUAGGACACUCGCAUAAUUAAAGUGUUUUUGAAAAUUCGAGACAACUUCAGGUGUCACUUUAUGUCUUUUCUCUUCAAGAAAAUGUAAUAGAUUUAGAGAUAUAUUCUUGAUAAAUGUAAUGUGUUAUAUGAUAUAUAUUUUUAAAGCAUUUUUAAAAAUAAUUAAAAUGCUAGGGUUCUAUUUAAAUGAUGAGAGAAAUAAUAUAAAUGAUUGAUUACAUGUGCAAACAAAAAAACGAGAAGCUCAAGGAGAACAAAAGAAAUAGAUAUCUUCUAAUACUCAUUUUUUGAAUAACAAUCAAUAAACAUCAAGGUAAGAAGAAAGACUAAUUAAAGAUUCACACGCAAGCAAAAUAAUCAUAUUUAUUGAAGAUUAAGAUGUUAGAACAACAAUUAAGAAGAGUCGAAAUAAGCACCAAAUUCUCAAGUUUUUUCAAAAUACUAGUAAAAGACAACAAAUACCAACAAAUCAAAUUAAAAAUCAUCCCAAUUGCUUUAUAGGUAAAUAUUAAACUUUUUUUCGAAAAAGAUCAACCAAAUUCAUUUUUUCAACGAUCAAAUCUCUUGAUGUUAUCUUUCUCAAGAACAUGAACGAGCAGCUCACGAGCCUAUUUAAACUUUGUCAAAGAAAGAAAGCAAGAUAUAUUUUUGUCUAAAUCUUCUGAAACUCAUUUGUUAUAUUGUCAAUAAGGCUGUAUUUCACAUUAUAUUUGUUACUAUUCAAAGAGAGAAAGGAAGAUAAAUUUGUCGGUGAGACAUUAUAUGAGAAAUUAUAAGAAAAAAUUGAAUAUAGACAAAAUAGUUAUACACUCUAUUAUUCACUACAACACAUUCGAUUAUCAGGGACGAAUAAUUUCGUCAUUUAUAAAUCAUAUUUCGUCACUAAAAAUCUUGUGAGAUGAAAAAUAAUUCGUCAAUCAGUCGUCACUAAAUGUGUGUCGCUAAAAGUAUACAAAAUGGAUUUAGUGCUUCGUCACUAAAAGUACUAUAUUAACUACAAAAUGAAAAAUCGUCCCCAAAUGCUUAAACAUUUGUGACAAAUUUAUUUGUUCGUAAAAAGUAUAUUUUUUUUGUAGUUAAUAGUAUGCUUUUGUCACUAAAAAAGUUAUUACUACCGACAAAAUUAUAUCGUCACUAAUUAUUUUACUUCAAUCAGUGACGACAUCAAUUGUCUCUAAAAUUAUAUGUAUUUCGUAGUCGAACAAAAUCUAAUUUCGUCACUAAUGACUAUAUUUUAUAUACAAAAAAUUAUUUUGUUUUUAAAUGCAUUAAUUAGGGAUAGAUUUAUUAUUAUAAAAAAGGUUAAUUUUUCCAAUUAUCCUCCCAUCUCAAUUUUCUUUAACCCCUCCCCAGGAGCUCCCAAAUUAUGAUUUCCUGGGGACUCGAACUCACAACCUUAAGGGAAGUGAGGAGUGCUUACCAUCCGAUCAACUCUCUCUUGUCACUACAAGAAAUCAGCUCUUUUGUGGCGACCAAAGUCGCUACUGAUGCCCUGAAAAUCGCCACAAAUUUCUUUUAGUGGCGACUUUACAGCCGUGGCAAGUACUUCCAUAACUAAAUGUUUCUUGUGACGACUUCUUGACGUCGCCACUAAAACAACCUUUUGUAGCGACAAAAGUCGCCGCUACAAUGUAGCCAAGUAUGCCACAAAAAAAGCUUCGACAAAAUAUAUGUUAAGUAAGUCGCCACUGAAGUAGGACUUUUAGUGGCAAGUCUACUCGCUCCAAGAAGUUCUAUGCUAUCAGUUGCAACACUCCUCGCCACUAAAGAAAGGACUUUUGUAGCGACAAUUUUCGCCACAGAUGUGUAAUACUUUCAAUGGCAACUCAUAUCGCUACUAAAUCUUUAAGAUUUGGUGGCAACUUGACGAUCGCUACAAAUACUGAUUUUAUUUGUGACAAAUUUUGUCACCCCUAAAUCUAUGUUUUUUAUUGCAAUACCCAAUUCUAAUAGAUUUCCUCUAAAAUCAAUAUAUAUUCCUAAAUUUAUAUCAAUUAUCAAUUCAUAUAUCAAUAUUAUCCAUUGUAAUUCAAGAAACACCAAAAAUAGUUCUCAAAUUGGAUAUAAUAAGUACUUCUAUUACUAAAAAUAUCAACAAAAUAUUUCAUUGUUCGAUGUCAUUUAUGCAUACACAUACGAAAAAGAAUAUUAAGUGCCUUCAAGCUCCUCCUUCGUCGACGCCUUUUGAGAUUAUGUAAGAACCUUGCCCCUAUUAGGAAAAAAUACAAGAUUAGUUCUAUUAUUAUCACAAGGGUGACCAAAAUAAUAUUGCACUAAAAUAUUGCAAAUGAACAAGUAAAGUUGUACAAAAUAAUUUGGAGUUUUGGGUUAAGAAACAUCCUUGAACUAUGAGUCAAAUUUAGGUAACAUCAUUGUGCUAUAAUAAUAAAUAAAAAACCUUCCCUUAUCCAACUUAUUACAGAUUCCUAGAGGCAGGAGUGUUCAUGAGUACGACAAAAUUCAACACCGAGUUCACCAAAUCCAUUCUAUUUAUCAGUUAUUUUCCAAUGCCUUCAUAAAACUAAAUAGAACAAGCUAGUAACCGAACAAGAAAAGAAAUAAAAUAAUUUGUUAUUUUAGAUUUUCUAUCCGUGAGUAAUGUUUUCCAGUUUCAAGUCCCUGUGACAAAUUUCCUACGGAUAAAAGCACGACUUGAGAAACAAAACCCACACAUAGUACAAAACACCUUUGUAUUUUUAAAGUAACAACUAACAACAAUGGAUCAACUUUUAUUCUUUAAGAAUCAUAUCAGAUGAUAAUAUUGCGACAGCAAAUCUUAUACACAUACUCAUAAAAAUGGAGUGACACUUAAUAAUUGAAACUAGGUCCUUGAUUGACUUAUGUAAUAGGAGUAACUAUACAUAGACUAAAAAAGGACAAAUAAUAUUGCUUUUUUUAAGAUUUCAGUUUAAAACUGCAAGGAAUUACUCUUAUACACUCUGCUUAUUUAACAGAACUAUUCAAGCAUAUUUAUAUUCCCAACAACAACUACGCCAGACUCGGUCCCAAACAAGUUAGGGUCGGCUAAAUACUCAAUCUACACUUUGCUAAGAAAAGAGAACUAAUGCAAUUUAUCUCUAUUUCCACUUAAUCUUGGGAGUCAUCUCAAUAUGACAAACAUAUCUAUCCAGGUUCUAUAAAAGCACAAUGAUCGCUAUGAUCUCUAAACUAGCAAGCUAAGCUCUACCGAGCCUUUUGUUUCAGAAAGGGUAAUAAUGUUGCUUACAAUGUGAUUAUAGAAAAUAAUAUAUACAGUAAACAUCAGUAGGAUAUAGGCAAUUCUUAGGUUCAUAACAAAUAGAUAUAAAGGAAGUAUUUACCUCUUUAAACCUGACAAUGUUCGGAUGUCUCGUCGAUCUAUGAUUUAUAAUUUCUCUCUGUACAUUCUCAUCAAUCUGAGACCAUAAUAAAGAAACUGUUACAUCAGGCUAACAGAAUUAAAGGAGAAAACACUACCAUACUAUAACGAUAACUAUUACAUCAGGCUUGAAAGAAUUUGAUACAACUUAGUAAUUGAGGAGAAAAAUAUUGUACUUAAAAGAGCUUUUGCAAUGGGCCAAAAUUGCUCCUUCUUACUUUGGCUUAUAGUUGAAUCAACAACAACAUAAUGUCAAUUGCAUUUCAAUCCUAAAUCAGUUUUUUAAAAUCUUUCUUCCUUCAAGAUUUCAACUCAAGCAAACACUUCUUGCAAAAAACCUCAAAAUCUGACUUUGCAAAUUCAAAGUUCCAAAACCUCAAACAAAUACAAAUUUCAAUGAAGAACCAGUAAAGGAGUUCAGCAGAAAAUCAACCAAAUAUGCAAAUCCAACACAAUCCUUAACCUAACAAAGUGAAAUAUCAUGAAACUAAUAAAAGCACAGGAAAAAGAAACAAACCACGAAGGAGGUUCAGUAUAAGUGGAAUGAUCCGAAUACACAUCAGCUAUCAUUUCGCCACCACCUGUAAUUCAAGGGACAAGAACACAAGUUAAGAAAUUGUUUGUCAAGAUUUUCGACUACUUUAAAUUCUUAUAUGAAUCAGUGACUUCCUCCUAAGUGUUCAAUUUCAUUUUAAAAAUCUCAUACAGAUUUCAAAAACAAGAAUGAAGUAAGCACAUCCUAGUGAUUCAAACACAUAAACUAGACGAGCAACAAUGUCAAUCACAUAUUCACUAAAUUAACCGAUCAGUAAUUUAAUUUUUCUUACGGUUUUCAAUACAUAUUAGCCAUUUCACAUGCUGAUUUUAUCAAAUAAAAAUGAAUAUAUUAUAAGCGUAAAACAGAAAAUUAGUUGAGCGGCAAGAAUAUAUAUUCAUUCACACAUUCAUUUACAGACCUAGAAUGGAAAAUAAGUAAAAGAGAGGUUAGUGGCCUUCUUCGGGACAGCAAAUCAGUGGAUCCUCGUCGAGUCUUUACCAUUGAAAAGGUUGUUCAACAGAGCCAAUUUAGGCUCUAUUUACAGCCGAAAAUCCAAACCUUACAUCCUCAAUGAAGCUAAAGAGUUUCAAAUUCUGAAAACCAAAAGAGGUGGGCAAUCUUCCGAGUGAUUUUGAGAGGAGAUAAUGAAAAAACAAGGGCAAAAACUCACUUUUCCAGAGCUCUUUGGAGCCAUUGGGAGGCUGUUGAGGGUGGAAUUCAUCCAUGGACCUUGGGGACAAAUCUUUUAUACGUCGAGAAAUCCAAGGAAUCCUAUCUUUCUAGCCCUAAGUGAGCCAUAGAUUGUGAGUGAGCUUUCGAGGAGUAGAGAUCGAGCGUCGAAUUGUAAAUGUCGAAUAGACAUCUGCAAGAGGGACGUAUUUUUCAGAGCUCAUGCCUAUUCAACAUUUGUAAAUGUUAGAAGCUUCCAAGUGGCAUGAGAGGGUGGAGGAGACAACUAGGGUGAUGAGAAAGGUCUCGCCGGUCUUUUCCCGAUGUUCUGGAGGCGGCGAUUUGUGGUUGUGAACUGAUCGAAUGAAAAUGGGAAAGGGAUAGGGGUCUUAAGUUUGGGUUAUUUGGGCCGGGUCAGGGUUUUUUAGGUGAAGAACUGAAGCUGAAUUUUUUUGAAUUUAUAACUGCAAAUAGAUUAGUAAAAGGUUUAAUUAUUUAUAUAUAUAUUGAUAAAUAAAAUUUAAAGUAUGCCGAUGCUCGAAAAACAAAUUAGGUGCGUUUAAAUAUGCAAGUUUUUUUUGCAUUUUGAUUAAUUAUAAUAUUUUAUUAUAUAGAAAUUUCUCAUUUUUAAUUAGUUUUCUUAUUUAAUCGUCCAUUUCAACAUUUAUAUUUAAAUUACAUAAAUAAAAUAUUUAUUGACAAUUCAAAUUAUCUUUUUAAUAAUUUAUUUCUUUUUUUUUUAAACAAAAAAUUGAAUCAUUUCUCAAUUUGUGUGUGUCAUCCUUGAUAAUUUUAUUACAAUAUACUUAUCCCGAUACAUCUUAUAGGAGGUGUAAGUGUAGAAUUUUCAUAUUAUAUAAAGUGUAAGUAUUUGAUUUUAAAUACAUAAAAAGUAUCUCAAACUGAAUCAUAUAACAAGAAUAUUUAUAAUAAUUAUUUGGUUCUUCUAAAUAAAAACGAAAAUAGUAAACAAGAAUUACUCACUACUUAUUUAAUAUCUUUAUUAUCAUAAAUUAGUUUAUUUACAUUUCAAUAAAAGUAAUACUAAUACAUAUGUCCUGCACUAGUUAUUUUUAUAAUGGGCAAAUUUUUUAUUACCGAGUACUUACUUAAAAUAAAUUUAUUAGAAAUAUGAAAUUACUCAUAUUACUUUUUUUAACAAUAUUAUUUAAUACCUAAAUGUUAUAUAUAAAAUAAAUGAUAAAAUGUAUGAAAUUAGUCUAAAUACUUAUUAAGCAAAGAGAAAUGAGUAAAACAUACAUUACUAUCUUUAUAACUAUUAAUUAAAAUUAAAUUGACAUACAAAGUCUUAUUAUAUAACCAUAAAAUAAAAGGAACGAUAAAAGGUUACUACAAAAAAUCCACUUUUAGUGACGACAUAAAAUGUUGCUACAAAAACUCCAAAUUUAGUAGCGACAUAAAAAGUUGCUACAUAAGCUCCAUAUUUAGCGGCGAGGAGGUCGCGGCAAUAACCCUUUUUGCAACGACUAUCUAUAUGUCGCCACAAAUACUCUUACAACUAUAUUUUCUUGAAAAAAAUCAUAAUUAUUUGUGACAACAUGAGUUAAGUCGCCCCUAAAUAUAAUACAUUUUGUGGCGACAUUUGAUGUCGCAUCUAAAACUUCCAGUUUUUGCGGCAACUUAUUAUAUCGCCACAAAAGGCCUCACAUUUGUGACAAUUAUAUGUGUCGCCACAGAAUGUUGUCACAAAAAGUCCUGUUUCUUGUAGUGUGUCUCUCAUUUUUAUUUUAUUUUUAACUUCAUUCACUUCUUUCAAAUUUAACUUCUGUAGAAAUAAUACAUUAUAUGAUUAUUUAUACACAUACACAAAUGCAUGGAAUUUACCAUUCACAAUUUAUUCAAAUGUUGAUUAUAUUUUAAUUAAACUGUAUAUUUUUAAAAAUAAUUCAGUACGAUUCUGUCAUUUUAUUAAUUUAUUUUUAAAAAUUAUGUAAUGACCAGGAAAGUCAUUUUUAGAAAUUUUUACAAAAUUACCGUUUUACGCAUCCCGAUAGUUGCCCCGAGUCUUUUUUUUAAUUUAAUUUUAUUAGUCAGUGAAGUUGAUUUGAAAAUCUUGAACUAUUGGUGUAACUACAGUUAUUUAGUUGGAGGGUAUUUAUUAAAUAAAUAAUUUAUUUAGUUGGUGGUUAAUGGGCCAAGUUCAUAUAUAUAUUAAUAUAAGCUAGUGAGAUUUAAUAUUUAUUUAAUUAUUCAGUGGGUCAUAAUUAUUUGCCCUACUCAAUUAAAAGAAAAACAGUUAGCCUCUCGAAGAGGACUUCAUCGGCGACCGAUCAAAGUGCAGCAGGGGAGAAACCGUUGUCGAACAAAACUAUUGUUGCGGUACCGGAAAAGGGCGACGAAACUGUAGGUAAUAUUCAAGUGAGUUUCAAAUGGUGUCUACUUAUAUUAUUGUUGCAUAUUGGAUAUAAUAUUAUUAGAUUGAAGAAUUAACAGGUGAAUUGUUGCAAAUUGAGUGAAUUGUCCGUGCUUUAGUGAACCGAAUAAUAAAAAAAUAAUAAUUGAGGGACAUAAUCAUUGCCAAUGAUAAGGCAAUGAUUGGCAAUGAGAGUAGAAUAUGCUUGAUUAGCAUUGGCAGUGAUAGUUGAAUGGAAGUAAUAUGGAUUAAAAUAUUAAUUUGAUAUUAGAGGUUACUGAUUUCUAUGGAUUUUGGAGUUGCAAAGUUCUUCAUGGUGAUCACAUUAUGAUCCAUGUUCCAGCGUAUUGGUGUGAUGUACUUAAAUUUUAGGGAUACUAUAUUAUAUGAAUAUCAUUAGAUUUAUGUUAUUUAACGAAAUUGAGGCAUAAUCUUAGACUUGAAAUUUGAAAAUAUGAGUUCUUGGGUCUAGUUGGACAUAGAGUAAUAUGAAUGUUGUUAGUUUCAAAAUCUUAUUGUGGUCAUUUAUUUGAAUAGAUUGUAUUGAUUUGGAAGUCCAAUGAAAGGGAAAGACUGAAGUCCCGGAGUGAUUGUUCGACUAUUUGAGGCAAGUGAAUUUCUAAACUCUUGUUAAGUGUAUGAAAUUCAUGUAUUUUCUUGUAAUAUGUGUUUAGGGUAAUGAGGCUUGGUGAUGGGUUGACUUGUCCACAUUGAUUAAUUCUAAUGAUGAAAAAGGGAUAAUAAAAGGCAAUGUGAUCAAUUGUUUGUGUGAUGUGUUGAGAAUUGUUUGAAAGGCUUGUUGAAUCAUUGUUGAUGUUGUAUCNNNNNNNNNNNNNNNNNNNNNNNNNNNNNNNNNGGACAGAUAUGUCCCCCAUGGGUCCCGGACUGAGAGACAGCGGGUGUGUAUCAUUAGGUCAGACAUGCAUCACUAUACUUGACAUUGCAUUUCAUUGCAUUGCACUUCUUUAUUAUUGGUGAACUUGAUCUUGUGUGUUGCUGAUCUUGUGAGUGCCUUUCUAUGGAACUUGUGACUGAUGUAUAUUGAGCUUGUUGUUGAAGAUAUGCAAUUGUUAGAGUGUUGUUGUUGAGGAUAUGAAACUAUUGUUGUUGUUGAGGAUAUGAAAUUGUUAGAGUGUUGUGUUGAGAUAUGUGCUUGUAAAUUGUGAACUGUUAGGUUGGGCUGGUUUUAUACAGAUUGUAGUUGUGAAGGUUCGGUUGGGGGGUAGGGAGUACUUGUAUUCUAUCUCCUUAGCUCGUGUUUAGAGGUUUACUUGCUGAGUACCGUGUGGUUUGGUACUCACCCCUUGCUUCUACAAAUUUUUGUAGGUUACGAGCCUGGAUUUUUGUGGUACUUGUUAUUCUCUUCUUUUCCGAGGCUUCUGGGAGAUUUGUGAGGUAGUUGUUUGUCUUCUCAGCGAUCAUUCUUACUCCUGUUUAUGAUCUUGUUCUACUCUAGAAACAAUGUCAUAUGAGACUUGUAUUUUUCUUUUGAUUCAAUUGUAAUACUUUAGAGGCUUUGUACAUGUGACAACUAGAUUUUGGGGGUAUAUUUGAGUUUAUUAUAAAAAUUUCCGCAUUAUAUUGUAAUGGUUGAAUUUUAGGCUGACUUGUCUUGGUGGGAUAAGACGAGUGCCAUCACGUCCAUUUUUGGGUCGUGACAAAUUAUUCCGUACAAUUAUAAAUUUAUAUAAAAUUAAACUUUCGAUUUUAAUAAAUAAAAUUGAAUAAUCGGUUCAAUUCGAUCAAUAAAUCAAUUGUUUUGGAAAAAAACAUUGAUACCCAUAACUAUAGUACUUCAUCAUAAUAUAUUUGAAAUCCUAGUUGGUUCAUUUCUUUUAUUUGUGCUUUCAUUUUUUAGUUUAUUUCAAUUUUUCUACACUGAAGGAAAAAGUUAAUAGAAAUUCAUGAAAUAUUUCGCACCUUUGCAAAGUUUGAGUUUGUAAGUCGAUGUUAUCUCUGUAUAGUUGCUCUACGUACGGAUGUGGAAUUACUAUUAAAUAUGUACAUAGACAGAAGCAAAUAGAUCGGCUUAGUCUAUGCAGUUUACCAAUCACAAAUCAAUAGACACAUACAAAAAUUAGAACCUUGCCCGAUUGCUUUAACAGACGCGUUACCUCCUGGUUCCCACCUGUCCUGUCCAAAAACUAAGGAACUCAUCUGAAAAGUAAAUUUGCUAGAUCAAAACGUGAACUCAGAGAAUAGGGGUAUACAAGUGAACCACCUAGAAUCGAUCCAUGGCCGCUAAACUAAAGAAAGGGGUCCUUUACCAAGUAAGCUAGGCAACCUUACCCGUCUCAACCGAUCUUAGCUCGGACAUGCCAACAGUCAAUACUUACUCUUUUCCCUGGGACAGCUAAUAAAAACAAAUACGGCCCCUUCUCAAAGAGACUGCCCUUAGGACUCUAUUAAGCUCUUUUCCCUGGGACAGCUAAUAAAAACUAAUACGGCCUCUUCUGAAGGAGACUGCCCAAGACUUGAGAAAUUAUUUUGUUUAUCGUCCUUAUCGAUGAAAGCGUAGCAAAUAAAAAAUAAAAAGUGUUAAACCAACAAAUAUUAGCGAUCUAGUGGUAGAACCGUACCCCACUCACGGUACUUAUAACAUGGAUUGUAUUUUUCAAAUGAUGCAUUUUAUAAUUGCGUAAUUUAAGAAAAUUGAUGAAUUGAACUUUUUCAUUUUUACAAAAUCGACCGAAUUCGUUGGUUUUAAUUUUUCCUCGCCAAUUAACGAAUGAACUCUAUGUAUUUCUUAUGAAGCACUUGCAGUAUUCUUUUUUUAAGUUGUCACUUGUAAUUAUGAACAAUUAUAGCAAAAAAAAAUUGUAUUAAGCUAUAAAUUGUUUUUCGUAGCAAAUAGUAGAAUUAUUCACUACAAAUUUUAAGUUGUCACUAUUUAACACCUUACAUAUUUUGUGACAAUUUUUUUGUUGUCACUAAAUCACAUAUUGAUUAGAGACAAUAAAAUUUUUCUCACCAAUUAUUUAUAUUAUUAAUGACGAAAAUAAAUGUCAUAAUUAAAUCUAAAUUUUUAUAGCUAAAACUUAUAAUAGUUAUCUACAAACUCUAAUUUGUCGAUAUUGUAACAACAUAUUUUUUUAGAUGAAAUUUUUUUGUGUCCAAAAAUUAAUAAAUUUUAAGACAAAAUAUAAUUUUUCAUGAAUUAGAUACAUUAUUGGUGACGAAAUAAUGUGUCACCGAUAAAUUAAAAUUUGUGACUAACACUACUUAACAAAUGACACCAAUUAAUUUUUUGGUGGAAAACUUUAGUGGACAAAACAUUGCUACAGAUUUUUAUGUUUCGUCACUAAAAAUAUGUGUUUCAUAUAUUUUAGCACGAAAAGAAAAUUUUAUCUCUAAAAGCAAACAAUUAGUGACGAAUUUAAUGUCGUAGCUAAUAAUUUCAUAGCUAUAUAUCAUAUUUGUUGUAGUGAUUAUUGUACAAAAAUAAAUUAUAAUGAUCUUACAAAGAACACCUUUAAACCUAAGGGAAGUGAACUAAAAUUCACAUUAGAUUUCAAUCAAUGUAAAAAUAUAUGAUAUCAUUUUACUUUUAAAAAUUAUGUACUUUUUGCAUUGAUUGAGAUUUUUACUACACACUUCAACAAUCAACUACUCGAUAUGAAAAAAGAAAGAAGAAGAGUUUAACCCCCUCAACCCCACCCCACACACACUCUUUUAUUUCUAUAUAAAAUUUGCCAAAUAUGUUAUAAGUAAUAUUUUAAUUUAAAAUUCAAUUUGAGAUGAUUUUUCACCAAAAUAUUUGAGGUUGUUCGCAUGAGAUGGAAAUAAAAAUAAAGUAUUUACUUUGAUGUAUGUUUAAUUUUUUAAGAUUUGUCUAAGAUUUUAUUUUAUCUAGAGUUUCUUUAUCUUAUUUUAUGUUCAUAUUUAUUUUACUUACAUCCUUAUUAUAUCCUUGAAUAAAUUUGAUACAUAUACCCUUAUUUAAUUUAAAAUUAUUAGGUAUUGAAUUAUUUACACGAUUGAUCAAAUGAAUCUUUUACACUAAAUCUUGAACUAAAGAGUUUAACUAAUGUAUACUACGAUAAAUUUAUUUUAUAAUUUAUGAACAAAAUUGUUGUAGACAAAAAGGCAAUUACUUUACACCUUGUUUUGAUAAUUAUUACAUAGUGUUUUAUAAUAUAUUGUCUUAUAUUAUGUUAUAUUGUAUUAUAAUAUGCUAAGCCAUAUAUGAAUAUAUGAGAGAGAGUAGUGGAGAUGAAGCGAGAAUAUAGGUGUCCUUUUCAGAGAAUCAAUUUGGAUUUAUAUCGAGCGAUCAACUACUAAAGCAAUCCAUCUUGAGAGGAGACCGCUGGAGAAAUAUAGGGAAAGAAAAAGAGAAAUAUAGGAAAAGAAAAAAAAAACCUACAUAUGGUGUUGAGAAGACAUGUGACAAAGUUUCUAGGGAUGUCCUCUGAAAUUGUUAGGAGGCUAAAAGUGUCAUGUUGAUUUAUAUUAGGACAAUAAGGGACAUGUAUGAUGAAUCCAAAAUUCAGAUUAAUGUUGAGCCUUUUUUUAUUUGCCUUAGUGAUGAUUGAGUAGACGCAGUCUACUCAGGAAGAGGCUUCAUGGUGUCUGUUGUUUACAGAUGACAAACUCUGGAGUGCAAGGGUUCAAAUUGAGUAGGACUAAAAUGGAAUAUUUGGAGUCCAAAUUCAGCAUUGCAUUGGAUGAAGCAGACACAGAAGUGAGACUUGUCACACAAACUAUCCCAAAAGAGAAAGUUUUGGGGGAUCCAGAGCACUUCCCUGUUGAGAUAGGGGCUAUAUCAGGGACCAAUGUUGAGCCUUUUUUUAUUUGCCUUGGUGAUGAUUGAGUAUACACAAUCUACUCAAGAAGAGGUUUCAUGGUGUAUGUUGUUUGCACAUGACAUAAUACUAAUUGGUGAGAUGCGGGACAUAAUUAAUAAUAGAUUGGAGGUUUGGAGAAAAAAUCUGGAGUGCAAGGGUUCAAACUGAGUGGGACCAAAAUGGAAUAUUUGGAGUGCAAAUUCAAUAUUGCAUCGGAUGAAGCAGACACGGAAGUGAGACUUAUCACACAAACUAUCCCAAAAGAGAAAGUUUUAAAUAUCUUGAAUUUGUCAUCAAGGAUAGUGGGGACAUUGACGAUGAUGUCACACAUCACAUUGGAGCAACAUAGAUGAAAUGAAGACUUGCUUUUAGAGUAUUUGUUAUAAAAAGUUAUCACAUAAACUCAAAGGUAAGUUCUACAACGUGGUGAUUAGACCCUCCUUGUUGUAUGAGGUAAGUGUUGGCUAGUCAAGAACUCACAUGUUUAGAAGAAGCAUAUUAUGGAGUUAAUUAAGGAUCUUGAGAUGGAUGUGUGGGUAUACUAGGAGUGACAAAAUUAGGAGUGAGGUUAUAAUUUGGGAGAAGGUGAUAGUGGUCGACAAAGUCAGUUUUUUCGGUUUCGGUUUUAGUCGGUUCUUUCGGUUUUUUUCAGUUUUUCGUUUUUUUUUCCUGGUUUUUUACAACUUAACGGUGUUUGAAAAAGAGAUCAAAUAUAUUUUCACCUACCUGUGUUAUAAGCUAAACUUAAGAAAUGUUAAAUGAAUAGAAAUUUUCGUAAAGACGGUAAAAUUCACAUGAGUACAAAAUAUAUAUUUUUGAAAUAUCAACGUUCAUAUGUUAGAUUAAUAAGAUUAAAGGAUACAGUCAAACUAAAUACAAAACGAAAUAUUUACAAAACAAAUUGUUAACUUCGAAUUUGAAAACUAUAACAAUAUAAUUGUAACUUCGGAUCUUAAUACAAAAUAAAUAUUUACAAAUUUUGCAAGCCCAAAUUUGAAAUAAAAUAUAUAAGCAUUAAAAACUAUAAACUAACUUAAAAAUAUAUUAACAAAGUAGAUUAUAAAUAAUAUUUUUUAUAUAUAAAUAAAAUAAAAUUAUAUAUAUAAUAUUUACAAAAUUUUACAAGCCCAAAUUUGAAAUAAAAUAUAUAAGCAUUAAAAACUAUAAACUAACUAAAAAUAUAUUAACAAAGUAGAUUAUAAGUAAUAUUUUUUUUAUCUAUAAAUAAAAUAAAAUUAUAUAUAUAAUAUUUACAAAAUUUUACAAACCCAAAUUUGAAAUAAAAUAUAUAAACAUUAAAAUCUAUAAACUAACUAAAAAUAUAUUAACAAAGUUAUAAUAUUUUUUAUCUAUAAAUAAAAUAAAAUUAUAUAUAUAAUAUUUACAAAAUUUUACAAACCCAAAUUUGAAAUAAAAUAUAUAAACAUUAAAAUCUAUAAACUAACUAAAAAUAUAUUAACAAAGUUAUAAUAUUUUUUAUCUAUAAAUAAAAUAAAAUUAUAUAUAUAAUAUUUACAAAAUUUUACAAGCCCAAAUUUGAAAUAAAAUAUAUAAACAUUAAAAUNNNNNNNNNNNNNNNNNNNNNNNNNNNNNNNNNNNNNNNNNNNNNNNNNNNNNNNNNNNNNNNNNNNNNNNNNNNNNNNNNNNNNNNNNNNNNNNNNNNNNNNNNNNNNNNNNNNNNNNNNNNNNNNNNNNNNNNNNNNNNNNNNNNNNNNNNNNUAUAAAUAAUAUUUUUAUCUAUAAAUAAAAUAAAAUUAUAUAUAUUAUGUCGAUUUGGUUUGGGUUCGGUUUGACUUUUUUUCAUUUAAUACCAAACCAAGCCAAGAGUGGUUGGUUUUUUUUUUCAACCGCCAAACCAAACCACAAGUCGUUUUUUUUUCGGUUUGAUUUGGUUCGUCGGUUCGGUUUGACUUUACGGUUUGAUUUGUACACCCCUACUUACAACCUACCUUUCUUAGACUCCACUUUGUAAGAUUUCACUAGAUAUGUGUUGUAUUGUAUUGUACUAUAUUAUUUUGAUGAGUGAAAUGCUUGGUUAGAUUAUAUCAUUAAUUUUACGUCGUUACAUAAUAUCAAAUAUAAUCAAUUUGAAGCAUAAAUCAACAAGAAAAGUAAGGUACGUAGUAGAGCUAACAUAAAAGGUGUGAUUAAUAAUAAGAUAUAUUUAUCAUUUAAUAAAGAAAAUAAGAAAAAAAUAACAACAUAACUACGUUAUCACAUCAAAUUAGUUGUUACAUAAAAUGAAACUUUUCUUCAUUACAUUAAAAUGGACUAGGGUGAAGCUAAAGUGCCAUAAUAUGAACUCCAUUCGUCUAAAAAUUACGCUAUGUAUAUAAGGCCAAUUUAUUUUGUUAUACAUUUAUAGUAGAUUUUGAAUCCUAUUGAUAUCUUUGUGUGUUUACUUCUUUAUAUUCAAAAUCACUUAGUAAAAGUUCAGACUUCACUGAUAAUGCUAAAUUUGAUAACACCGUAUAAUAAAAAUUAAAUAGCAAUCAAAAUAAAUAUUAUAUUUAAACUAAUAAUAACAAGUAACAACCAUCCAAACUAGGUGUUAGGAUGUUAAAAUUCAAAUACUAGUAUGAUAAAUCACAAGAGAGUUAAUUAUGGAAAUAAGAUCAAAUUCUUGGCUAUCAGGAUAGAAUCCCAUGCAGAUUGUAUCUCAGAUUUCAUAAUGACAAACUGACAUGAUCUUUUUUCUUAUAUUUUGUGUCUUGUAUGACACAUCUUGAUGAACAAGAACAAUAACGAUAAACGGUGGAGUCAAGAUUUUCGCUAGGAGUUCGAACUUCAAAUAUGAAGAAGUAAACACAAGAAAAAAUCGAUAUAUAUAUAUAUAUAUAUAUAUAUAUAUAUUCUAUCAAAAAAAAUUGAAUAACCUUCCUCAACCCUACCUAAUUCCUCCCCAGUAACAACUACACAACAAUACUACUAAUUAAGCAACUAUAAAGACUAUCACCAAUUGUGUUAUAGAAUAUAACUUUUUGACCUAGAAGAAAAAAUAUUAUAAUUUCAAGAAGUAUGUAUAUUAAGACCCCACCCCNGACCCCACCCCCCUCCCUCCCCUCUUGUAAUUUCAUAAGAAUUUGACCAAACAUGCUAAGUAAUUAUUUUUCAUUCAAAUAGAAAUGAAUCCUGGCUGAAAUAUCUGAGGCUGUUCAUAUCAAAUGAAAAUAUGUGUAGUAUUUCAAUUUUUGAGAGCUUGUUCUGGAUUGUGAUUUUGUCUAGAAUUUCUUUACUUAAAUUUAUGUUUGUAUUUAUAUAUUUUAUACUUGCAUUCUUGUUAUAUAUUGGAAUAAAAUUGAUACAUAUACCUUUAUUUUAUUUAAAAUUAUUUGGUACACUAAACCUUGAAUUAAAGAGUUUAACUAAUGAUAUACUAUUUUAUUUUUUUGUAAUUUAUGAAAGAAAUUAUCGUGGACAAAAAGAAAGCUAGUCAACUCUUUAUUUUGAUGGUUGUUAUGUAUUGUUUCAUAAUAUAUUGAAUUAUAUUAUAUUAUUCUGAUGAAUACAAUAUUUUGAUAGAUUGUAUCAUUUUUGUCGUUAUAUAAUUCAAAUAUAACCAAUUUAAAGGAUCAAUCAACAAGAAAAAUAGAGUAUGAAAUAAAACUAUCAUAAAGGGUACGGUAAAUGAUAAAAAAUAUUUAUUAGAUAAUAAAUAAAGUAAAAAUAAAAAUUUAAUAAUAACAACGUAACGAUAUGACCACACCAAAUCAUCUAUUGUUACAUAAAAUGAUACUUUUUGUCAUUACGUAACAUGGGAUAGAGGUGGAUUCAUCUCAACCCCUUUCAUACCGUAACAUGAUUCGCCCAUCCACCAAUUAAUGAUGAUGAUUUUUGACAAUACAAUAUAAAUUUAAAUAACAAUUACAAUAAAGAAUAAGUUGCUUGGUCUGUCAAGUAUGUAUGACAUAAUUAUGUUGAGAUUUUUUUAAUUACAAUAACUUGUUUGGUCUGUCAAGUAUGUAUGACAUAAUUUCUAAGAAUAAGUUAUUUGUUUAUAAAAAUACCUCUAAGAAUAAGUUGUUUGUUUAUAAAAAGGGUUUAAGGGAUACUUUUGUUAUUUUGCAUUUUUAUUUUGAGAUAAGUAUUCCAUCCACAAGUAGGAAUAACUUAUUCCAAUCAUAAUUAUUAAUUUCGGAAUAAGUUAUUUCACAAAGGACUCAACUAAAAACUUCUCUCGGAGUUAUUUUUCUUUAUCGGCCAUUUAAGGUAUUCUUUUGACCUACCUCAGAUUAUAAGGAAUCAUAUUAACUCUAUCACCCUAUCCAUUUAGAUGAAUUAAUUAUGAUUCUUCCUGGUGGACUCCCAAAUACUCAACUAUUGAAAGCUCAAUUGUCUAUGGCUAGCUAUUUAAUAUAACUAAGGAUUGUGCUGCCUCACCAUCUUUUGUUAUGCAACAACUAGUCUAUGAUACUAUAACAAGUAGUUUCUUUAUUAAAUAUCAUGAGAAAUCAAAUUGUUCGGUAGGACACAAUAGAAAAAUAAUGCAGGAAUAUAAUUUGUUGGAUAUAUACACCAUUUCAAUUUGUGUACGUAUAACUAAUACAAAUAUUAAUUAUGCACUCUAUUUGAUAAUAUGCUAUGUAUAAUUAAUAUAUGAAAAAUUAUGACAUAUUAGCAAUGCAAAGAGUUUUAGUACUUGCAUUAUCAUUGUUAAAGACAAUCUAUCAAGAUUUUUUUCAUAUCCUUUCCAUUGUAUUUGUAAAGGAUAUAUUUGUAAACAAAUGUCUUUUUUUAAAAAAAAAUUAAGUAAUUCACAUGCUAUUUUUGAUACACAAAAUCUAACACUUUAAAAUAAAUAAUCUCAGCAUAACUAAUGCAAACAUUUAUCAGUAUUACUAAUACAUCAUAUUUAACAGUACUAUUCUUUUACAUCUUAUCAGACGAUCCUAAUGAAUAUCGUUUUUCUUUUAUUGUAUGGUACAUCUUGAUCAUUAGGAACAAAACUGCCUAAACACCAAUGGUGUUGUAUAAUUUAACCUCGUGACCUAAAAAAAAAUCAUAGCUUGAACAAAAAAAUUCUUUAAUUGAAAUUUCCAUCUUAAGCUUUCUCGAACGAGUGAGGAAUGAGUGAUCAUAAGCUCUGCUUAAGUACUCGACAUGCAGUUAGCUUAAAAUAUGUGCCUCAAAAUAUAAAUUCGAGACUUAAUUACUGGAAAAUCAUGAUAAUUUAAUUGAUUGAUUAAACUUUAGUUUUUAUUCUCCAAGUGUCAGAUUGAUUUCUUAUCUUGUGAUUUUCUAUUCCAUUUCUUCUCUCUCCGCUAUAUAAUAUUUAUGUAUAAUAUAUAGUUUGUUUUAAGAAAAAAUCGUUAGUUUUUUAAAAAUAUGGUAAGAAAAUACGAAAAGUGAAAAAGUAUCCCAAGAAUCUAACGUGGCCAUGCAAACAAUAUUUCCCGCGUUAUUUUUUUGACCACGUCACCUUCUAAGGUUAAUAUGACCUUCAUCUAUCGACACGAAGAAUGAAUUAAUAAACUUGUUAAAGAUAAUAUUUUUCUCUGAUCUCGAUUUGGGUCCGUAAAAAUAUCAUAGAUUUUGAUAAAAUAAUAAGAUAAUAUAUUUUCGUAAGAUACUUAUGUAAUUAUAUAUGUAGGUUCUAUUAAUAUUAUAAAUUAAUAAUUCUUUAAAAUUAUAAAAAUAUAUCCAAGAUAAUUUGGUGAAAUAUGAUUGUAUUGUUUUAAGUUUUUUGUUAAAAUUUAAAUCUAGUUAAAGUUUAUCUCUAGCUUUUCUUAUUGCAUCUGAAAGUUCUAGUGUUGUCUUCUUCAAUUUCACCAAAAAAAAAACAUGAAGAGUUCUAGACGCGAUAAGUGUUUGUUUACGUGUAACUGGUUCUAAAGGUAUUGUAUUGUCUUCUACUUCAUCUUCAACAUUGUUUUCUCUGAUGGUAUCCAUGAUUUCUUCUAAGUUCUUGACGUCUGAAUAUGUAUCAUUUUCAGUCAGGUAAUCGAAAAGGCUAUUGACAUCCAUUUUAUUGCGGUAACCAAGAUCAUUAAGCAUGACCUCGAGUUCAUAUAUGUCAUUUUCAGAAUAGGGUUCAUUUUAAUUCUCUGAGGCUUCAUUCCCCGAACGAAAACACUCUAUAAAUUAAUAAGUAUUAAUUUAUCAAUUAAAUAAUAUAUCUACAAAAUAAUAAUAUUUUAUGAUCCCGACAAUAUUUAUUUAGAGAGGUUUUACCAAACUAAUCAAACAUUAGCUAUACAUAAGUUGAAAAAUAAUUAUAUGUUACGAAGCUAUGUAUUUUUUUUAAAAUGCUUUUUAUUUUUUUAAAAUAGUUUUUUUUUUUAACAUAAAGAAAAUAACAUUUUAGUGAGAUUAGAGAAAAUAAAGUUUCACAUGUAACAAUUUAAAAUGAUAGUGUUCUUACAUUUUUUGGGAGACACAAAUUUUCUACUAAGGUAUCAUAAUAUAUAUAGAGAGAUUAGAUAAUAACAUAUUUAUUGUAGCUUCAUAAAUGAGUUCGAGGAGGAUAUAAUGUAUGCAGAUCUUGCCCUCUACGUUUAGAGAUAGAGAGAUCAUUUUUGAUAAUUCGCAAUUUAAGAAAAAAUAUUUCAAAGUAGACAUAAAAAAAUAUAUUUUUAAAAAAGUAUUACAAAGUAUGUUAAAAGAAAUAAGCAAUAACUAUAAUAACGUACAAAAACAGAAAGAAAAAGAUACUAUUAUUACUGAUAAUACUUAUUUUCUAACCUUCUAUCCUUCUUUGUACCAUCCAUAAUUUUUUAACAAAUGUUAUAUUUUUGAUAAGCUAAAGUUGCGUUAUGUCUGCCUUUUCAGCUCUCUUUUACAUUAAUCUUUAGAGCCGUCAAAAUGGGCUUAGCCCAUGGGGCCAGCCCAACCCAACUCGUUAUUGAGGUAGGGUUGGGAUAAGAUUUUUCAAGCCCAUUUAAAAUUAGGGCUUAUAAGCCCGGCCUAUAUAAGCCCUUGGCCCUUGAGGCUUGAUUGGGGCCGGGCCGAGGUCGGUCCAUGGGCCAAAACUUUUUAUUCAAGGGUAACUUACCAUAAUCUCACUAGUAUAUAAUCUAAUUACUUAAAUACACGUUAUGUUAUAAUAUUAUGAAUCUUACCACAUUUUGGUAUGUCAGAUACAUGUAUUUCGAAAUAUAUGGACUCAAAAUUAGGUUAAUCUGUUCCAGAUACACUCUAUCCAAGUAGUUUCGCAUGUGUCUAGGAUGCAUACACAAAUCUUGUGCCCUCUCCUCCCUCCAAUCUUACUUGUCACUCUCGUAUCUCGCUCGCGUAUCUGGUAUACGAGAUACAUGCUAAUUACACUAGACUUUUUGCUGGUGUUAUUUAAACAACACUAUUGUUUGCCAUAUUUGAUUUGAAAAUCUUCUCAUUUUCUUGAUGUUAUAGAAUUAUAAGUUUGAAAAAAAAAAGAAGGUCUAGCCCGCCCUAGUCCUCGGCCCUUCUAGGGUUGGGUUGGGUUAAGCAUUUUCAGGCCCUUCCGAAUGAAGGGCCAGCCCGCCCAAGCCCUUCAAAUUCCUUGGCCCGCGAGGCUUGAGCCAGGCGGGGCUGGGCCGACCCUUUUUGACAGCUCUAUUUAUCUUAUUAAAGUUAACCUCUCAUAUGUCGUACAUAAAAUUAAAAUUCAGACACCUAGCUAAAUAAUGUAAUAUUUUGGAAAUGAAUGACAUUUAACAUGUCUUAGCAUAAGUGGUGGAGCAUAAAGUGGCUCCACCACUAUCCACCGUAUAACACAUUUCAUUUUCACCAUCAUCCCAAUAGCUUUUCCACCAUUCCUCCUUUCAUCUCCAUUUUCAUACUAUUUGUUUAUAUUACAUAAUAUAUAAAUACGUUUAAGAUAAUGUUUUUUACUUGUGUAUCAAAUACAAAAAAAAUAAAAAAUAAUUCACUUAUCUACUUAAUUUUUUUUUUUUAUAAAUAUUUUCUUCGUAUUGAACACAUCUUUAGAGGAUUGAAAUUAAAAAUAAAUAUCGUAACAAAAUUAAGGAAAUUAAUUAAAUAAUAUAUGCUAUAUAUAGAGAGAGAGAAAAUUGAUUUAUAUAUGUGUACCGUAAUUAUUUAACAGAUGAUGCUCCAUCUUUGCAGCUAGAUCAAGAAAUAACUUCUGGAUCAAAAUAUAUAAUCUACUAUUAUUAUUUGUUACUCGAUUAUUAAUUUCUUCUUUUCAAAAAAACUUGUUAAUUAAUUCUCCUUAAAUAAAAANNNNNNNNNNNNNNNNNNNNNNNNNNNNNNNNNNNNNNNNNNNNNNNNNNNNNNNNNNNNNNNNNNNNNNNNNNNNNNNNNNNNNNNNNNNNNNNNNNNNCAAAAAAACUUGUUAAUUAAUUCUCCUUAAAUAAAAACCACCCUGACACUACCCAAUAAAACAACAAUAGCAAUAUAUUAAUGUGGUUCUAUAAAUGAAUUUUGAGGAAGUACAAAAUGUAUGUUGAUUUUAUUUCAAUUUUUGCGGGAUUGAGAGAUUGUUUAAGACAAAUCUUAAGCUAAUAUCUAACAUGGGCUAAAGUUGGUCAGGAAAGACAUAUUCGUUUGAUACUUAAUAGAAUUAUACACGUAUUAUUAAUUUAUAAAAAAUUAUAAGAAAAUUUAUGUAUUAUUUUAUGCAGAGAUUACUUUUGCAUGUUUUGGUUAUUCAUGUACGUAUAAUUUCUUUCAUUUUCUAUCGUGCAUAAAUUACGCAUAAAUUCCCUCACAACUUAUACAUGUAUUAAUUCAAUAGAUUUUCAAAUUGUAAAUCAAAGACCGUAUUAAUUUGAUAUAGUGUCCUAACCAACUACCAAAUAUGAUAUUACUUAUGCGGUAUCUAAUAUAUAUAUAUAUAAUAUUUCUCAUAACCAGCUACCAAAUAAUUUAAACACUAUUCACACAUGAUAUUUUUAUCAAAUAAAUAAAUAAUGAAUAAAUACUUAAUGUAUUUUCAUUAAAACUUUUUUCACUUACUCAUAAUAUUAUAUACAAUUACAACUUUCUUUGUUUCCGUCUAUACGAUAAUAUUAUUUUUGGCCAAUCACAAUCUUUUAUAGUUAUACAAAUAUUAUAAUGUAGGUAUAUUUAAGAUCAUAAUUUGUUUUUAUCUAUUUAAUUACAAUUUUCUUUGUUUCUGUUUAUACAAAAAAUUAGUUUUAGCCAAGCACAAUCUUUUAUAGUUAUAUAAAUAUUAUAACUUAUAGUAUAUAUAUAAGAUCAUGAAAUUUAAAAAUCUUAUUUUCACAUAAAUAUUAUAAAAUAGUUUAAAACACGAAUCUUAAGCCCCCCGCCCCCCUCCCCCCACUUAUUUCUUAUUAUCAAAUACAUAGAAAUCAGAACAAAGAGAUUUAUAGUUUUAUUUCAUUUAUUAUUGAUUAAAACCCAUACCCGAUGUAGUUUGGAGUAAAUGUUGAAGGGGUAACACCUUGUUUGGAGGGUUAAUUUGCCUAUUAUAUUGUUUUGUUAGUCAAAUACAUGUUUAUUUUGAUUAUUAUUUAAAUCUUAUUAUAUCAUAUCAUUUAAACUCAUCGUCAAGUAAUAGCAAAAAGUUUCAUUUCGUGUAACAAUCGAUUUGAUUUGAUCGUGUCAUUAUCUAAUACUUUCUCCUCAUUUUGUCUUUAUUUAUUAUUCAAUAAUCAUAUUUUAUUUUUACCUAUCUUUUUAGUAGUUCUAUCACGUGUUUUUUUAGGUAUAUCAUCCAAAUUGUAGAUGCGACACAUUAUGUAAUGAUGUAAAAUGGUAUAAUUUAUUCAAACAUUAUAUAUGCAACACAUUACAAUACAAUACGAUACAUUAUGAAACAACAAGUAAGAAGUAAUUGCGAUAAAACUUAGGUCACUUUAUGAAUUUCCACGUGGCAGACAAUGAUAGCCUGUACUUUCCUAAAUCUUUAUGGUACGUCAGUAAAAAAAACCAUGGUCUUUUCUGUAAUUUGCCGUCAAUAAUAUGCCCAUUUUCGUUAGCCAUAAAAGUAAAAACCAUUACAUUAAUUACUGAACUUUUCCCAAAUAAUAUUUAAUCCAAGCCGUCCAUUCCAGCCAGCAUCUAAUCUGAACCGUCAAUACGUUUCAAAUAGAGCCAAUUCCACCGUCAAUAAAAUAUAAACGGUUCAGAUCUUGCCACGUAUUGUUAUUUUGUCAUUAUAUUUCUCGAAUUUCCCUAUCAAAAAAGCAAAUCAUCCACCGUUAAAAAAAUCAUAGACGGUGAUAAAUGGGGCCACGUGGCAACAUUUAUUAAAAAUAUAACAAAUAUUUUUAUUAAAAAGAAUCAGAUUUUCUGUCUAAAAAUUGUAAAAGCCAAAAGGAACCCUAGAGGCUUUUAUUUCUAACAUUUGGUAUUUUUUGUUAGGGUUAAAAAAAAAGUGAUACUUAUUGUUUUAAAAAGAUAAAAAUCAGUUAGGGUUUCAAAUCGGACCAAAUCACAAUACCUCAAUUUCUCUGAUCGGAGCCCUAGAAUUCAUCCUCCUGCAUGUGGUGGAUCUUCGUCAUUUUCGAUUAUUCCGAGGUAAAGGUACGUGGAUUUAUUGAUUUUGAUGUAAUCAAUUGAGUUGAGAGGAAAUGAUGCAUACAGUUUUUGUGUGUUUUGUUUAAUUUGAAGGGGUUUUUGUGUUUGAUUUAGUAUUUUGUUGUGGAAUUGUGGUUAACAAAUCUGGAAGCAUGUGUUUGUGUGUGAAAAUGAUAUGAAAUUUGGGGAAGUGGUUGUUUUAUUGGGAUUAAGUGAUUACUGUAGAUUGAAAGUGAUGUAGAAGAGAAAUCUGGUGGUAGUUCUAUAGAGAAUUCGAAGAAACAAAGGUCUUUGGAUUUGCAGACACUAUAUAUGUCUGGGGAUUCGAAGAAGGGGAAGGUUUCUGUUGGGGAGAGUUAUGUUGAAGAAAAAGAAGAAAAAGAAGAGAAAGAGUAUAAAAGAGGUGUCAUUGGACAAGCCUGAGCCAUCUGGUAAAAAGAGUAGGAGUAGUAAGGAUGAGGAUCAUGUGAAUGGGGAUAGUGUCGGACCAGCUGAAUCGCAGUUAUCAUCAUCGAAGUUGGAGAAAGGAUUGGAUUACAGCAAUCGGCUGAGUGGAUUUUCUCUUAAGUUCGAUAUUAAUGGUAAUGUUAUUCCAAGGCGACCACGUGGUUUUGUGGGGGCGAAGUAAGUUUAAUAACAGUUGAGCUUUGCAGUUAUCGAGGGUUCAGACUUCUGUCAUUGGAAAUGACAAGAUAGAAGGUGAACUUGACAAAACUGAGGGUGAUCAGCUUCUAAAAAAGUGUGCCUUGUCUGGCGGAGAAGCUAAAAGUGAUGAACGGAGUUCUAAAUUACCUAGUCAUUCAGCUAGCAAUGGUGUUACUGUCAAGGUAAAGAGAAAGAGAAGUGCUGACGAUUCCCGAGAAAAGAAAAAAGAUAAGGUAAGUUCAAGUCAGGAUGCUAAAGAAGAUGGUCAUGUAGUUGUAAAUAAUGGUGAAACAUCUUCUGGAAAGCACCUGAGUACUCGUAACAAGAGAAAGGAUUCGUCAUCUAGAAGUAGAAAAUCUGUAAAGAAUGAUGUACCAUCUGGAGAUAAUUUAGGAAGCUUUUGUCAAGGUUCUCUGAAUGAUGAUGAUGAGGUGAACCUUGAGCAGAAUGCAUGCAUGAUGCUGUCGUCGAUAUUUGACCCUAGUUGUACAGGGUUUUCUUCAAAAAACAUCUUCAGCAACGCAAUCUGCUGAACGAUUAUCUUCUUUACUCACUUCUGAUCAGGAUUUUGUUAGUCGAGAGGGGAAUUCCUUGACUGGAUCAGAAUCUGUAUCAGUUGAUACUACUAGCAGAGUUCUACGACCAAGACAGGAGCUCAAAGAGAGGGGUAUUUCUAGGAAACGCCAUCAUUUCAAUGAAGUUUUUCCUAGGGACUUGGAUGCUCACUGUCUAUUGAACCGAAGGAUUAAAAUCUUCUGGCCAUUAGAUGAGAGUUGGUAUUAUGGUCUUUUGAAUGAUUACGAUCCAGAGAGGAAACUCCAUCAUGUUAAAUAUGAUGAUUGAGAUGAGGAAUGGAUAAACCUAGAAAGUGAGAGGUUUAAACUUUUGCUUUUCCCUGGGGAGGUACCAGGAAAAAAGAAAGUAAAAAAAUCUGCAAAUGCUACAGAAAGCAUUGACGAAAGAAAACUUGACUUGGUCGUAGAUGAUGACAGCCACCAAGGUAACUGUCCGGACUCUGAGCCCAUUAUAUCUUGGUUGGCUCGAUCAUCUCGUCGAGUAAAGUCUUCUCCUUCCAGGCCAUUGAAGAAACAGAAAACAUUGCAGUUAUCUACACCUGUUGUGUCAUCACCGGUGCAUGUCAAAACUGACGGCACAGGCUGGAAUUUAGGUUCCUUGAACAACUGUAUAGGCAGGACAGAUAAUGAUGUUCUAUUGCCAGAGAAACUGAUUGAUCAUUCUCAAUUCUUUUGUCGAAAGUCAUAGCAGCCCCAAUGAUGGAAAACCUGUUGUUUAUGUUCGAAAACGUUUCCGUAAGAUGGAUGGACUUCCUGUGUAUAAAGCUGACAAAGCUUACGUAGCUGAUAUACCUACUGUUUCUGUAGCACCGGUUAUGGAUGAAUUACAGAACUACAAAGCCAGUGUUAUGUGCAUCCCUGGCCCUCAGAGUGAGAAGUUUCUGUCUGCAAUUGAUAAUGAAGGGGUGCUAAGGUUACACAGGCCAUUGCUAGAAGCUAAGCAAUUCAGGGUGGAAAUAUGCCUACCCGUUUUACCUUUGUUGCUGCUUGAAGCAGAACAGAGUUGGUUAUCUCGUUCUGUUUGACUACUGUAGCAUGGUGCCAUUAUGAUAAGGUGGCCAGCUUUUUUUUUAGAGAUGCUUUUUGUUGAUAAUGUAGUUGGACUCAGGUUUCUUUUAUUUGAGUGUUACCUCAACCAUGCCGUGGCCUUUAUUUUCUUUGUCCUAACAUUAUUCAAUCAAGCUGAUGAAGAGUGGAGGUAUGAAAGUCUUCAGUUACUUGUAACUUCAGUAAGGUUUAGGCUGUCUUUUAUUCAGGAUUCUAGGAAGCAGCAAUCUUUUGCAUUUUCCUGUUUCUCCAAACUCAAAAACUCAAAAUGGUUAUACCUGGACUCCAAGCUUCAGAAAUGUAGUUUGCUUGCUAGGCAGCUGCCUCUCUCUGAGUGCUCAUAUGAGAAUAUCAAGUCCCUCAUUUAAGGUAUUUCUCAUUCUCAAUAUGAUGUGUAUGGUUGCUAUAUCUUUUUUGUUCUUCUUUCUGAUCUGUCUUAUUAAGGUACUUAUUGUUCUUAAUUCUAUAGAAUAUUGGUAGGAAUGUUUGAUAUUUCUCCUUUUUCAUCUUUCUUCUGUUCUUUACUUUUUCCCUUCCAUCAUUCUAGAUUUUACUAUUUUGUUCUUUACAUCCAUAUGUUAUUUACAUCCAUAUGUUAUUUACUUGCAGAAGAAGUUGGUGCCAGGUUGUCUCCCCAAAGGCACCUCGACAGAGUUCUGCAGUGCAAGGUUUACUAGUUCUACUCUUAGUUCUGCAAUGAAGCUCGGAAGAGUUCCUCCUUUUGCUCUUUCAUUUGCUGUUGCACCCACUUUCUUCAUAUGUCUACACCUUAGGUUACUCAUGGAACACAACUUUGCCUAUGUUAGCCUUCAGGAUUAUAGUUCUAUAAAUGCUUGCUAGCCAGUUAAAAAUGAUGGCAGCCGGGUGAAGUGCUCUGAGAUCGCUGGCUCUGAGGAUAUUGCAGAAACUUCAUUUACUAGAGCUAUUUCUGCAGGAGGGUCAUCAUUUGCUGAGUGGCAGCUGGGAAGUUUGGCAUGUAAACAACAGCUGGAGAGUACGCGUGUUCCAUUGAAGUCAUCUCAAAAUUGUCAAUUAGAUGUUUCCCGGAGCCCUUUCACCGCCAAACAUUCUGAAUUGGACACGUCAGAUGUGACUGUUGUGUCAAACAAUUUGGAAUCUGAUGAUCAAGUACUGGACCAGUUUGUUGGAUCUCCAAGAAGAAGACAUUCUAAGAAUUUAUCUCACCGCUUGUCUAAUGCUCGGUGCCAUUCUGGUUUGGUGGGGAUGAGUGUUGUAAUUCCAUCAUCUGACCAAGUUGAGGGACUAUCUGAUGGAAAAGAAAUUAUCGUGGGAGAGGCAUGUCAUUUGAGUCUGAAUACAGGUGAUGACUUGAUUUCCAGCCCAAACCAUACUGUUACAAGUGAUGUGGUACGGAGCUGUAAUAUUACUGGAACGGGUGAUCGCCUGGUCCAGAGUCCCAACCCUUCAGGCCCAGGAGGUUUGCCACAUCGUAAAAGAAACAACUCUAGUUCUUCUCCUUUUGGAGAAAUUUCUCCUGUAUGGAUUGAUGGCAAGGCUAAUUUUACAGGGGUGGGUUUGGCAAUUGCCCAAAGAAACCUCGAACGCAGGUGCAGUACACACUGCCAUAUGGAGGUUAUGACUUCAGUUCAAUGCACAAAAAUCAAAGCCCAUGAACUCUUCCUUAUAAAAGAAUUAGAAGAGCUAGUGAGAAGAAGAAUGCAGAUAGUUGUGGUGGUUCGCAGAGAAAUAUUGAGUUACUAGCUUGCAAUUCAAAUGUGUUGGUUACUCUUGGGGGGGUCAAAGGGUGGAGAGAAUUUGGUGCACGUAUAGUCCUGGAAAUUGCUGGUCACAAUGAAUGGAGGAUUGCUGUCAAAUUUUUUGGAAUUACCAAGUAUUCAUAUAAAGUUCAUAAUGUUUUUCUACCUGGCUCUACCAACCACUUUGCGCAUGCCAUGAUGUGGAAAAGGGGGAAGUUGGGUCCUGGAGUUCCCUGACAGAAGCCAGUGGAUGUUGUUCAAGGAGUUGCAUGAAGAGUGUUAUAAAAGGAAUAUACUUGCUGCAUCCGAAGUCACUAUUCCCGGUGUUCGUUUGAUAGAAGCCACUAUUCCCGGUGAUCGUUUGAUAGAAGAAAUCGAAGAUUAUGCAUCCGAAGUCUCCUUCAUUCGCUCUUCACCAAAGUACUAUCGACAGACAGAAAGUGAUGUUGAAAUGGCUAUGGAUCCGUCACGUAUACUGUAUGACAUGGAUAGUGAGGAUGAGCAGUGGUUAUCGAAGAAUAAUUUUUCUUGCUCUGGUGAGAGUAAAUAUGAAGAGAUAUCUGACGAAUUCUUUGAGAAGGCCAUGGACAUGUUUGAGAAAGUUGCAUAUGCCCGACAUCGUGAUCACUUUGCGCCUAAUGAGCUGGAAGAGCUGAUGGUUGGUGUAGGGCCAAUGGAAGUAGUUAAAUUCAUUCAUGAGCAUUGGCAGAAUAAGCGGCAUAAGAAUGGCAUGACGUUAGUACGCCAUCUCCAGGUACGAUUACAUUGAAAUUAACUACUUUAAAUUACGCUAACAGACUAGUGCCAGCAUGCUCCUAUGUCGGUACACAUGUAGGCUGUUAUUAGCUGCUGAAAAAAUGUAUUUGACAAGUGCCAAAUUGUUUGACUGGCAGUCUUGUCAUAAACUUAUAAUAUUUCUUUUCUCAACAAGCUUAGAUUUAAACAAACUUUUAAGGGGUUAGAAUCCAUUAUCCUUGGAAUCUAUUACUUGUGGGAUUUGACCAAGUUUGGUAGUUUUCCCCCCUGCAAAUGGAGAAGGGACAAAAUUGUUUAUGGGAUAACUUACUUAACAAAAGAAUUGUUUAUACAAUAUUUCUUUGACUUUUGCUUCUUUCUUCCUUCUUAAUAAUCUGGCGUCCCUAUGGUCUCUGGACCAAAACUAUUAAAAUUGCAAUGCUUUUUGUUUAUUCCACAAGAUGGUCCACUUCAGUUCACAGUACUCGAGCAUCUCUUUGUAGAGCAAUAUAUUCUACUUUAAGUGGGCAUCACAUUAUGCCCAACAGUUUGACUUGGUUAAUAUGGACAAUGUUUUCUUUUCCAUUUUCUGUGCAUGCCACCUUAGCGGAGUCUGCGUUGCAUCACCUAGUAUCAUCCAUUGACCUCCAUAGAAUUAAGAAACAUUGUCCAUAUUAAUAAUUUGUCUUCAGUGUAGAAGAAGAUGCGUAACUGAUUCUGUAGUUUGUUCACAGACGUAGCACCUGCUGUCUAUAUCUCAUCCUUUGUAAAAUUAGGACGUGCCUUGGUUUUCUGUGUCUAUUUUCCAUGACAAGUUCUUCUAUGUCCUUGCUUGACUAGGAUCUUAUAACAUGAUUUACCUGUAAAGACUCCACUUUUACUGCUUGUCCAGUGUCUAGAAUUACUUAAAUUUACCCUUUCAAUUACCCAAGAGUGUGGCCUAGUGGUCAAUGAAGUGAGUUGAAAAACUCCACUUUUACUGCUUUUCUAGGUCCCUUCUUCUGUCUAUUCCUCUAUUUGGAAUAGUUUGAAAAACUUCCUUCAUAUUUUUUCAAAACAAGACAAUCUUUCUUAAGAUGUCCCUCUCAACCACAAUGCACACAAAGAAAAUCAUCAGCAUCAGAAACAGUUUUGUUUUGAGGAUUGUGUGGGGAAUAUUUCUUCUCACAGCCCAGCCCUCUUCUACUGUUAUUACCCUGACUGAUUAAAUUUGUAAGUAUUUUAGAGGAAGUAGUCCAUUUGAUAGAUUUGUUCAGUUCCUCUUUUACACGGACCAUGUCCCUCUCCAGAACAAGAUUUCUUUCUAGAGCCAAUUUCAUCUUCAUUUCAGCAGUUUGCAGCUUAUUUUCAAUCUCCAGCUGCAAGCUACUGGCCUCAUUCUUUCCUUUAGAAACGGUAGUAGUCACCCUUUUUAUCUUUUCCUUCAGUUCUGUAUUUUCAGCUUCUAGAACAAUCUUUUCUUUUUCAAUAUCAGAUAUUUGGGUAACUAGGCCAAUUUUUUCAUCUUGAGAGAUGUCUAGACAAUUGUUCAUGAGAUCAUUCUCAGUCGUUAGCUCACUUAUCAUAUCAUUUAGUACAACAACCAGCUUUUUCAAUUUACUAAUAGAAUAGUUAUUUAAGUUUUGCUUGAAGUAUGAUAAUGUUACCUCUUCAUUAACAUCUUCAUCAUCUAACUCUUCCAUGAAAGCAUCAUCAGAGUGUUCAGAAACAUCUAAAUCACUUUAGGUAUUUCCCCAGACUGUUAGAGCUUUCUUCACCGCAUGAUUAACCAUUUCUAUUCUGCUUGACUUCUCAUGGACAUAGUCCCCCUCUUUGUCUUUGCCCUCGAGAAUGAGACUCUCCCAUGUUCUAUGCAUCUCAUGAACUUGAUGAUGCUCAAAUAGUGCAUACAAUGUCACUACUUCAGGUUCCCUUGUCUCAUUGCCAGUCAUAAAAUCUCUAGGAAGAAUUUCCAGUAUCUUAGAGACUUGCUUGCACAUAGGGACUGGUUAUUCAAGGAACAUAAACUCAUCUAUAAUGGUGGAGAAUCUAGUACGCAUUUCAUGAAUGGAUUCACUUCUUUUAUGGUGAAACUUUCAAACUGAGUAGUAAAGAGAUCUAGCUUAGAUUUUCUUGUUUCCUCAGUACCCUCAUAAGUUGUUCUUAACAGAUCCCAGAUUUCCUUGACUGAUUCACAAGAUGAGAUCAGAUCGUAUUCAUUUAUUCUAAUGCCACACAUCAGUAGCUUCCUGGCUUUGUGAUUUUUCUAGACUAACCUUCUGUCAGAGUCAUUAUAUUGUUAUCAAGUUUUGGGAAUGACUCUUGUGACCUCUCCAUUUUUAACCUCCAUAGUUGGCACAUAAGGACCUUCACAAAUAAUGUUUCAUACCUCAAUGUCCUUAGCCAUGAGAUAGUCUCUCAUUCAAAUCUUCCACCAUCUAUAGAACUGACCAUCAAAAAGAGGUGGCCUUGUGGGGGAUUGACUUCUUUGCAGGUUCAGUGGUGUCGCCAUUCCUCGUAGGAAUCUCUCUCUUGGUGUUAACCAAAUAGAGAGCCCAAGCUCUGAUACCAAUUGUUGAAAUGUACGAUCAUUGCUCAAGGGAGUAAAACGACAUGUCACACAUGAUUUUCAAAUUGUUUUCACUAAUCUUCUCAAGUAAAAGCGAAACACAGUUUACAACUGCAACCGUGAGAUUAACACCCUAAUCCCAUACUAAGUAAUAUUCCUAUUACUUAAAUGAGCCAAAGCAAUAAUUCUAUUGCCCACUAAACCAACUAACUCUAGUUGAUCUAGACUUUAAGAACCCCCAAGGCUAACUUUAGCAACCAACUCCGAUCUCCAAGACAAGAACAUAAAUGAGCAGCAACUUUACUGCACCACACAUCAACUAACUCUAGUUGACACUCUUAGGCAACUCUACCCAAGACAACAUCAAAACAAUGAUGUAAAAGCUUGACUAAGACAAGAUGAUUCGACUAACUAACUCUAGUUAAUACGACUCAAACUAAAAACUUAGACAAGCACUGAUCUACUAUCCUUUAUAACUUGGGAGUAGAUUUACAAUUUAAGCACAUAAAAUACAAAGCUCUAAAUACAACAAGACGCUUCAGCACUCCAUCAGGUCCCUUGUUGAUAUGAGCAGUGUUCUUCCUUGAAGAUGGCCUUCACAUUUCAAGCUUAUGAAUUUUCAGAGAAAAUCCAAGUUUUUGUUUUCCAAAUCUUGAGUUUGUGUUUUGGAGAAGAAACUAUAUCAAAAGGACACAAACUCAUUGGGACCGCCCAUUGGCUGAGAGCCUGCUUCUCUGGAAAGACAUGCACCUACCACAACAGAGGUGGCAGUUUUUCUGACAGCUGUCUUGUCGUCCUUUUCACAUAUGCAGUCUUGCAGGGACCAGGUCCCUUGCAGUGUUCUUUGUGAGUUCUUGAGAAGACUUGCUAACUCUCUUUCUUUUUUGAAUGAAUGAAUCUUCUUAUUGUUUGUCAUUUUGAUUAUAUCGACCAAAAAGAAUUAUUGUCCGUUGGACAAACAACCUCAUCCGUUUCUAUUGGUGAAGUACGCUGACGACUUCACCAACCCGCUGACAUGACAGCUUUACAGUUGUACAUCAUUAUAAAUCUAGACGAGAGAACUCUAUCAGGGAUCGGGUCCCUGCAUUUGUGAGCCACUGAAAUAGACAGUCUCGUCCGCUCUUCCUAUUGGUGCAGUACACUGCACUUUUCACCUACCACCUGACAUGACAACUUUACAGUUGUACCCCAUUUGAAUCUGGACGAGAGCAUUCUGCCAGGGAUUGGGUCCCUGCAUUUGUGAGGAUCAUCAAAACACCUAGAAUAUCACAUUUUCCCCCUUUUUGAUGAUGACACACAAAUAUUUCUCACACUGAGUUUAUUCAUUCAUUUCCCCUGUCGUCAGUCUCAAUAACAAGGAUUUGGUUUCUUGUUAGAUCCCUAAGUUUGUUAAAUCAUCAAAACUUAACAUCAGCUCCAAACUAACACCUACAUUAUUGAGUGAGGAUGUGGUAAACUGAGCCAAAUGAUUUUAUCUUCUUGUAUUUGACCUAAACAGGACAAACUCUGUGCGUUUCGGUCUUAGCCGUUAAUCCAGCUACAUAUGAACUUUACUCCCCUUAAUCCACGUUUUAUUCUUAAUUUUUUUGUGUCCGAUUUCACUAACAACUAUUUAUUUACAUUAUGCCUUGUGAAGCAACAAAAUAUAUGAGUAUUAGAUUAAGAGAACAACAUAUGUAUGGUAGAAUUUGAAAACAAUCAUAUAAUUAGGAAGAUGUUCAUAUAAUGUCCAUAACCCUAUAAUGAAAACUUUUAGCCACUCAUUAUCUGAUUACACGUAGAAGAAUUCAUAAACAAUAAUGAAAAUAAGAUUUAAAAAAAAUUCUAGAAUAAUGAUAAAUAUUCUUGCCUUUGCGAGUUUGCCCACUUUUUACUUCAUAAUUAGUCCAAUUAAGUUCUUUUCACCUUCAAAGCAUAAAACACUUUUCAUAAGCUCAAAAUCAUGUGAUCGAAUGAAAACAAGGAGUAUCAAGCUAGAAAUUACUUGGAACAAUGCUCAAAUGUAGAUAAAACAUGACCAAAAAGAGUGAAAAUUCACUCAACAUCCGCCAACAAAAAAGAUCUCAAGCAAAAACAAAAAAUUCAAAGAUCACAUUUCAGCUCCCUUGAAUGAUUAGAUCACCUCGUGCAUUUAAAUCACCUCUCUUUGUAAUGAGGAUAUGCGUCUUCUAUCCUCCAAGUAAGAUUAAGGAGUCCUUGUAAGUACUUGGUGGUACAACUCCUUGAAAUCUCAUUACUAAACGUUUGUGGAUGAUGAAUAAAUUUAAACAAACAAUUCUUUGCUCCAAGCAAUUUGGGCACAUCUCAACUAAUUCAGUAUAUACAUAUAUAUAUAUAUAUAUAUUAUACAAGAAACAAUUUGCACACAUCUCAAGGUAAGUACCACUUUCUACCACACAAAUACCAAGUAGUUAUGUUCCCCAAACGUGAGACAAAUGACAUUCUAAGAACACAAUCGCCCCAAUGUAUCGAUAAAAUAGAAAUACUACAACAAAUAACAUUCUCAUUCACCAAAACCUUAGUUCAAUAGGUACUAGCACCUAUAUGCAACACUUUUACACAUAAGCUACUCUCUACAUCUCCGAAUACCAUUCUCAUACAGUAAAAUUGUCCAUCCAGUAGCUUUUUUUUUCUCAUUUCUCUUCACUUUUUAAGCCAAGCUCCAAGAACUAGUCCAUAGUGUUUUUUGUGUCCUAAAAACCAAACCUAGAGCCCUAAUCUUAUUCUACAUCAGCAAAAACAUGCUUUUGUGUACCAAACUGUUUGGAACUCGAACCAUUGAUGCUAAUCAUUCCAAGUUGUGGUAGAAUUUAUCGCGUUGGUUGCUGGUUGUAAUGGCUCUUCUCUUUCUUCUUUGCUGCAGCAAGCUUGGAAUUCCGUGCAGAAGCCUCUAUUGCGGCUGCUCUUGCAGCAGCAUCUGUCUCUUUCCCAGAUUUCUUUUUCUUUGCCGAAGCCACCCUUUUCAGCCUCUCCUUCAUAUCCACUGUUGACACAUCUUCUACUGGUCCAACUCCUCCAGUUUCCUCGGGUCCAGUAGUGGCAUCUACAUUGUUCGGCUGAUCCUCUGAUUCCUUCACCUCCUUGGAUGCUUUGUCCUUCUUUUUCUUCUUCUUUGCACUUUUAGGCUCUAUGGCCCCACCAUUUUUCUUUUCUACAUCUUCUGAUGGCUGACCCUCUUUCUUCUCAUUAGCAACAUCUGUAAUUAUAGAGAAACAUUUAGGAAAAUCCACCUUCAGAUACCUAUUGAGUCAAACUAGGCAUCUUAACCACAUAAUGACAGCAAGUGCUAACCAAAAGAAAAAGUAGUCCAUAAAAUGAAAAGAGAAUGUGAUAUCAGUCUUAAGGAGGUGAGCCAUCAAUUUCAUCACAAUUUUUUUUGUUUUUUGAUAACCGAGAAGUCCGUCUAUGACCCGUCCUUUGGACCAAUCAUAGCCUUCUAAACUCGGUGGAUAAUGGAACCGCCCUUCUACCCUUCUCCACUUAAAUACCGAGCUUCGCUUUGCAUGGUGUGGGGCUUGAACAUGAGACCUAAGCCACAAAUCCUCCACCUUUUGCCACUUCAGCUAGGCCUUGGGGGCCAAUUUCAUCACAAUUUCAAUAACUAUUUACUAAGGGAAACACCAUUAUCACUUAUCAGUACACGAGGCAAAAGAAUCACCAGGUAAGUCUUCUAGACCGUUCUUCUUUUGUUCCACCCCAAAAUCAGCUAAAAGUACCUCCAAUUCAGCAAGCUCCUUUUUCCUUCUCUCUUUCUUCGAUAGUUGUCUCUCAGCUUCUUUAGGAGCUGGUGAAGCUUCUAUCUUUUGGCCUACUGGCUCAGCAUGUUCUGGAACCUCAGAUUCGUGGUCAUUAUCCUCCACAUCUUCAUCUUCAUCAAGAAGGUCGUCCUCACUUUCUGUUUUCUGCAAACCCAAUUACAAAUUUAGUAUAUGCGCAGUACCAACUCGAACAAACGUUCCAACUUUUAUGGCAGCCAAAUAUUGCAAUAAUUUGUGUUAUUUACUUCAUUUUCCUUCUUUUUGAACUUUCUAUUCCCUCAUGAAAGAAAAUUAAUCCCUAAAUAUUGAAAGAACAAACAACACAGAAAACAUAGACAUGAGAGUAGGGAGUCAACAGAACAAUAAAUCAUUAAGCAAAAUGAACAUACAUAAGGAAUAAAAUAUGCAUGGAAGAAACUAUUAACUUGUAAAAGUCCGGGAGUCCAAAGAGAAAGGAAACACUAGCUACGCUUGCAGCCACAGGCCCCAACCAAACAUUCCAAUUUCAAAAAAGAACAUUUUUAGAACCAAAAAAUCAAAUAAGGAAGUCGUCUUAAAAGCCCAACAUUCUCCUACAAUGUGACUUAAACAAACACCUCAAAGCGAUGGAAACAAUCAUCCUAUAGGCAGUACCAACUAUUGGAACUUGGAAUUAAGGCUUAAUUGUUAUUGUUUCAUUUACACUAAGUCGGGCCUUUGCCAAGAGUUCUCUUAGCUUGGCUAGAAACUUGUAUGCUAGGGACUGAAGGAAACCACAGAUGUUUUGAUGUAAUUUCAACUCCUAAGUGUUCCCUAAAAGCUAGAUGUUUGGUUAACCUUUAUAGUUGGGGUUAAUCUAUCCUCUGGUAUUCACCAGCUCCUUAGUCUUAUGAUAUUUCUUUCAUAAUCUCUGCAACUUAUUUAUGACAUUUAACUUACUUCAUCGAAUCUGCCCCCCCGGAUAUUACUUCGCGCCGUUCCAUAACUUGUACUCCCUCCAUUUAAAAAGGAAUGUCUUUUUCCCUUUUUGACAACUCUAUAUUUCAACUUUCCACAUACAUGUUUAAAGACCACAAGACUAAAGGACAUUUUGUUUAGUCUAAAAUCCCAAGAUUCAAAAAAGUUCUCCACUUUCUUAAACUCCAUGUAAAAGUCAAAACCAAACAAACAUUGAAAUAAUGGACUAUGUUAGUGUAGGAACAAGUUCGAGAUAGAACUAGAACUGGUUGAGAAACACUAACUUGCUUGGAAAUCAAAUGACUUUCUAUUGGAAUUCGACAGGUCCUAAAAGAGCAUACCACAACUAGUUCAGGGUUGAAAACACAGUAAUUUAACUGACUAAACAAGACAUAACACUGUAUUUGCUUGUGGAUUCUUCAACCACUUCUCAAAUAUAACAUUGAAUUUUUUCAAUUAUCAGAGAAGUUAAAAAUACAAUCUACCACACUUAUAUCCCUAACCUAAAAAUCCAAAAAAAUUCAUAUCCAAAGAACAGAACAAUACCUCAACAGGUUCAAGUUUUUUUCCAAAUUUAAUGGAACCCACAAAAGACUGAAGAGGAGCAGUGGUGGCGUAGUAAUCGUCAUCAUCUUCGACAUCAACAUCUGCCCAAGAUUUCACCGUCAACGGCGCCGGAGCCCACAAAACUUCCGGCUCCUGUUUUUUUUCCGAUGACCCUUUACUUUUCCCUUAUCAGAUUUCUUCUUUUUCCUCAAAGUAUCAAGCGCCGCAAAUACAUUGAAAUUUUUCACCAUCACAGACCCUUCUUCCCUUCUGUUACUCCCCAUCAUUUCAACCAAGUAAACAAAGAAAAAUAAACUAGAAGAAAUUGGAGAACAGUCGUAGGAAUGGAUUUGUUCAAAUAAUUUUUUUAGGGUUUAGGGAAGUUCUUGAUAGAUAAAUGGGGAGAUAACACGAGUGAGAGAGAAGAAAUAGAGGGUUAUAUAGUUUUGGCCUAUUGUGAUUUGCUCCACUAAUUAUAUUUUUGGCAAAAAGCAUAAAUCCCGCCCUAAACGAAUACCCAAAAGUCAUUUACACAGUUUAACUAAUGGGAUGACCUAUUACACACCUUAAGUACAUAAAAGUAUAUUUAUUUCCCCCUUCCGUCACCCAACCCAGGACAUUAUGCCUAGAGUGAGAGCCACUCGCCUCCUAGUUAAGUCACGUAAUAAAAUACCCCAAUCCGAUUCAUUUGACCCAAACCCGUUUCUUUUCACCCAAACCGAUUCUUUUCACCCAAAUCCAUUUUUUAUUUUACCAUAGUCCAUUUAUUUCACCCACCCGUUUCUUUUCUCUAAGAACACUAAAACCUAAUCGAAAAAAUUCAUCUGUAAAUCCUAAUUUUAGCUAAAGAUUUCUUUGAUUUUGUGGUGUUUUUGGUACAAUCGAGGCGUUCAUCGUUCAUAGUUUGUUGUCGUCUCCAUAUCUGAAAGGUCAGUCAAACAUUUCUAGGAUUACUUCAUAGUUCAUACUUUUUAGGUUAGGGUUAUUUUGUCUUUACUUUUUCUUUCAAGUUUACUGUAUGUCGUCUUUCAUUCACAUGAUUCCUGUCACACCCCGAGACUACCCUCGAGACGCGAACACGGGACCUAGGACCACAUGUGAUCUCAAGCUAACCCUGCUGGCAUGAUCAUGGGCAUACUAAAGAUAAUAAACUGAUGCAGAAGCUAAAUCAUAAAUAACAUGAAAAGAUGGGGAAUACCCAUAUACUAUAACUGAGAUAUAAAAAAAACUGGUGAGUCUAAUACAAAGAAGAUAUUAACUCAAUACUAAGCUGAAUCUAACUAUGUCUGAAAUAAGCCUCUAAACUGACUAAAAAUGUUGGGACAUGCCNNNNNNNNNNNNNNNNNNNNNNNNNNNNNNNNNNNNNNNNNNNNNNNNNNNNNNNNNNNNNNNNNNNNNNNNNNNNNNNNNNNNNNNNNNNNNNNNNNNNNNNNNNNNNNNNNNNNNNNNNNNNNNNNNNNNNNNNNNNNNNNNNNNNNNNNNNNNNNNNNNNNNNNNNNNNNNNNNNNNNNNNNNNNNNNNNNNNNNNNNNNNNNNNNNNNNNNNNNNNNNNNNNNNNNNNNNNNNNNNNNNNNNNNNNNNNNNNNNNNNNNNNNNNNNNNNNNNNNNNNNNNNNNNNNNNNNNNNNNNNNNNNNNNNNNNNNNNNNNNNNNNNNNNNNNNNNNNNNNNNNNNNNNNNNNNNNNNNNNNNNNNNNNNNNNNNNNNNNNNNNNNNNNNNNNNNNNNNNNNNNNNNNNNNNNNNNNNNNNNNNUUACAGAGUGGACUUACACCUACGUGGCUCGUAGUUCUGGGACUAUAUGGGUACGCUGAACCCUAGUCCAACUCGGUAUUAUGCUACUCCCAAUGAAUUAAGUAGUUAACUGGUUAUGACUGAAUUUCUGUGAAUACUGGAUAGCUCGAACUGAACAUGCAAACUGAGAAUGUAACAAUUAAUCUGAUAAUGAUACAUUCAUAAAUUGAGGCAUGUAUAACUGAAUACUGAAAUAUCUGACCUAGCAUGUGUAAUUCGAGAACUAAAGAAAUACAUAGCUAGGGUUCUGAAAUUUAUGCAAUAAACUGAGAAAUAACAUGAUAAACUAAUUUGGAACAUACUAAUAACUAAUUCAUGAUGAUCUGUUGUAAUUCUAGAAACUCUAGGUCUGUUCAUAAUCAUUGAAUCAAGAAUCUGACUGAAUUCUAGGGACCUAAUGGGUGAAAGGAACCCACUAGUGAAAAUCCUACAUACCUGGUGACGAAUUUCACGGAGAAAUCCUUUGAUUUCUGGGCUGGACCUGAAGAAAACUUGUUGCGUUCUUGAACUAGGGUUCUUAACCUUUUUCUCCUCUUUUGCUUCUAAUUUUCUAAGUUUUGAUUAAUGAUUUGACUUGGAUAAGUUCUAGUUAUGUUUCUAGUCUUAAGCUGACUAAAACCUCAUGAUUUAGGGUCUAAACGACGUAUCUUAGGGGUCUAAUGAAAUAGGAAAAGACCAAAAGACCCCUGACUUAAUUGUUGUCUGAGUGACCGACGGAUUGGACUGACGGGCCGUAGGUCAAUCGAAGGUCCGUCGAUUGGAGUCGUCGGUCGAGUCUGUCGAUAGGGCUUCACUAAAACAAGCAUAACUUUUUACUCGGAGGUCGAAUUUUAGCAAACUUGGUGGCGUUGGAAAGAGGAUUCAAUUAUUUAUCAUAUCAUAGGUCAUGGGACACACAAUUAUUUUUGUGCUAAAAUUUAUGACAAUUUGAAGUUGACCCAAAUCAUAUUUUUCAUCUAACUGGCUGCUAACCCUUACCUACGGUCAGACCUACGGACCGUGCAUCGAAUGACGGUCCUUGCUGGUCAACCGUCAAUCGGGACUGAAGCUGGGCUUUAGGGGCAUCGAUCCACGGACACGAACCACGAUCCGUGACCUGACCUACGGAUCGUAGGUCCAACCGUGGGUCAACACUUGGCCGAAUUUCUGGCUGAGUUCUGGGGGAGUUUGCUGACACGAACCACGGACCUGCAGGACGGACCGUGGGUCCUCUUACGAUCCGUGGAUGGUGCCCGUGAGUGCCACCUGCAACACCAGAACUCUGCAAUAUGGUCUAUUUUCGGAUACGGGGUGUUACAAUUCCCAUUUGUUGUUGUAUGAAUUUUGUUGUUGUAUAUGUUUUGUCGUUUUUGUUGAGGGUCAACUGAUAACAUUAUUUUCAUAUUAAAAUGUCUUUUGAAUUGAUUACUUUGAGAUUUUAUCACGUGGUGUUAUUAAGAUUGGAAAAAAGGGAUACAAGGGGAAACCAUAUCAUGGUGAAGGAGUUUAUGAGUUUUUAGAUGUUGAUAUAGGUAGGUUAUCUUAUUUUGAAUUGAGGGAUUGUCUGAAAGAGUUGGGGUAUGAACCUGGACAAUGUGUGUUGUAUGUGAAACUUCCUAGAUGUACUGCUAUGUUAGAAAUCAAAUCUGACUAUGAUACUACUUUAAUUACUGAGUGUUUGAGUCAUGGAGAUAUUUUGGACUGUUUUUUGUCACUUUAUUGCUGAUCCAGUUUUGGUCCCACCUUUAUUAGAAUAUGGGGAAAGUGGAGUAGGUAAGGGAGCAUCUCAAAACAGUGGGCCUAAUGCAUCUUUUGAUGCUGAAUUAGAACCAACACAUGAGGCCCAAGAAAAUGCCACACAUAAGGCCUAAGAAAAUGCCUCAAACCUUGCCUCAAACCCUGCCCUUGCUUAUGCCCCUGCCUUUGUCAAUUCAAAUACAUCUUCUCAUGUACACUCUUUCACUGCUCCAAAUACUCCUCCUCCUACUAAUCAAACUCCAACCCCUAUCCAUCCUUCUAUUGAUCCAACUCUUGACCAUGUUCAUCCUUCCUCUGAUCCAAUUUCUGACCUUGUCCAUCCUUCUAAUGAACAAUAUUCAGAUAGAGAAUCAUUGAAUGGGAGGGGGGGAAUUAAUGGGAAUGAUAUAGAUGAUGAACUAAGAAGUUUUAGGGAGGAAAGGAGUAAAAGAAAGAGAAGGAAAAGGGGAGAAAGAGCUCUAUUGCUUGAUCAUGUCAAGUUAGGAACAUAAAAAAUAUGGGCCAGAUGCUGCGUAUGAUGAAUCUACAGGUGGUAAUAGAAAUAACUUAGAAGGCAAGCUAGCUGGUGAUGAGCCUGAUUAUCCCUCAGAUGAAGCUGCCAGUUUUGAAACAGAUCCAGAUGCUUUCAGUGAUGAUGAAGAGGUUCAACAAAGAGAGAGAGUUAAGCCAAGAAGGAGAAAGAAGGUGAAUAGAGUUGUAUUUGAUAUAUCUUCUCAGAAAGUAGUGUGGAAAUUGGGUCUUGUAUUUGAAAGUGUUAAUGAGUUUAGAUCUGUUGUUACCAAAUAUGUUGUUGCUGAACAUGUUGCAAUUGAAAUGUAUAUUAAUGAACCAACAAGGGUAAGGGUUAGGUGUACAGUUAGCUGUCCUUGGGUUUUAUUUGCUAGCUUUGAUUCUAGGACAAAUAAUUUUGUUGUAAAGACAUACAAUCCAGUUUACAAAUGUGUUCCUACUAAUAGGAACAAGCUUUGUAAUAGCAAGUUCUUAUCUAGUCACUACAGUGAAAGGAUAAAGGAACAACCUGACAUUAGAAUCUUUGAGUUUCAAGGGCUUAUUAAAAAAGAAUUGGAUUUAUAUGUUGGAAGAACAGUGUGUAGGAGAGCAAGAAACAAAGUAUUACAGGAGUUAAUGGGUGACUAUGUUCUUGAGUUUGGGAGGAUUUUGGACUACAAAGAUGAGUUGCUAAGAACUAAUCCAGGUAGUACAUGUGUAGUCAAGCUUCAUGAAGAAACAUUUGAAAAAGGUAGAAAAAUGUUUCAAGGCUUCUACAUAUGUUUUGAUGCAAUGAAGAAGUCCUUCUUGGCUGGUUGUAGGAGGUGCAUUGGUUUGGAUGGUUGUUUUCUAAAGGGAGUAUCUAAAGGUCAAUUAUUGGUUGCUGUUUGUAAAGAUGGGAACAAUCAAAUGCUACCACUGGCUUGGGCAGUAGUUGAAGUUGAAAAUAAGUUUACUUGGGCUUGGUUUGUCAAACUUCUAAAGGAAGAUCUUCAGUUGGGAGAUGGUACAGACCUCACAAUCAUAUCAGAUAUGCAAAAGGUUAGAAUAUUUAUUGAUUUAUUUCAUGUCUUGAAUGCCAUUUAUUUAUGAAUGUCUUAGUUUCUUUAAUGUCUUAGUUUCUUAGUUUCAUGUCUUGAAUUUUCUUAUAGGGUCUUGAAAUUGCCAUAACUGAUCAUUUGCCAAAUGUUGAGCAUAGAAUGUGUGCUAGAUACAUCCUUGUUAACUGGUCAAAGAGAUGGAGAGGUCUUAAGAGAAAGAAAUGUUUCUGGAGGUGUGCAAGGUCUACUUUUGAGGCUGAGUUAAAAGAUAACAUUAGUUAUAUGAAAAGGUUGGGCAAUAAUAUAGUUGAUCACUUGUUGUAUUAUAAUCUUGAAAGAUGAAGCAAGCUUUACUUCAAUUUUACCUCAAAAUGUGAUGUUGUAGACAAUAACAUGGUUGAAUGUUUCAAUUCAUGGAUAUUAGCAGCAAGGCAUAAGACUAUAAUUACAAUGCUUGAAGAAAUUAGGGUGAAAAUGAUGAAAAGAAUAUGGCAAAUGAGAGAGUUUUGCAAUACUUGGAUCUGUGACAUUUCUCCAAUGGCAAUGAAGGUUCUACAAGAUAACACAACUAAGUCUAUGAAAUGCAGCAUUGAAUGGAAUUCAGAUACAAGGUAUGAGGUACUUCAUGGACCAUACAGACAUGUAGUAGAUAUUCAAAGGCAAAUAUGUAGUUGUAGAGCAUGGAUGUUGAAAGGCAUACCAUGUCCUUAUGCAAUAGCUGCUCUUCACCAUAGGAAAUUGGACCCAAUCAACUACAUUUCUCAUUGGUAUAACAGAGAAACAUACAGGAAGACAUACAACUACUUCAUUCAGCCAGUUAUGAAUCUGAAAAUGUGGUCAGAAUCACAAAACAUCUAUGUGAUACCACCUCCUAUUCGAAAGAUGCCAGGAAGGCCUGGCAAGAAAAGGAAGAAAGAGCAAGGUGAAACCAGUAAAUCUGGAAAAAUUAUCCAAAAGAGGAAUUGAGAUAUCAUGCAGCACUUGUCAUAACAAGGGUCACAAUAAAAGAAAGUGUCCUCUUGGUGCACCUGCUUGUGGCACAAGCUUUACUGCUGGACCAAGUUCAAGACCUGCUACUGGACCAAGUUCAAGACCUCAUUCUGGCCCUGCUGCACCAAGCUCAAGACCUCCUUCUGGCCCUACUGCUGCACCAACAUCAACACAAACUGUUGGCCCUGCUGCACUAACAUCAACACAAAUUGUUGGCCCAAGAGCAACACCUAAUGCUCCAACUGGAAGAUGAAGGGGUAGACCAAAGGGUUCAAUAGAAAAAGUGAUAUAGUUUCCUUUAUUUACUUCAUGUAUAAAUUUUAAAUAAGUUGCUUUACUGAAUAUUUUGUUAUUUUUUAGGGUAGUGUUGCUAGCAGAACAAGAAUGGUUGGAAUGGGUGNNNNNNNNNNNNNNNNNNNNNNNNNNNNNNNNNNNNNNNNNNNNNNNNNNNNNNNNNNNNNNNNNNNNNNNNNNNNNNNNNNNNNNNNNNNNNNNNNNNNNNNNNNNNNNNNNNNNNNNNNNNNNNNNNNNNNNNNNNNNNNNNNNNNNNNNNNNNNNNNNNNNNNNNNNNNNNNNNNNNNNNNNNNNNNNNNNNNNNNNNNNNNNNNNNNNNNNNNNNNNNNNNNNNNNNNNNNNNNNNNNNNNNNNNNNNNNNNNNNNNNNNNNNNNNNNNNNNNNNNNNNNNNNNNNNNNNNNNNNNNNNNNNNNNNNNNNNNNNNNNNNNNNNNNNNNNNNNNNNNNNNNNNNNNNNNNNNNNNNNNNNNNNNNNNNNNNNNNNNNNNNNNNNNNNNNNNNNNNNNNNNNNNNNNNNNNNNNNNNNNNNNNNNNNNNNNNNNNNNNNNNNNNNNNNNNNNNNNNNNNNNNNNNNNNNNNNNNNNNNNNNUAAUGAAUUGCAGUUGUGAUUGCAUUUUGAUUUGUGGUGUCUGAUUAUGUAACUGUUUUGACAGAUAUUAAUUUCUAUUUUGAUUAAUGAUUAUGCAGUUAUGAAUGUCUGUUUAUGUAACAAUAUUGCUUCUCUUUUAGUUGAUGGUUUCUGUGUUUAUGGAGGGCAAUUAGUGACUACUUUAGCAGUGGCUACACAAACGUAUAGUUUAGACAGUUGAGCAGAUAGUUGUACACACUAAAUGUAUAGUUUAUGAUCAAAUACAAAAUCAAAUACUUGCAACAAUAAAUGAGACAAAUUAAGAUAAGAGCUUUGUAAAUUCUUUUCAUUACACAAAAGCAUUACAAGUUCAACACAAUAUUGCAAAUUUUUGGUACAAAGAAGAGAUCAUGACAAUUUCCUUGAAUGUCCUUCUCCUUUCAGAAACAAUACUCUUUGAAAUACUAAACUUACACCUAAAAUACAAACACACAACAGAGCAAUCCAAAGUUGUUUCUCCCUUUUCUUGGACUUGGCCAAUUUGUUUUUCCAUUUCUUUUCAACUGCUUUCAUCUUCUUCAAAUCAUCAUCAAAAUUGUCCAUUUUUUACUCUUUCUUCUUCAUAUCUAUUUUGCUUUCCAUAGAUUUGGUCGACUUAGUAGGCUUGUUGAUUUCCUUAUCCGAAGUUUCAACUUUUCGAGAAGAUUCAACACUAUGUUCAAGCUCCGCAAUUCUUCCCAACAACUUGGGAAUCAUAAAUUUGGAUCUUGGAUCAAUAUAAUCAUCUUUCCCAAGCCAAAAAUAGCAUGAUCUAGCAUUCUUAAAAAACAAAAUGAAUCAUUCUAUGGAUCUUGAAACAACAAAACGAAUUACUCAACUCUUAAAAAAGAUUAACUUACCCCAUAGUAAGGACAACCCUAAUCUUCUACUAGGAUUUCUCGGGGUCCAAGAGGUCAGCAAACGCAAAACAAAUCCAUGUUUGCAUCGCACCUCUUCCAAUUCAUGAUCUUCCUCUUGUAAACAGAGCCGAGUCAAGCUUAUUCGAGCCGUUGUAGCACCUUAAUAAGAAUUACCGCGAAUCAAACUAAAAAUUCAAAAUACGAAAUAGAUAGAAACAAAUCAAAAUGAAAAAGAGAGAAAUGAAUCAAAAUGAAAAGGAGAUGAAUGAAUAAUAAUGAAAAAGAGUAACCUUUGAUUCAAAAGAAGGAAUUUUGAACUAUGUUUGAAUUUAGGGUUCUUGAUUCAGAUUUUUGGAUGAAAAUUUAGGGUUUUUGUUCAUUAGGGUCGGGUGGGUAGGUUAUAUGAAGAGAAUGGGAAUAUAACCGUUGGGUUGGGUUUUUUAAUUAAAAAAAUAAAUAAAAAUGACUUUAUUAGCGUGUUGACGCGCUCAACUAUGUGGAGCGAAACGCGCCCUGGGUUGAGUGACGGAAGGGGAAAAUAAAUAUACUUUUAUGUACUUAAGGUGUGUAAUAGGUCCCCCCCCCCCAUUAGUUAACGUGUGUAAAUGACUUUUGGAUACAAGUUUAGGGGGCAAUUUAUGCCUUUUGCCUUUUUAUAAUCAUACACGAAUUUUAUGUACAAAUUCUCAUAAUUGACUAUGGUCUAUGGCUUAGAUAUCUACCUCUAUAGUUUAAAUAAUUACAAGGAUUUUUGUAUCACUUAUAUUCAAUAUUUAUAUGGACAUUAGUGUAUCGAAAGAAAGAAGAUAGAUGACUGAGAAUUACGGAAAUUUAAAAAUAUUAUUUCUAGUCUAUCAGUUUUUUUAAAGAGAUGACAAAUACAAAGCGAUUACCAUUUGUAGGCUCAUUCACCAAUUAGGUUAGGCCAUGACUUUACACGAACAGAGACAGAGAUGGAAUUUCCCCUUCUUUCGGUCAUACCUACACAGAUUCUCUCGAUCCAGCUAAACUUACUUUGAUGUAAGAUGGGGUUGAAGUCUUAGGAUAAUUAAGCAGCUCCAUACACCAUUUGAAUAUCAACAAUUUUUGUCCUAAGGCAAGCUCCUGCAUCUCUAGGGUUUGUGCUAAGGCAAGCUCUUGCAUCUCUAGGGAUAGAUGCAUCUUUUCUUUUUGUGUCUUCUCCUUUCGCUCAAGCGCUUCCUCUUAUUGUUUGACUAAAGGAAAUAAAUAGAAUCGAUUGUAAUAAAUGAAGUGGAUUUAUUUCGUUUUCUUAUUUAUUUGCAUAAUUUCACUUGUAUUCUUUCUCUUUACUAUAUCAAUUGUUACCGUUCUGUAUCGCUUAAAUUUAUUCGCUCUAAUGGAUGUAUUAAUACAUAUUAAUUAUUAUCAUUUUGUAUCACUUAUAUUUAUUCGUUCUAAUGGAAGUAUUAAGAGAAAAUGGUCAAAUGACCCCCCAAUCUAUUAGUCGAUUCUCAACUACACACUUAUAUUUUAGGAGGGUCCUAUUAUCCCCCUGAACUAUUUUAUAGUAGAAUUAUUUGCUCUCUAAUGCUGAGUUGGCAAAGAAAGUGUAAUUCACCUUCUUAAAGAGAGUGAGAGGCAAACUUUCUUACUUUUCUUUUUAAUAUUAAUUUUCUAAUCUUUUAUAUUUUUCAUUUUACUUUACUUUUACUCUAUUUAUGUUUUUCAUUUUCUUUCUUUAUCUUUUUCAUUUUACUUUACUUUUACUCUAUUUAUGUUUUUCAUUUUCUUUCUUUAUCUUUUUCAUUUUACUUUCUCUCUUCUUUCUCUAUUUCUUCAGUACUCCACCAGAUCUAAGUUCCCUGAAGAAGAAAAAAACAGUAUGAAAUUAUCUCACUAUUAAUAAUUGUUACUAGUGACACUAUCUCCUUCUUCUUUUUCUCAAAAGAAAUUGACUUCACUAGCAAAAAUUAAAAAAACACAGGAUCAAAUUAAAAAUAAACACUUUCCCAUAGCCAAGUGUUCAUAAGUUCAAGCACAACAUGAAAUUGAACAAUAUAGAGAAAACUCAGUUGAGUAAAUAAAACUAACAAAGCAUCAAGGUCAAAAUUAGUAUCUUUUACAAUUAAUUUUUUACUACUUCAACUACAACAACACACAAAAUUGAAGAAAUCCAGAUCCGAAUCAGAUCCAAAAGUUCAAAUCUAUAAAUUCACUACGAAACAAGGCCGGAACCAAUUUGAGACUUUGGAAAACAUCAAAUAGUAAACCUUUAGCUAGGAGCCUCUUUUCCUUCUGCCCAGCUCCCCAAAAACAACGUUCAACUUGCAUGUGUUAAGCAUAUAGCUAGCGUUGAUUACUAUAUAAGUAUAUGAACAUCAAAUUCUUUAACAUGAACAACCCAAAUAAAAAUUUCUCCUUUUUAGAUUAUUGUAAGCCAAAUCAAUAUGCUCAAGACUUCGAUAGUUGGUAAACUUUUAAGGAUUUCACCAUUUAAAUUCAUAUUUCAUUCUUUUUUUUUUAAUCUUUUCAAACUCCAACAAUAUUCUCAUCAGAGAAAGUCAGAAAACCCAUUAAAUACCGAACCUAGAUAUUCAAGAUUGGCUAUGUUAUUGUGUUUUACCGAAAAAAUAAAGUUCAUAUGCAUAUAUAAGAUCUAUAGCUCCGUCAAAUUUUCGGUUGGCGACGGAUAUCUCUAAUAAAAUUGUUCCCCAAAAUCAAGAUAUUGAAGUUUUUGAAGCCGAUGAAUAUCCAAUGGUAUGAGACCCACAAAUUAAUUUUGAAAAAGGUCCAAAUAUUGCAUGUUGAAAUAGUUGUAUAAGAAAAUUGGGAACUUAGAUUAAGAAACUAAAUCUUUUGAGGUUACAGAUGGAACUUGGAGUUUCCACUUCAAUGGUAGAAAAUUUUUAGUCAAAGAAAAGGAUAGAAAAAGAAAAAAGAAAAGAAGAAAUCAGCUGAAAAAGAAAAGAAAAAACAUAGAAGGGAAAUAGAAUAAGGUAAAAAGAAUUAAAUUAUAUUUUUAUAUAAAAAAAAGUACCAUAUAUGUUACGUGGCACCACGCGUGCAACACACUGCUUACCAUAAAUCUGGGUGUGACCUUUUAAGGGGUAAUAUAUUCUACUUUUAAAAUGUUUAGGGGGGUAAUAGGACCCCCAUAAAAUAUAAGUGUGUAGUUGAAAAUUGACUAAUAGAUUGGGGGUUCAUUUGACCAUUUUUUCGAAGUAUUAAUAUAUACAAUCUUGAUGGAUACAAGCAUAAUUAUAAAUCAUGUGAAUUUACUUAAUUUCGUUGCAUCAGCGCAUACAGUCAUAUGAUAGGUUGUAUGCGUUCACUCAACAAACUAUAUUUUGUUUCUCAUAUAACGAAUUACAGUGAAUUUAAUCACUCUAAUGGUUGUACCACCAAAUACAAUUUUGGAUACAAUCAACAAUAGAUCAUAUGAAUUUACUUAAUUUUGUUGUAUAUAAUCAUAAUAGAUUGUAUACGUUCACUCAACAGAUUACAUUCACAAUGGAGUUGCAAACCAAAAAAGAAGAAGAAGACUUGUUGAAGAUAACAUACAAUAUACGUCAAUCAUCAUCAUAAUUUGGACAUUAUCAUGAGCCCACUCCCAACACCAUUGUAGCUUCAGCUUUAUUCCACCGUCCUCCACCACAAAUCAAUCCCGUCUUCUUUGGCGAGGACGAAGUUGUCUGUGCAAGGAGAGGGAGCAUGACCAAAUCUGAAAAUCGUUGGUCGUCUCUAGCGAUCCAUCGAGACAGACAAAUCAUUAAAAAUAAAACCAAGUCAAUUUACAAGAGGCAGAGAGUGGUACUGAGGUUAGCAGUUGUAGUGGCAAAAGAAGAGGGAAAGGAGGCAAAGAUGGUAAAGGAACAGGUUGUGCAUGUCUCAACUAAUUCAGUAGGCUAUGUUACUCGAACUCUUCAAAAAUAUCAAAGAGUGUUUGUCGUAUUCUCCAAAAACUAUUUUUGGAGAAUCCGACAUAAAUGCUGCACAGAAAGUGAAGAGUCUGUGCAACUUAGGUUACAUGUUGAAUAGUAUAUUCACCUCACAUCAGGCUAUGUUACUCGAACUCUUCAAAAUAUCAACGAGUGCUUGUCGUAUUCUCCAAAAACUAUUUUUGGAGAAUCCGACAUAAAUGCUGCACAGAAAGUGAAGAGUCUGUGCAACUUAGGUUACAUGUUGAAUAGUAUAUUCACCUCACAUCCUUCUCUAAUUUCUGGUAUAAGCCGGGGACAUACGGAGUCCACACAAUCGCCUCAACAAAGAAAAUGAACUAACAGGCGAGAUCAUGCCUCACAUAACCAAUAAAAAAACAAUUCUACUUGUAUUUCAUUCACCAAACCUUAAUUCAAUAGGCACUAGCAUCAAUGUGCUACUUUUACACAUAAACUUAACUCUCUAGAUCUCCAAAUACCAUUCACAUACAGCAAAAUUGUCCAGCCAGACACAUUAUUUUUUUUGUAAAACUUUUCUCAUUUCUCUUUACCUUUUAAUCUAAGCUCCAAGAACUAGUCCAUAGUCUUGUGCCCUAAAGACCAAAACUUAGAGCCCAAAUCUUUUUGUACAUCAGCAAAACAACGAUUUGGUGUACCAAACUGUUUGGAACUCGGACCAUUGACGCUAAUCAUUCCAAGCUGGGUAGAAUUUACCGCAUUGGCUGCUGGUUGUAAUGGCUCUUCUCUUUCUUCUUUGCUGCAGCAAGCCUGGCACUCCUUGCAGCAGCCUCUGUUGCGGCAGCUCUUGCAGCACCAUCUGUCUCUUUGCCGGAUUUCUUUUUCUUUGCCGAUGCCACCCUUUUCAGCCUCUCCUUCAUAUCCACCGUAGAUGCAUCUUCUACUUGCUCAGCUCCUCCAGUUUCCUCUAGUAGAACAGUUGCACCAACGCUGUUUGGCUGAUCCUCUGAUUCCUUCUCCUCUUUGGAUGCUUUAUCCUUCUUUUUCUUCUUCUUAGCACUUUUAGGCUCUAUAGCCCCACCAUUUUUCUUUUCCACAUCUUCUGCUGGCUGACCCUCUUUCUUCUCAUUGGCAACAUCUGUAAUUAUAAGAGAAACAUUUAGGAAAAUCCACCUUCAGAUACCCAUAGAAUGAAGCUAGCCAUCUUAACCACAUGAUGACCAACAAGUGCUGACAAAAGAAAAGAAAGUAGACAUGUUUAAAGAGUCUAUAAAAUGCAAAGGAAUAUGAUAUCAAUCCUAAGGAGGUAGGACAUCAAUUUCAUCACCCAACUUCGACCACUAUUUACUAAGGGAGGAGAUAGAAGGAUAACACUGUAAUCAGUAAAUGAGAAGAAGAAUUACCAGAUAAGUCGUCUGGACCUUUCUCCUUCUGUUCAACCCCAAAAUCAGCUAAAAGCGAGUCCAAUUCAGCAAGCUCCUUCUUCCUUCUCUCUUUCUUUGAUAGCUGUCUCUCAGUUUCUUUAGGAGCUGGUGAAGCUUCUAUCUUUUGGCCUACUGGAUCAGCAUGUUCUGGAACCUCAGAUUCGUGGUCAUUGUCCUCCACAUCUUCAUCUUCAUCAAGAAGGUCGUCUUCGCUUUCGGUUUCCUGCAAGUCCAAUUACAACUUCAGUAUAUGCACAAUACUAACUCAAAAAAAGGUUCAAUUUUUUAUGGCUACCAAAUAUAGAUUGUGUGUUAUCUCUCCUUCAUUUUCUUCUCUUCAAACUUUAUAUCUCCUUAUAAAAGAAGAUUUAUCCUUCCAAUUAGGAGAACAAAUAGACGCAGAAACAGACAUGAGAGUGAGUCAACAACAACAUACCCAGUAAAAUCCCACAGUGGGGUCUGGGAAGGUUGGAAUGUACGCAGACCUUACCUCUAUGUUGUUUCCGAAAGACCAUCGGCACAAGUGCAACAAAUCAAAGUAUUCACGAAAAAAGGAAAUCCCAGAAUGAAGAACGACAUGUCAAAUAACAAGGAAAGCAGUACAGAGCAUCCAAGGAAAAGAAAAAAUAACAGCAACAAAUAAUAUUGUUAGUAAAAGAAAUUACAUGCACAAGGCUAAUACUACGACAGACACAGCACUCCCACGAAGCCUAAACCCACCGUAAAGCAAGUCAUAGCACAACUACCUACUAACCUUAUAUCCUAAUCUGUUACCUCCAUACCCUCAUAUCUAAGGACAUGUCCACGAUAAGUUGAAGCUGCAUCAUAUACGGUGUAAUCACCUCACUUUUUGACUUACUUCUACCUCUCUUCAUACUCAAUAUAUCCCCAACCUCCCACACCUCCUUAUUGGAGCAUCUUCGCAUAUCUUCUUCACAUGUCCAAACCAUCUAUCUCGUCUCCCUCAUCUUGUCUACCACAUAAAUCAUCCCCACUCUAUCCUAAAUAUUAUCAUUCUUAAUGUUAUAUCUCUUAGUAUAACUACACAUCCAUCUCAACAUCCUCAUUUCCGCAGCUUGCAUUUUCUAAACAUGUGAGUUGUCGACUGGCUAAAACUUAGCUCCAUAUAACAAAGUUGGUUUAAUCAUCACUCUAUAGAACUUACCCUUAAGAUUUGGUGGAAUUUUUUUAUCACAUGACUCGGGGAUGAGCCUCUAUUUCAUCCAUCGCGCACCAAUAUAAUGUGUGGCAUCAUCAUCAUCUCCCAAUUUCCUUGGAUUAAAGACCCAAGAUACUUGAAACUUGCUUUCUUGGGGAUGGCCUAUGAAUAAAAACUUACUUCUACACCUACCUCACCAAAUGCAUCACUGAACUUGCACUAAGUAUUUUGUUUUGGUCCUACUCAACCUGAACCCUAUAGACUUCAUGGUUUGUCUCCAAACCUUUAACGUAGCAUUAACUCCACCGUAAAUCUUAUCAAUCAGUACUAUAUCAUCUGCAAAUAACAGACCAUGGCACCUCACCUUGGAUAUGGUGCAUCAAUUCAUCAUCACCAAGGCAAAAUAACAUGGUCAAGUGUUAAUUCCUAGUGCAACCCCAUCUUGACCGAGAAGUGUUUUGUGUCUCCUCCCACUAUGCUUACUUGGGUCUUGGCUCCAUCAUGUCUUUCCUCACCCUGAUGUAAGCUUCUAGCAUACCUCUAGCCUGAAGACAUCCCCAUAGGACCUCUCUUGGGACUGUCGUGAGUCUACUCUACAUCACUAAACACCAUAUGCAGGUCUUUCUUCCCCUCCCUUUACUUCUCCACUGGUCUCUCCUCACAAGAUGGAUAGCUUCUAUAGUAGAAAAAGAAUGUAAAACAUGCAUGGAAUAAACUAUUAACUGGUGAAACUCCUAGCAUCCAAAACAAAAAGGAAAAGCCUAGCUACACUUGCAGCCACAUGCCCCAUUUUCCAAUUUCAACAGGAGAAUACUUUUAGAACCAAAAAUCACACAAGGAUUUAAGUAAUAACAUAACACAAUGGAAACAAUCAUCCUAUCUGUCGUAUUAACUAUUGGAACUUGGAAUUCACACUUAACAAUUAUUGUUUCACUUACAUUAGUCUAGCCGUCGCCAAGAGUUCUCUUAGCUAGGUUAGAAACCUGUUUGUUAGGGACUACAAGAAAUCGCAGAUGUUCUGAUGGUAGAAAAAAAUCUACUGCAAAAUAACCAUGAAGACCGUGGAUUCAAUUUCAAGUAAUUUUAAAAAAAUAAAAUUGGAACAUUGAUAAAAAGAAGUAGUUGUGAAUUAAAAAUUUAAUUAUAGAAUUUUAAAUUAUAGAUAUGCAGUUGAAACAACUGCUCCAUGUACAAUGAAGUCUUUUUGAAUCAUGUUAGCUAAUGUUGAUUUCAUUCCAUCAUUUUCAGGCAACUUAAAAUGAAAUUUUAGCCCCCAAGGCCUAGCUCAAGUGGCAAAAGGUGGAGGAUUUGUGGCUUAGGUCACAGGUUCAAGCCCCACACCAUGCAAAGCAAAGCCCGGUAUUUAAGUGGAGAAGCGUAGAGGGGCGGGCCCAUUAUCCACCGAGUUUAGAAGGCUGUGAUUGGUCCAAAGGGCGGGUCACAGAUGGAUUUCUCGGUUAUCAAAAAAAAAAUGAAAUUUUAUUUGUUAAAUAAUUUUAUAUAUAUUGGGAUUUGAUAAAUCUUUUAUCUCUUAGAGAUUUAAUCAAUUAAAAAAUAUCCAUACACACACAAUGGAGUCCUAGGUCCCAAAGUGGAUGUCAUUCCUUCUUUAUAGGGCAGCUUAAAGGGCAUUUAAAUAUGUCACAUAACUGAACUCUGUCCCAGUAAUGAUGCUAUUAUUGUGGCCUCGACAAGAAGAAAUGACAAAGCACUUUAAUCUCAAUGACGGCGGUAGUAGAGCUGUUGCUGAUUUAAGUGCUAUCACUGUGUCUCUACACCGUGACGAUGGUCAUGCAGAUGACAUGGUACUGAGAUUCAUUUUUAUCUUAUUUAAUUUCUCUAGAAGAUUUCUUAAAUCAGUGUGCACUACUGACUUUUAGGAUUUCUCACAGCAAAGGUUAUAGUACUCUAUAUUAAGCCUUUUGUAGUUUAUUUGAAGCGAAAUGUCUACAUAGUUAUGAUGAAUUGAGAGAAAAAAUAGACUUUAAAAUUGAUUAUGCACUAACCCCAAUGCCAUGAUGGGAAAAAGUAGAGCAAUAUAUAUUAGCACUGAAAUGGAAAGCUGGAAUGGUGGCUAAUCAAGGUAUAUCACAAGUACAUGGAUGCAAGAAUAAAAGCUUGAACAAAGGUUGUUGUCUGUUUGACAGGUUAUGUGGCUCAAUCUUUUAAAGUUUGGUUCCUUUUGUUCCAUAGAGGGUAGAAAAUUUUACAGACGAAAAGAAGUCCUUUGCAAAUAUUAUGAGAAAUGGAUGAAACUUGAGAGAAUAUGAAAUCAGGAACUGGCUAAAUACUCCUCAACUAGCUUAGUACGGUCGUUCAUGACUCAUAAUCACUUUUCAAUUUAUAAGAUCAUGUUGUACUAUUACUAUAAUAUUAUGACACAUCACACAAGUAAGCUAUAACCUGUUAUUGUCCUUCUAUUUAAUUGAGUGUUAGUAAAUAAGAUUUUGGAACAUAAUGAGUCCUCUCAUAUCUGAAAAAACAGUUUUUAGUCUUGUCAUAAUCAAACUUCCGUUUAUUGUGAUUAUGUGUAGUCUUAGUUUUAAGGCUGACAGAAUUUAAAAUCAAAUUCUUUUGCACAAGGUAGUUUUUAUAUUGAAUGAUCUUUAGCAAUGUGGUCAAGUAAUACAAUAACAGGGAUGGUCUAAUGGCUUCACCAAAAGUUUAUCUUCUUUAGCAUUAAUUGUAAGAAAAUAUACCCCCCACAAUUUUGGCAUAAUUGACGGAAGUACCAUCAUAUUUUCUUGCAUAUUAGUUAUUUUUAAGACCAGAACAUAUAGAUAUAUCUAAUGGGGUAUAUAAGAUAGAAGUUGAAAUUAUUGAAUCACCUAUGAAUGAAAAUUUCUGUUGAAUACUUCUAUUGAGCAAGGGUUACCUACUUAGUACUCUGUGAGUCUACAUUAAGCGGCCCUUUUAUUAAGCCAAAAUAUUUGUGUACGUAGUGAUGAUAAAUUUAGAGAAAAAAUAGGCUUUAAAAUUGGUUAUGCACUCCUAAUGACGGGAUGGGCAAGAGCCAAGAGUAGAGCAAUAUCUAUUAACAUUGAAAUUGGAUACUAGAUUGGUGGCAAUUCAUGUAGAUCAAACAAUGUGGACAUAAUAAUAAAAGCUAGAAGAGAUUAUCGCCAGCUUGAUUAUGGCUCAAUGAAUAUGAGAAAUGGACAAUUUGAGUUAUUUCAUUCUUAGAAAAGGAAGAAGGCACCAUAAUAUAUGUACAAUAGUUUAAAAAGGACAAAUGAUAGAACUAUAAAAAUGCUCUCAAGCACGGCUAUCAAGGCAAGUCAACUUAAAACCUAAAGUCGAUUUCACUCUGUCUGGGGCCUACUCCGGCAACUUAUGACCGAAACUUUUUCAAUUGGGGGAAAAGUAUAUUCUACAAUUCAGGAUUCAAAUCUUACGAAAUCAUUAGGUGUAAAUACGGUGCGGAGAAACCUAGUAUGAAUGGAUCAAGUGAAGUCGGAAUUUAAUGAAGGUGAAGAUUAGCAUUAAAGUCUUGAAGUGCUUAGUUUCUGUUAAAAUUAGGAAUAGAUUUAUACAAUCCUAUUAGAAUAGGAAUAGUAAUAGAAAUAGGAAUACUAAAUAGUAUCCUAUUUGGUAAAGGAUUGUAUUCUAGGGUCUAUAAAUAGGAUCUCAAUGUAAUAAUGUACACAACAACAAUUUAAUAAUAUUCUUUUCUUAUAUUUCUCACAUGGUAUCAGAGCCUCUACGAUCUUGGUAAACAAUCAAAGAGCUUCCGCUGCCGGCGGGCGGCUAUUAUCCAUAUAUGUUGCCCGUUCGGCCAACGAUUAUGUUAGCAAAAGUUGGGUCACCGUGUAUUUUUCUAGUGACUAUUUUCUCAUAUCUAAUUUGUGUAGCACCGUGCCAUCAUUCCAGUGACUACUUUCUUAUAUCUAAUUUGUGUAGCACUGUGCCAUCAUUCCGGUGACUAAUUUAUCAUAUUUAAUUUGUGUAGCACCGUGCCAUCAUUCCGGUGACUACUUUUUCAUAUUUAAUUUGUGUAGCACCGUGCGAUCUUUUUGGUGACUACUUUUUCAUAUCUGGUUUGCGUAGCACCGCGCCAUCUUUUUGGUGACUACUUUUCAUAUUUAAUUUGCAUAGCACCUUAUUAUCCUUCCGGUGACUACCUUUUUUUGCAUAUCUUAUUUGCGUAGCACCGUGCAUCUCUCCGGACUACUUUUCAUAUUUAAUUUGUGUAGUACCGUGGAUUUUUCCGAACUACUUUCUCAUAUCUGAGUUGCAUAGCAUCAUGUGUCUUUUCAGUGACUCCUCAGAUUUGAUUUGCGUAGUUCCAUUCGUCUUUCCGGUGACUCCUACCGAUAUAGUUUUUUCUUUUUCACUAGGGUCGUGCCAUCAUUCCGAUCCUACCCAUAUUAUUUCUUUUUCAAUGGAGUCGUUCCAUCAAUUCGAACUAUCCUAUAUAAUUUCUAUUUUCUUGUUGGGUCGUUGACAUCAUUCCGACCCUACACAUAUAAUUUUAUUUCUUAGAUUGUGACCACUUUUAGCCAUCAAAUCUAAUACUCCGGCAUAUGAGCAUGUUCCGGCCAGUUUUUGAUAUCGACUCGUCUAUUGAUUCGAACAUGAUCCAUAUAAUUUAUACUAGAUUUUGAGCACUUACAACGACCACUACAUUGUGAAGAAGUCUAUAUGGAGCAACCACCUAAUUUUGUUGCUCAGGAGGAGUUUAGUAGCCUUGUAUGUUGAUUACGUAAGUCACUCUAUGGUCUGAAACAAUCUUUGCAAGUUUGGUUUGGGAAGUUCCAACACUGUAAUUUUAUCACUCUGUGUUUUAUCAGCAUUAUGCAUCAAAUUCAAUAUUUCAUGAGAAGACCAAGCACAUUGAGAUUGAUUGUCAAUUUUGUGAAGCCGAGUGAUCAACUUGCAGAUAUCUCACCAAGCUCCUCAUCAAUCCUUGUGUUAAUUACAUUUGUAACAAGCUAGGUACAUGAAUUGUAUGCACUAGCUUGAGGGGGAGUGUUAGAAUAGGAAUAGAUUUAUACAAUCCUAUUAGAAUAGGAAUAUGUUUAUACAAUCCUAUUAGAAUAACAAUAGGUUUAUACAAUCCUAUUAGAAUAGGAAUAGUAAUAGAAAUAGAAAUAGGAAUACUAAAUAGUAUCCUACUUGGUAAAGGAUUGUAUUCUAGGGUCUAUAAAUAGGAUCUCAAUGUAAUAAUGUACACAACAACAAUUUAAUAAUAUUCUUUUCUUAUAUUUCUCACAGUUUCAGUAUUUAUUGAAGCAUUAAAGUAACAGGGAAAAGUAGUUUGGAAAUGGAAAUUAAAGGAUCACUUCUCAGAAUGUUGUUGCACUCUUAAAUACCACGAGAAUGGUAGAUAUGUCAGCUUUAUUUCCAUUCGAAAUCUGAGCAAAUCUGUCAUUAUUACUCCGGAAUCUUCAUACAAUGGAGGUUGGGGGAACAUUGCACAGAAAAUAGCAAAGUUUAUCCACGAGGCACCAGGAAAACAAAAAGCACAGAAAAACAGUGAAAGACAACUUGGAACCUUUUUCAAAGAAGCCUUCAACAACAACAGAUGAACGACGGAGAGGACAAAGCAGGCACAAAUACAAGUUGUAGGUGAUAGCAUAUAAAUCCUGGGUGGAAGGUCGGCAUCGGAGAGGAUCUGCUCAAUAGAUGUAUUGUCGGAAAAUUUAAGAACCCAUUACAGGAGACUCCAAUCUUGAAUGUUGUAAGGAGAUGGGUACGCAAUACCUAGAAGUCAGCAGCCACAGGUGUUAGUGUUUUCGCUAUGAACGAAGGACAGUUCUUGUUUGAACUUCCUUCAAGAUUUUCGAUAGAGCACGUGAUGUUGACAGUGUGGAUCUAGAAGAAGAUGAAGCUUAAUAUCGACUGGUGGAAGUCAACUACGAAAAGUGUUGGCCAGCAGAAGUAAGGAGAGGAGAGACUGGGUCUGGAUAAGACUUCUGGGGCUACCUUUGAGCAUGUGGUACCAGAAAAUAUUUAAGCAGCUUGGAGAUCAGUGUGGAGGAUUUAAUGAGACAGAAGAGGAGACAUCUCUCAAAAACAACCUAUACUAGAUUCAUAUCAAGGUGAAGGGCAACAGAAAGAUGGUACCGAAGUCGAUAGAGGUGACCAGUGAAGGUUUUGUGAAUAUUAUUCCGAUCUGGUGUGAAGCUCUGCUGCCAAUGAAAAUAGAGGGGGAAAGUGAAGGUGCAGGUUAUGGUUCAGAGGGUAAUGAAGGGAGAACCCUUUUUAGUGAAGGAUCUAACAGUCCUCAAAUCAAACCACGUGCACGUGGGCACCUCGAAAAUGAGGAGUUUUCAAAUUGGAAGGCACGUGAGCAGAAUUCAAAAUGGAAAGGGCGACUAUGUGUUGUAGUGGGCCAAGUCCUUAAAGGGGGUUAAUUUGGGCCUUAGAACCUUGGAAGUAAAAGAGAAGACAGAAAGUUAUUCUAAUUCUGAAGCCCAGGAGAUGGACAUAGUAAACAUCGAGAUAAUUGCAAACUUAUCAACCCAGUACACACAAUAAGCUUUGAGAAAUUGGGAACUCAGGAUAAGGAAGAACAACAAAUUUUCCAGUUCGAACAAACCAAGGAGAGCUUGGUGGCUGUAGAGUCAACAGUUGUCGAGAGAGGGGAACUGAAGAGUAUACAAUUGAAGCUGCAAGGAGAGAACACCAACAUUGUAGCAGAAGAUGCAACUCCAUUGAAGAUUCAAUUACCAACAGAACAAAAUGCUUAAACACUAAGCACGCUUAUUUGGAUUCAACUAGACAUCAUCGUGUUGAUACCAAAUUUGGAGUUGAUUUCAAAGCGUACGAGGAGAAGCCAAAAGGCAAAAGAACUUCUUAUGAAGAUAGAUAAUAACAAGCAAAAAAAUAAAGAACAACAAGGGAGCAGUCAGUUAUUAAAAAGAAAGAGGUAAAUGAACUGAAAGGUUUAGAGCUGGAUACUAAUUUCAUGAGUUAUGGUACUAGAAGUAGGGAGGAAACUUGGCCAUAAAAGAAUAAUGAAGUUAUACAAAGUCUUGGAGCACAAGGCAACUGAAUUGUGCUAGGAAAAAGGGAAUGAUCAAAAAUAUAUUACAUACCUGGUAAGCUGAUGAGGUUUGCUUCCAGGUGGUGAAGGUGGAGGGGGAAAUCACAGAUAUAAGUGAGUCAAUUAUGUUCAGUUGGAGGAAAGUGGGACUAGAGGAGGUACAGUCAGUAUGUGGGACAAAAGCGUACGGGAAGGAGUGCUCAGCAGUGUGGAAAUAUAUUCAGUGACUUGUAGUUUUUCUGGGAAGUGUCAUGAUUUCAAUUGGCACCUUACAGGGGUUUAUUCCCCAAAUAAUAGAAAGGAGAGUAAAGAGACUUGUUGGGAGAUUGGGGCAGCUAGAGGCUAGUUUCAGGACCUUGUGAUUGUGUAAUCUGCUAAGGCUUCCAACACAGACAGACAUGAUCCAGAAAAGAAAAAUUGCAACAGAAUUAGUAAAGGAAUGAUAAACUUGUCUGAUUUUAUUGAGGAUAUGGAGCCAGUGGAUUUAGCAUUGUUAGGGGGAGUAGUUCACUUGGAAGAAAGGUGACAGACGCACAACAGCUAGACUAGAUAGAUUCUUAUUUUCAGAAGAAUGGGAUACAAACUUAGGAACAUCAGACAGAAUAUCCUACACAGAGUGACUUUUGACCACUCACCUAUAAUGUUAAUUGGAUAGUAGAAAGUCAUACUUCAAGUUUGAAAAUUGACGGUUGGAAACAGAGGGUUUCAAUGAAAGAGCGCAAGUGUGGUGGGACUCUUUCACCUUUAGUGGAAAGGCAGACUACAUUCUGGUGGCGAAACUAAGAGCUCUACAAGGGAAAUAGAAGGAGUGGAGUAAGACUUCUCAAGGUAACUUGGGUAUUCAGAAGCACAAUGUUUUGAGACAGCUAACUCAACUAGAGGAGAUUCAGGAACACAGAGCACUAAAGGAAGAAGAGAUAGCUUCUAUACUAGCACUCAAUAUGGAAUUUGGAGACAUAGCUAAAAGGGAAGAGACUAUAUGGAGAAAGAAAUCCAUGACAAAAUGGUUAAAGCAAGGGGAUAGAAACACUAGGUUUUUCACAGAACUGCAAAAACUCACAAAAGAAUUAACACAAUUGACAAGCUAAAAGUUAGAGGGAAAAUUUUGACUAAACCAGAAGAGGUGCAAGAGGAGAUUGUUGCCUACUAUGAGAAGUUAUACUCUAAGUGAGAAGAUUAAAGACCACAGCUAGAUAUGAGGAAUUGCCCCAUGAUAGGAGAAGAUGAAAACAAUUUGAUGAUGGCACCAUUUGAACAACAAGAGAUCCUCGAGAACAUAAAAGCAUGUGCAGGUGACAAAACACCAGGGCUAGAUGGGUUCUCCCUGGCAUCCUUUAGUCAUUGAUAGGGAAUUAUCAGUCUAGAGUUGGUUGCAACAGUGCAAAACUUACAUAAGGUAGGAAUUUUUUAAAGGAGACUCAAUGCCACCUUUGUGGCUCUAAUUCCUAAGAAGAUAGGAGCUUUGGAGUUCAAGACUUCAGACCUAGAAUAUGAUAGGAGGGGUUUACAAGAUCAUUGCCAAGCUACUGGCAGAAAAAUUGAAAAAAAGGCAUACACCGACUAGUGGACAAACAGCAGACGACAUUUAUAAAAGGCAGAUAAAUCAUGGAUGCACUGCUGAUAGAAAAUGAGUGUGUGGCUGGAGUCCAGGCAAAGAAGUUAGUAGCCUGCUAUUUUACGUAAGCUAGACAAACAGAAGGCAUAUGAUCACCUGAAUUGGAAUUUUCUGAUUCCCAUGAUGCAGAGGAUGGGAUUUGGAGCUACAUGGAUCAAUUGGGUAAAAUAUUGCAUUAGUACAGUUAAUUCUCUUAUUAUUAAUUAAGAGAACCCCAAGUAGUUUCUUUUCCUGCCAGAGGAGCUUGAGACACGGUGACCCUCCAUCCUAUUUUCUCUUUAUCCUAGCAAGGGAAGGAACGACCAACAUUAUUCAAACAAAACCAAGGAAGAAAGGUUGGGUCAGAGGAUUUCAGGUGGGCAACAGGGCAGCGAACAAUGUGGAGAUAACUCAUCUGUAAUAUGCAGAUGAUACUUUAGUUUUUUGUGAAGAAGUGAGAGGACACAUGUUGAUCAUGAGGGUAAUAUUCAUCAUAUUUGAAGCAAUUUCUGGGCUACACAUCAAUUGGGGGAAGAGCUUGAUAUAUCCCAUCAAUUAUAUGUAGCGGAGGUGGAGAACUGGCAACAAUUCUGGGAGGCAAAAUGGGUGAGCUUCCAACAAUAUCUUUAGAAAUGCUUUUGGGUGCCAAAAGUAAAUCUAGGAGAAGUUGGAAUGGAGUGGUAAAAAAGCAUGAGAAGAAGUUAACUAACUGGAAAAGUCAAUAUCUUUCCUUGGGAGGAAGAUUGACUUAGGUUAAUAAUGUUUUACAUGCAUUACCUUCUAGCAUGAUGUCUGUUUUCCCAGCCUCAGACAGUGUGAUAGAAGAGGAUAGAUGCAUUAAGAAGGAAUUCUUCUGACAGGAAAUGAAGAUAAGAAAAAAAGAUAAGAAAAAGUUUCAUUUGGUUAGUAUUUAAGUGGAGAAGGGUAGAGGGCGGGCCCAUUAUCCACGGAGUUUAGAAGCCUGUGAUUGGUCCAAAGGGCGGGUCACAGACGGAUUUCUCGGUUAUCAAAAAAAAGUUUCAUUUGGUUAAACGGAGGGAGCUAACAAGAAGAAAAAAAGGUGUGGGUAUUAGAGACAUGAAAAUGCACAACAAAAACAUAAUGAUGAAAUGACUACGGAAGUAACAAUUGACAAUAUGCUAUGGGAGGAGGUUAUUAAUGAAAAAUAUGAAAUGGAGGGUAAAUGGAUAAUAAUGAUGGUGGUUACCCCCUAUGGAUGUAGCAUUUGGAGAUCCAUCAGGAACCUUUGGCCACUAGUUUUAACUAGAACCAACUUCAAAGUGGGAAAUGGCAUGGAAGUGUCCUUCUAGGAGGACAAAUGGACUAGACAGGAACCUCUAAAAUAACUCUAUCCAGACAUCCAUACUUAUGCCUUGACCAGCAGGCCACUGUGGCUGACAUGUGCACAAGACAUGGGUGGAAUCUGCCGAAGGCAUCUGAAUGAUUGGAAAAUGGAGAAGAUAGCAGCUUUCAACAACACAGCUGCCCAUUUGAGUAAUUUAACUGGGGCAGAUGGCACAAUAGUUUAGAAGAUAGACAACAAGGGAAUCUUCACUAUCAACUCUGCAUCUAGAGAUCUUUUUUCUUUUAACUUGGUAAGGUUGUAUUAUAUCACAAAACAGUACAUGGGUGAUCUAAUGCUUCAACAAUCAGGAGAAGAGAUGGCCAUGAAAAAUGAUAUGGAAGGUAAAGAUACCAUACAAGGUGAACUGUUUUUCUGAGUUGUUGGCAAAGGAAGCAGCGUUGACACACGAAGAUAUGAAAGAAAAAAAAAAAGAGGUCUCCAGCUUUGUCCUGGAUGCUAUUUAUGUGGGGAACAAGCAGAGUCAACCAUCUUUUUUACAUUGCAUGUGGACAGACCAAUUUAUGUGGGGACCAAGCAGAGUCAACCAUCUUUUUUACAUGGCAUGUGGACAGACCAGCUUUGGAGGACCUUCAUCAGCUUAAGAAAGACCAAAUGGGUAAAGCCAAUGAAUGUAGAAGGUAUCUAAAAUACUGGAACAGUGUGGGCAAUGCAACAGAAAAGAAAGAGAGAUGGAAGAUUGUCCCAGUUAUGGUGGACACUGUGGAAAGAAAGAAAUCAGAGUUACAUUCAAUCUUUUUAAUCUGUAAUCUACCUAACAUGGAUUUCCUUGUAUAAUGUCACUCCACUCGAAAGAAGAAAAAGUGUUAAACUCCAUUGCUGUUCAGAUGGACAACAGAGUUUAUUUCAGAUCUGGGGGGAAGUCUUACGACAUCACGGAGUCUAGAUCAAAAGCCGAAGUAUGGUAUGACUGGGUUGAAGAUGCUAGGCAUCACAUGAGGAGAAUGGGGGUGGCAAAAAUUGUCCAUCUCUCUAUGGCGACAUUUGAGCAAUCUCAUUUUCCACCAUAUUCUCACUAAUUAAUGGUAACUCUCAAAUCUUAGUUUCUUAAUCAUAAAAGUAUAGAACUUUGAAAUUUUACAGAGAUAUAUCACAACAUCAAUAUUGGCUGACUUUGAAUUACAACACAGUAAAAAUAUAUGGCAGGCAAAAAAAAUUCUGAAUACAUCUGUGGUAGCCUAGUAAGAGGGUGGCUAAAGUAGAAUGUGAAUGUUGUAGGGAUUAUAACUUUCAGAGGCUUAAAAUCUAAAAGUUAUUUGAAUCAACUUAUCUCAAUAUCACUUAAUUAGCAAAGUGAUGAUUGUUCUUAGAUUGAUUCCUCCAAAUCAUAUAUGCCCAUCAUGUUUCUGAAAUGAUCUUUUACGGAUAGAAUGAAUUCGAAAAGGAAGCCAACUGAAAAUAUUUUGAGUAAUUUAACAUACAUUCCUCCAAGUUUGCCAUUGUCAAAAUAGAUUAGUUCAAGAGAAAGAUCGUUUUUUUUAACUUGAAUUAAGAGUUUGAAAGAUAAACAUUACUCUCCAAUAUUAACUGAUUUAAAAGAUAUAACUUUUGAUAAAAUCCAAGUUGCAGAAAUAUUACAUAUCUAAUGAUGGCUACUUCCAAAAGAAACGUGUGUACUAUAAAAAAUAUUUAUGAUUUCGUACAGAUGACAAAAAGAGAUGGGUUUACGAUUUAAUGAUGACAUAAAUAAAUGACAAAUGAAGUUAGAAACAUGUAAAAGAAUUAUUAUUAUUUUUCAAUUUGAUUUGAGAAAUUAGCGGAAAAAUAGUUAAUUAAAAUAUAUUCUUCUCUAUAUAGAAUCAUUGUUUCUUUUUAGGUUAUUUUACCACACAAUGUAUGAUUAUGAUAUUUGAUUUCUUUCAAAAAUUAUUCAAUGACUAUGUGAUUCAUUUCCUUAGUUUGAUAAAGUUUCUUUUGUUAUAUAUAUUGCACCGAAAACCAUAAUAAUAACCGUGGUGUCCAAGUCAACUUUCACGCAACUCGAAUAAUUCCACGGGAUAUCUGUCACCAUCCACCAACAACAGAUUUCCAGCAACAACAGAAAUGGGAAGAAUCACCUAGUGUUUUUGCCACUAACUUACUCGGAAAGCAAACUACUUCCUAAUGGAAUUCUUCAGGUCCUAAAACAGCAGGCCCCAACCAAUUCGAGGUUGAAACACAGUAGAGUGAUUAACACUAUCUUUGUUAGUUUAGUUGGCUUCUUCAACCACUUUUCAGAUGCAUCGUUCGUUCAAUUUUUCAAGGAAAUAAAUUUUCGAUUAUCAAAAAGGUGAAAAAUACAAUCUAACACACAUAAAAAGCAGAAAUUUUUCAUACCCAAAGAACAGAACAUAAAAAGCAGGCAAAAGUGCAAUACCUCAACAGGUUCAGGUUUUUUUUCAGAUUCAUUGGAACCCACAAAAGACUGAAGAGGAGCAGUGGUUGCAUAGUAAUCGUCAUCAUCUUCAUCAUCAACAUCUGCCCAAGAUUUCACCGUCAACGGCGCCGGAGCCCACAAAACUUCCGGCUCCUGUUCCUUCUUCGACGACCCUUUACUCUUCUCCUUAUCAGAUUUCUUCUUCUUCCUCAGAGUAUC